rnacentral:lncRNA from 1 species
GCUUCUCAGCUACCUUCAGAUGGUAUCCCAGAGAGAUUCACGAAGGUUAGUCGUCUCAAAAACCCUUGAUAUAAUGCUUUAUUUCUUGGGAGUAGAACCUAUUCUAAUAAAAGAUAAUUCCAGUAAACCUACCUGCUUAAGCAAUAUGAAGUGCAGAUUUGAGAUUGAGAUAAAUGAGCAAGUUAUAGAAUAAAGAUAAUAUUAAGUCAACAGUUUAUAAGGUUAGAAAGAGAGAACAUCUCACAUCCAUCAUCUCUUUAUAUGUGGUUAAAUAAAGGAUCGGGAUUGGAAGUUGGAUAAGAAAUCAUCAGCCAUAAUCAACCCCAAUAGCAAUAGUGAUAGCAAUGAAGGGAACUUCAAUGGGUCAGAAAUGAAUGAUGAAGAAGCGCCUCUAGUUUCAUCAAGGCUAUCACAUUUUGGACGUUCAUUCAGCAACCAUACCAAAUGAGUGACGAGAUGAAGGCUCUAGUCUAGUGCACCACCAAUGAAUGUGGAGAGCAAAUUAUUUGGACAGCAAAAGGAUAUGUGAAAUUGAAGCAGUUGGCAAGGGCCUGCCUUUCUCACUUAAAAGGUAAGGUAAGGUAAGGGAGAUAAUCCUUUUUUCAGAAGAGGUACCAAUCAUUUCGCAUUAAAAGUGAUUUUACAGUAAUAUAGCAGUUGAUGCAUAUUUUGAUAGAAUUGCCUUCUUUGACCUCUGUUCUGCUAACUGACAGACGGUGAUGCUGAAACAUUUUAUGGAUUUAGAAAUGGUAGCGAUAUUUAUUAUCUUCAUCAAGUUGACAGUCUGUCUUUCCCUCUCUUUUUUCUUUUCCUUCAAAAAGAAUCACGGUCAUCUCAUGCAUGUAUGAUUAAAACUCCCAUAUCAAUACUUUGUAGGCUCACUCACAUUAGCACAUUUGGUUGUGAUUAUGGUUCAUUUAGCAACUGAGAUUGCAAUUGCAUGGCUUCUAAGUGAAGAGAUGGAAAUUCAUGCAUAACGUGUGUAUAUAUAAGGUUAAAAUUAUACUAAAAAGUCCCUAAACUCUUUGUACAUUUGAGUUUAGCCUCUCUAUGAUUAUUUUUAAGAACUUAGUCCCUCUACUUUUCAAAUUUUGAAAUUCAGGUCUAAUUGUUAACACUGUUAAAAUUCUUAUCUGUUACAUAUUUUGAAAUAAAUAAAAUACUCUGUAGUCAUGUAACAGAAAAAUGUGACAUUGUAAAUUAUCUGGCAUGUCAUUGUAAUAUAGGUUUUAGAGUAAAUUAGUGUCUACAUUGACAUUACAAAAAAGCAAUUAUUUGUCUUUAUAUUUAGGUAAAACUUUAAACAAUAUAAUAUAUUUGAACAUUAAAAAAACACUGAUUUGUCAUAUUUUAAAAUAAUAUGAAAAAGAAAGAAAAAUAAAAAUAUGUUUUUUUUUAAUCACAAGUAUCAUUCGUUUUAUGGAAUAAGGUUUUUUAUGCAACAUAAAAACACAAGUCAAGAGUAUUUUUUAUGGUACAUUAAGGUAGGGCUUUUUCUUUUCGAAGAGUGAAUAUUUAAAGGCAAACUAAGGAAAAAAACCAAAAGGAGGGAAAAUAAAAAAGCUUAAAAAGGUGAGGAUCCAAACCGUUGUCGUGGUAGAGUAUUUUUUCGGUUUCUCUUUAUUUUGAUAGUAAUAAAAAAAAAGAGUAAUGUUAUUUUUUUUGGAGAAGAUAUCAUAUUGUCUUACACGAGAAUCACUAAAUUUAUCUUCUAAAAGUAAACUUUUAAUGUGGAACGAGGGAAUAUCAAUAGUAGCUAAAUUAACUUCACAAGAGGGACAUGUUCUUGCUAACCAAUUAGCAACCAUGUUUCUUUUCCCGUUCACAGAUUGAAAUUAUCAAGAUAUUGUCUUUAUUUUCCUGACAAAAGUCAUUGAAGGUGUACUUUCCAAUCAAUUUCUAAUUAUUUUAUUGUAAUCAUACAAUCAGUUUCAAUAAUAAUCUUGUUGUGGCCUCUAACCUAUGCUGUUUCUAAGCUAUUUCACAACUUUGAAUUCACAGUCGAGCUCAUUCCAGCAAAAAGUAAUUUAAUUUUUGUUAAUUUUAAAAGUGAACAACUAAAAAUAAUUAAUCACAACAAUUAAUGUUUCCCAUUAAUGCAUAAUUUUGAUUGAUAUAAUAAUGAAUUGGGCCUUUAAUAUUUAUAUAUUUUAUCAAUUUUGUCUUGAUUUUAAAAAUUAUCUAAAAAAUAUAUAUAAAAAAAUUCAAAAAAGAUAUGUAUAAAAACUUUAGCUUAAAAUAUAUGUAUAAUAGAUAGAAUGUAUAAGCUUCGAUGGCUAAAUUUGUUAUUAUAUCAAUAAAAUUUAUAUAAAAUUGAUGAAAAACAUUAAUGAUAUGAUUAAUUUUUCUUAGGGUACACUUUCAAAUUUGAUAGGAAUUAAAUUGCUCCAAUUUUUCUUAGAGACCAAUUUACUCAAAAUCGAAAUUGUGAGGGAUCAAAGAGGUUUUUUUUACCAAUUUAGAUGCAUAAGAUUCUAAGCUAUGUAAGUUAGAGGUUGCACUUAGGUAGUGUUUGGUACUUUUCCAUAAAAUGAUUUCAUUGAAAUGUGAUUAUCAUAUUGAAGGAAAAAUUAAUGUUCAAUGUUUGGUAUGCAAUGAAAAUUAUUGAUUAAAGUUUCACGAAAGUUGUUAACACAUUGGGCUCACUAAAUACUUUUUUGAGAAUUUGAUGAUAAUAUAGGCUUAAUGGUGUAAAAAGUCCUUAAACUUUAAAAAAAGAAAAAUAAAAGCAAUUAAGCUCUUUUUUUUUUGCGCUCAAUUGAACACUUGAUCUUUCAAAAUAUAUCAAAAAGGCCCUCAAACUUCUUCAAAAAAAGCAAUUAAGCACAUUUUUUUCACUAAAUUGGGUACUUAAACUUUCAAAAUGCAUCAAAAAGACCCUCAAAUUUUUUCAAAAAAGCAAUUAAGCCCCUGCUCUUAUUAAAAAUUAGAAAAAAAAACUUAUAAAUAAUAAAUAAUAAAUAAUAAAUUUUAGAAAAAUUAUUAAAUUUUAAUAGAAAUAAAAAAUUUAAAACUUAUUAAAAAUUAGUUUUUUUUAUAAAAAUUGUAAAAAAUAAAAAAAAUGUAAAAUUUUAUAAAAAUAAUAAAAAAUUAUAAAAUGCAUCAAAAAAUCCCUUUAACAAUUAACUUUAACUAUUGAUGGUUAAAGUUAACGACCCCUAGUUUUUUCAAUUAAAAUCAUUGCGUGUCGUAACACAACGUGACAUGUGGCGAAAAAUGAUAAAAAAAUCAAUAAAAGUUAUAGAAAAAUUAUAAAAUGCUUCUUUGGUAUGGUAAUUUUUAUAAUUUUUUCUUAACAAUUAACUUUAAUUGUUAAUCAUUAAAGUUAAACGACCCCUAGUUUGUUUAAAUUAAAGUCAUCAUGUGUCACAACAUAGUGUGACAUGUAGCAAAAAAUGAAAAAAAAAUCAAUAAAAGUUAUAGAAAAAUUAUGAAAAUUUUUUGAUACGAUAAUUUUUAUAAAUUUUUUUACGAAAUUUAUAUUUCUUUACAUUUUCUAUAAUUUUCUUACGACGUUAUAAAAUUUAAUAUUUUUUUAUAUUUCUAUAUAUUUUACAAUCUUUUAUGAUUUUUAUAAAAUUUUACCAUUUUUAUAUUUUUUUUCUAAUUUUUAGGAAAAAUUUAAUAUUUGAAUUUUUUAUUAACAUUUAAUAAUAUUUAUAGAUUUUAAUUUUUUUAUAAAUUUUAUUUUCUAAUUUUUAAUAAAAUCAGGGGCUUAAUUACUUUUUUUUUGAAAAAGUUUGAGUCUUUUUGAUGCAUUUUAAAAAUUCAAGUACCCAAUUGAGUAAAAAAAAAGUAGGGGCUUAAUUGCUUCUUUUUUUAAAAGGUUUGAGAGUCUUUUUAAUGCAUUUUGAAAGUUCAAAUACCUAAAUGAGUGAAAAAAAGGGAGUUAAUUACUUUUUUUGAAAAAGUUUGAGGGCUUUUUGCACCCUUAAAUUUUUAUGAAAUUAUGGUUAUUAAUUAAAAGAUAAUAUUCAUGUAUUUUAAUAUUUUCAAUAGUUUUUAUUAUUAAUAAAUAUUUGUAUUAAAUAUAUUUUAAUUGAUAAUUUUAAAAAUUAUCAUUUUAACUUAUAAUUUUACUUUAUAAUUCUAUUUUUCUUGCAGGUAAUAAAUAAACAUAUGUAUACUUUUAAAAUAUAACCAUAUAUAUUUAUAUAUUUUAAAAACAAUGCAGAGUAACUUUGCCACUAAUUAUUAUUAUUAAUUAUUAAACUAAAGAAAUUAAUAUUGUAAAUAAUUUUGCCUAACUAUAUUUUUAUUUUACUUUUCAUCUACCUGGAAAAAUGUGGAAAAGUAAUUUUCUCAUCUAUUAUCAAGAGAAUUACUUUUUAUUGUUUGUGAGAAAGUAACUCCUAUGGGAACUUACAUUCUAAGAAAAGCAAACAAUUUUUUACAUUCCAACCAAUUAAAUUUGUUCAAAAGUUAAAAUUUUUCUUCAUAUCAAACUCCUUAAAGUCAUGAUCUAUCUUGAUCUUUUAAUCGUUUAUAAAUCUCAACCACCAGAACUUGCGUAAUGCGUUGGCAAUGGCAUUACUUGUUUUCACAUGUAGAAAGAGAACGUAUGUAUAACCUAUUUACAUCAUUAAGCACAAAAACAAAAGAAAAAAAAAGAUAAGUAAUAUCUUCUCAUAAAGCUAAAGACCCUCUUCUCCAUAAAAAAACGUUAGAUUUGCAUCGAAGACAAUUCGAGUCUGCCUAUCGUUCUCAUUAUCCAAGUAUGAAAUUUUUCACUUUGCUUCAUGGAUUAUGAUGCAGAUAUGUUUUAAUGCUUUAUCAUUUGGAAUGGGUUUACGCUUAGUCCAACUGAGUUUCUUUAUUUCAUUCUUUUAUAUUUUAUUUUGUAAUACGUACUUGUCACCGAUAAUCUCCAGUAGGGGGGGAGAGAGAGAUGUUAAUGUUUGAAUGAUGACAGGAAAUAUACACAAGUACUUUCAGUUAUUCUAAAAUUCUCCCUAUUUUGUUUCUCCUUCUUUAUUCUCUCAAAAAUCAUUCUGAUUCUUCCUUUUGAAAAAUAUCCUACAUCAAGUUGGUAUUAGACUACAAUCUUGACACCGUCUUUGACGAAAUUACAAAAUGUUCAUCAAACUUAGCAAGACUUAGCAUGUACCUAAAUAGGCCUCAAACAACUUAAUGAGAAGGUGAAUGCUCUAAGGUUGAAGGUGAGGUCUAAGUUCAAGAAAUAUUUUGAGCUUAUGACUAGUAGAAUUCCAAGGGAUUCAUCUACCCAUGAAGAUUCCUCUCAUGGCGGCUUGGGUAAAGAAACAAUUAUAAUGAAUAAGUUUUCUUCUACAAUUGUAGCCUAAUCUAUUCGAGUACCCAUAUUCUAGACCUUACAAAUGGGAAUGCAUAAAAUUUAACGAUAGAGAUUUUAAAGGAUAACUAAUAAAAAUUGAGUAAUACUUUGUGAGGGAGAAGAUACUUGAAAAUUCUAAUGUGAGAGUGUUGAUGCUUCAUAAUAUCCUACCCCAAUAUAACAAACACUUACUACUGAGCCAAUACCUUACCACCUUUACUAAUUUCUAGGAGACCUUUUAAGGCAACUUCAACUACUUAUCCUAAGCCUACCUCUAAAGGAUUUAAUAGUGCUAAAAUGAAGGAUAGAAGGAAACGUUGACUCUGUUAUUGAUGUGGAAAACAAGUCCAUUGUUUUCCAUCAUUGUGUGAAAUCAGGGUUUUUUACAUAAAUAGGUUGAAAAAAAAAAUUACUGAAAUAGGGUGUCAGAAAAAGUAUUUACCAAAAUGGGUUACUUUUUUCAUUGGAGCCUAUUAGAUAGGCGCCAAUGAAUAAAAAAAAAUAAUUUUUUUUGAAUAAAAUAUUUUUUUAAUAAUUUUUUUAAAAAAAAUACGAGUCAAAAUACGGUCAACGGGUCGGGUCGGGUCGGGUGGCGCCUAUCAGGUAGGCGCCAAUGAAGGUGCCUCAUAGAGAGGCGCCAAUGAAGGUGCCUUAUAGAGAGGCGCCAUUACUAGACCUGUCCAUGGGCCGGGCCGGGCCCAAAAAAAUUUCGGCCCGACUCCUAGGCCUGGCUCGAAAUAUGGGCCUAAAAUUUUGUCCAGGCCCGGCCCGGGAAAAAAAUCAUAUGCCCAAGCCUGGCCCGGCCCGGCCCAUUUUUUAAAUAAACACCAAAAAAUUUUUAAAAAUAAAAAAAUAUAUUUUAAAAAUAAAAAAUAAAAAUAUAUUUAUUGUAUUCGGGCCGGGCCUGGCCCGGGCCAAAAAAGUUAUGCCCGAGGCCCAGCCCGUUUUCUAAACGGGCCUAAUUUUUUUGCUCAAACCCAUAUUUCGGGCCUAUAUUUUUACCCGAACCCUCCUAUAUUUCGGGCGGGCCAUCGGGCCGAGCCGCCUAGCCCAUGGACAGGUCUAUGGCGCCGAAGGCCUCAUAAAUUUAGGAUUAUGUUAUAAAUUUUUGUGUUUGUAAUUAUUUAAAAUUUAAUUUAUUAGUAAUAAAUUACUAAAUUACUAAUAAGUUACUAAUAAAUUUAUAACAUAAUCUUAAAUUACUAACAAAUUAAUUAUAAAAUAAUUACAAUAUUCAUACAAAAAAUUACAAUAAUACAAUAUAUACCGACAUUCAAUAUUCAUACAAAAUUAUAAUAUUACAAUAUUCAUACAAAAUUACAAAAUUACAAUAUUCAUAUAAAAUUGCAAUAUUUUUUGUUAUUAAUUAUUAAUUAUUAAUUAUCUAUAUUUAGUAUGAAUAUUGUAAUUUUUUUGUAUGAAUAUUGUAAUAUUAUAAUUUUGUAUGAAUAUUGCAAUUUUUUUGUAUGAAUAUUGUAAUAUUAUAAUUUUGUAUGAAUAUUGUAAUGUCGGUAUAUAUUGUAAUAUUGUAAUUUUUUGUAUGAAUAUUGUAAUUAUUUUAUAAUUAAUUUGUUAGUAAAUUAGGAUUAUGUUAUAAAUUUAUUAGUAACUAAUUAGUAAUUUAGUAAUUUAUUACUAAUAAAUUAAAUUUUAAAUAAUUACAAACACAAAAAUUUAUAACAUAAUCCUAAAUUUAUGAGGCCUUCAUUGGCGCCUAGACCUGUCCAUGGGCUGGGCCGGGCCCAAAAAAAUUUUCGGCCCGACUCCUAGGCCCGGGCCCGGCCCAAAAUAUGGGCCUGAAAUUUUGUCCAGGCCCGGCCCGGGCAAAAAUCAUAGGCCCAAGCCCGGCCCGGCCCAUUUGCGCCUCUCAGAAUGGCACCACCAUUGCCGCCUCCCAGGUAGGCACCACCAUUGGCGCCUCCCAGAUAGGCGCCAAUACUAUGUAUUAUACGGGUUUUAUACUAACCCGAAAAAGUAUAAAAUUAUAUUUUAUUCAAAAAAAAAAUUUAUUAUUAUUUUAUUCAUUGGCGCCUAUCUAAUAGGCUCCAAUGAAAAAAGUAACCCAUUUUGGUAAAUACUUUUUCUGACACCCUAUUUCAGUAAAUUUUUUUUUUCAACCUAUUUAUGUAAAAAACCCGUGAAAUCACAAUUAUAUCAAUUUCUUACGAAACAAGAUGAAGAUGACAAGGAACAUUAGGUGUUCUCUGAUUGUGUUAAGCAUUUGGAAAAAUUGAUAGCUCAUGACCAUGUUCUUGAGGAACUCAUUCUAUAUUUGAAUGUUAUGUUUGACAUUACAAUACAAUGAAGAUUCAAAGCAUGAUUGGCAAGCGUUCCCUUAAGGCAUGUUUGGUUGGGAGGAAUAGGAAUAAAUUAUAGCCCAAUUCGAUGGGCCCACCACCAAACUAAUGUUUGGUUGGCUGUAAUGCUUAUUACGGCCUACACUGAAUCCGUUCCUAUUCAAGGAAGAGGCUGCAUAGUCAUUCCCUUCGCUCACCACUGAAUAGUUGUUGAAUAGGAUUUGUUUUUUUGCCUUUUCAAUUUUUGCCCUCACCUUUACCUUCCUCCUUUUGUCACGGGCCAAAGUGCAAAGCCCGUGACCAUGGCACAAGAAGCGCCCCAUGGAGGUCUAUCGAUUAGAUGGGGAUCAUUUAACCCACGAGAACUGGCCCGAUUCAGAGAACUAUUGAAGAAGCCUGUCAGAUUGAAGCCUGGUUGGCCCGAUGAUGAAGACAUGGCAACUUAGGCUAAUUUUAGUAACUAAUCUUAGAAGAUAGAGGGAAUCAUAUCUUGUAAAGAUUAGAUUAGAUUUGAUAUGGCAAAUCUUGUAAAUCCCUAAAAUCAAGGGAUAUAGUGAAUCUCGCCCGUCGAUGUAAAUGUAUCUUGACCGUCGGUUUUGGGGAGCUCAACUAUAAAUAGAGAGCCUCCCCUCAUUUGUACUCAUCCAUUGUAAGCUCAAUUCUUAAGAGUAAUAGAAUUCUUUGAGCAUUUACUCAAACACUUUGUGUGCAUUCUUUCUUUGACUUUCUGUUGUUCACUUAUAGCUUCUUUUGGCACAAUCGCUUCCGCUAUACAAAUUGGUGCCUUGGAAGAGUUCUAAAGAAUCCUCACUUUUGGGCGUAAAGGCUGACUUAGGCAAGUUUGGGACGAACGGAUCGCCUAAGGCCGCACGGAUUGUGAGACGAAAGGUCUAGCCCCGUAACACUUCAACCCGAUAGCCUUUUUCAAUUUUUGGAUUCUCCUAUUUAUUUUAUCCACCUCUAUGGUUUUGAGCUUCAUUUCUUUUUCCUUUCUUUAUCACUGAAAUUCGAAGCAAAAAACAAAAUAUCAUGGGCAAGGGUCUUGGCCUCGACACUGAAAAUCAGCAAGAAAGCUAGAGGUAUAAAAUUACCACUUUUUUUAAAAUAAGAAAGCUUUAAAGUUGUAAUAUUUAUAUCUAAUUUUUAAAUUUUUGGGAUUUUAUAGAUCUUCUUUACAAGGAUUAUCAGACUGACCAAAAGUUUACUUUGACCACUAUCUCUCCCACUGGUGUGGUAAGUUUGGUUCAUAUUUUUUAGGUUUGUUUAAAUUUUUUUUGCCUAGAUUAUGUUUUCUUUAAUUAUUAUUAAAGAAUACAUUUGAGAUGCUUUGUCGUGUGAAACUCAAGUUGUGAUUUUUGUCAUAUUUAAUUUUAUAUUAAAUGCAUGUCUUAUUGUAAAAUUAUGUUAAUUACAAAAAAGAAUGUUUAAUUUAUGCUAAAAUUAAAGGUAAGGUGUAUGCUUUUCAAACAUGUGUGUGUGUGUGUGUUCAAUUUUUGAAGUAUAAUAACAGCUAUUUUUCUUGAAUUUCAUCAUGGUUAUCUCAAUCUUUUAACUGCAAUGUAUCAUGGAAGAUGUUCGAUUUCUCAAUCUGCUAUGAGAACUUGAAUUAAUUUGGCCUUGUUUUGUUGUUUUUCCCUUUAUUUUCAGGCAAUUACCUCUGCCAGAACAAAGAAAGGUGAUCUUUUCUUGGUUAAUGUUAAUACUCAGCUGAAGUUUAGGAAUGUUACAAUUGAUAUCAAAGUGGACACCAGCUCCAAUGUAAGUACUUCAUCUGCUCCUUCUGUUGGUUUCUAGUUUUAUGCAUAAGUUUGAAUUCUUGGUCGAAAUUUCUCUUUUGCAAGUUAGAUACGAUGCUCUUUCCUCCAUUAUAUAUUCUUUGGCCUUCAUCCGACUUCUAUUAUAAUAAAAUUAGUAAUCAUGUCUUGUCCCCUCUAUGUUUGAAACUCGAGCUUUAACCAGGAGAAUUUCUGCCUUAUAACAUUGUUUAGAACAUCAUACUGCUUGGGACCUGUCCUUUUUGGCGGAAAUGCUUUUCAAUUGAAGGAUCUCUUUGGUUGAGUUCGUAGUUCCUUUUUUACCUUCUUAUAUUCCUUUGUUGUUGAUAUAUAUGUUUGCCAUCUUUUGUAAGCCUUUUUGAAAAUCGUUUGAUGUACUAAAGUACAUUAUGUUUAUCAGUUAUUUACCACCAUAACAGUUGAUGAACCUGCACCCGUGCUAAAUGCAAUCUUUGGCUUCAGAGUCCCUGAUCAGAGGUCUGACAAGGUACAAAAUUCUGUCUCAUAUUUCAAUUUGCAUCUUUCGAAACUUCCUUCUUGUUUUGGCUUUUGUCGCGAGAACGUGUUACUUAGAAUGUGUUUGAGAUGCUGUUGGACAUGUCUAUCUUUUCGCUUUUGUGUAUACCAGAUUGAACUCCAGUAUUUGCAUGAGUAUGUUGGGAUAAGCUCAAGCAUUGGAUUGACUGUCAACCCGAUAGUUAACUUCUCGGCUGUGCUUGGAACAAAUGUUAUUGCACUAGGUACCGAUAUCUAAUUCGACAUGAAGACUGGGAAUUUCACCAAAUGCAACGCGUGAUUGAGCUUCACCAAUACAGACCUCAUUGCUUUUUUGGCUUUGCAUGUGGUUAUGUUCUAUAUACCUAUCUACAGCUGAACAUUCCAAAUGAUAUAAUCUCAAGUUUAAUACCUUGUUUGUCGAUGCAAGAAUGAAAAGGGUGAUGUAGUUAACGCAUCUUACUACCAUAUUGUAAAUUCAUCGACCAACACUGCUGUUGGUGCUGAGGUGACCCAUAGCUUCUCUACCAAUGUGAACAUCAUCGCCGUGGGUACACAACAUGCAUUAGAUCCAUUAACCACAAUCAAGGUACGGGUGAACAAUGUCGACAACGCAAACGCACUCAUCCAGCACGAGUGGCACUCGAAAUCCCUCUUUACCAUUUCUGGAGAGGUGGAUACAGAGUCUAUCGAUAAGAGUCCCAAGGUCGGACUUGCUUUGGCACUCAAGCCUUGAGAGCUUAAAAAAAAAGAAGAAGCUCAUUUUAGUAAGAGUAUGAUAGACUUAAAAAGAUUUUUGAAGUUUUAGUUUGUUGUUGACUUUCAUGGUGUUGCCAUCUUCCCUUUUAUGUCAAUGGUUUUUCAUUUUAAAAAAGAAUAAAGUGAUGUUAUGAUAUAAAAUAUGUAUUUAUAUAAUGUUUAAAUUAUUAAUGUUAUAUUUUUCUAAUAAGGAUAUAAAAGAAAAUAAUUUAUUAUUGGCUCUUUCUUAAUAUUUUGAUAUAUAAAAUAUAAAUUUUAAAUAUUUUUUUAACAAUUAAUAUUAAUUAUUUUUAAAAACAAAAGGAAGGUGUAAAUAAUAAGAAUAAAAUGUAUAUAUUUUAAACAAAUAAAAUUAGAUUAAAUAAGGGUUAAAGAUAUGAAAUUUUCGAAUCCAAAAAUAUUUUUAAAGAUUUUAAAUUCAUUAACAAUUAAGCUUUUAGAAUGUAUUUGUUGUCUAUCAACUAUAAUGAACAUAGAAGCAAUGGAUUCAAAUAAUAGUGUUUUAAAAUAUAGUAAAUAAAAUAUUUAAAAUAUUUUAAUAUAAUUUUAUAUAAAAAUAAAAAAUAUUUUAAUAUACUUUUAUAUAAAAAUAAUUAUAUUAAGAAUGUUAUUAAAUUAUAUAUUAUUUUUAUUAAAUUAUAUUUAAUAAUAAUUAUAUUAAAAUAUAUUUAAAAUAUUUUUAUUAUUAAAUAUAAUUUAAUAAUAAUCCUAUUAAAAUUUAAUAAUAACAAACAUCUAUCUAAAAAAAUUCUACUAAGGGUAUUCUAGUCAUUUUAGCUUUUUUCCUUAUGCUAUUAGAAAUCUAUUUCAUUCAACCAAACACAAGAAUAUUAUUACAGUUACAUUCCAUUCAACUAAACAAUCUAAUUAUUGAUUACAACUCUAUUCUAUUACAACUCUAUUUUAUUCCAAUAAACUAAACGUGCCGUUAGUGUUCUGGUUCAUUCAUGAAGCACCCAUAACUUCAUUGAUAGGACCUUGCUAAGGCACUAAGACAAAUACAACCCAUGUGGCAAGGACGCAAGCUUAAUGUUACCAUUAUGAAGGGAGGCAUUCUUUAUACUUAGGAAAAAUGUCAGAAUAUUCCUUAGAAAGUGCACAAGUCCAACUAUACUUUGUAAUUUUAUAGUGUAGCCUUUGACAGGGUGUGAUUUAGUACCAGGCAUGCAAUGGUUAGCUACCCUAGGACCCAUCAUUUGGGAUUUUGUGAGUUCCAGCGGAAUGGUGAUGGCUUACUUGGCAGGGAAUAAAUCCUUAUGCAGCUCAACUAAUUCCUUCCGAACAAGCUUCUCCAUUGUUACUUGUCCUUAACGAAUAGGAUGGAGUAUAAACCUUGUCCAAAGGUUUUUAGAAUUAGAUAGGUAGUUGAACUGAUUAAGUCAUUUAUUCUCAGUCCAAUUUCAAUUAAAUAGAUUAUUGAAAAAUUAUAAAAUAUGGUUUAACUGUUGGCUCAAUUGAUUUUUUUUAUUCCGGUUUAAAAUAGUUUACGGUCCAACCAAUUCAAUCCCUUUAUUUGUGCUAGUAUAUCGAUUGAUUCUCGGUCCAACCGUUAGCCUGAUUCCAACAACUACGGCCUUGUACUUACAAUAAUCCCCAACUCGGUUACUAAACAAAUUUCUAGCACCAUUGAAGGGGAAUGCUACUAAUUUAGAUUAGUUGCUAGAGGAAUUUAAGGAGCUGUUUCGAGCCACAAGGACUUUAUACUAAUAGGCCGUAAGACCAAAAAAUUCGUUUGAAGGAUUAUAAGAAUUUUGACCCCAUAAAUAUCCUGCCAUACAAAAUAAUGAAAUAGAAAGAUUGGUUUAGAGAGAUGGUGGGAUUAGGGUUUAGGUCUUCUGCAUCACCUACAGUGAUGGUUAAGGAGGAGGAUAUGAGUUGGAGAUUGUAUGUGAACUAAUGACAACUCAAUCAACUCACCAUAUCCCUCUAAUAGGGCAUGUCAAUUAUUUAAGUUCGGGCUACCAUAAAAAUCUAAUGCAUGAAGAUGAACAACUUUUAAAACACAUUAAGGGCAGUACGAAUUCUUGGUAAUGCGCCCUUCAACCUUUCAAAGCUUAAUAUUUGAGGAGGUUUAUAUUGGUGCUCUUCAACAAUACGUUGGCUUAUUUAGCUACAUGAUUUUAAGAAAAAUUAUUGAACAAAAAAAAUAUUUUACAUAAAAUUAUUUAAACACCAGAAAAUAUAACAUUUUUCAAAAAAUUGAAAAUUAUUUCCAAUAAAACAUAAGCAAUCUAAUAUGAACAUGCGGAAAGCAGUCUCUAGAGCAUAAACUGCUGCUUCCUCGACAUAAAUACUAUUACUUUGAAUCUCUGUUUUGUGAAAGUUCAAAAAAAAAAAAAACAUCACCUAUACCAUAAAAUAUAUAGCCUAAAUAAAUUCAUCCCCUCUAAGGCUCACAGAUCUAACUGAGAUCCUUAAAUGUUGGUGGAGCCAACCCAACCUGUGUGUCACUCAAGCUUCUGUGGACACCAGGCCUUGGCCCUGAGGAUCGCCAAAGUCAUUAAAUAGCUUUGUACAUAACUGCAAUUAUAUACAUAAUAAAUGUCACAUCUUAAUUUUAUUUAAAUAUAUGUGGUUAAAGCAGAGCAAAAUACUGUAUACUUUCGUGUACCUGUCUAUAAACUGUAGAAUCGCCAUAUGAUUUUCUUAAUUCAACUACGUACAAUGACGGACUUAUCUCAAACACCUGGCGUGCAUAAUUUAAUCACACGAUUACACUUUGAUAUAGUGAAUUUUGAAUCAAAAGCUCACAACGAAUUUUGCUCGUCUUUUAGCACGAGAAUUUAUACCUCAGCUGCAACUGAAAGACUGGCAAGACGUUUUUGGACCGUGUGCUCUUGCGUUGCUUUCAACUGAAAUCAACAUGAAAUUUUAUAGUGUUAUUGUUGCCAUUACCAUCAAGCAUAUAUACCAAAUUAGAUUAUAGCAUAUGUAUGAUAUGGGUCAACCAUAAAAUUACAUAAUAAAUAUAUUUAUAAAAAAAUUAAUAUAAAUAAUAAUUAAAGUUUUGGUUAAUCAUAAGUAUAAAUGGAAAAAAAACUAAAAGAAUAUAGAUUCAAAAUUCUAUUAUUUUUUUUUUAUUUUUCUCUUGCAAGUUAAAAUUAUACUCUCUCAAUUAAAAACUUUAUAAUAAAUAUAGGUAUAUGUAAUUAUGAUUGAAGCUAAACCAUCUAAGAGGUAUUUAAUUUAUAUUGGAAAAAACAUAUGAAGUAGUACUUUUGGCUAUCAAAAUUCAAAAAAGUGCAGCCGAAGUAUUAAACAAGAUGAAUUUAUCAUCUAAAACUCGUGCUUUUUGAACUAUUACCAAAAAAACUCGUGCUUCUUGAACCAAAAGCAAAAGCUGUUAAAAGACGCGCUUUUUUUGCUGUUGCCAUAAACACUUUUUGAAUGUUUAAUGAUUUUUUUAUAUUCAUUAAAUAAUCACAUGUUUAACUUUUGAUGAUAAUAUUAAAAACAAAAGAAUUAUUAGAAUGAAAUAAUUUUUUAAAGAAAAUCUAAAACUAUAUUUUUACAUAAAUUUUCACAACAUAUUUAUAUAUUUUUAAUGCUAAUAAUUUAUUCAAUUACUAUUAAAAAUAAUCUAAUACAGUACCAGUUUUAACAUAAUGGUUCUUUUCAAACAAUUUAUAUGUGCAUUAUUCACCAAACUAUACUAAAUUAAGCCUCACAAUCAUGCAUUUAAUUUAUAAACAGAGAAAUGCAGUGCAUUAAGCAAAGCAACUAUAUAAAUCAGUUUACUAACCUUUCCGUUUCUCAUUUGGACUCGAAAUCCCAUCUCUGUCACCGUGUCUUGGAUCUUUGCAAGCAAAUCUUUACCCGAACGAUUUGAGGUAAAUCUGAUCUUCCUUUCAGAUACAUCCUGCAUAUUCAUAACAACUAGUUGCUAUCAGAUAUAAUUGCAUGAUACAGUGCUUACAUUAAAGAAAGGAGGCCUUAAUUAGUUUGGCUGGUACCUCCUUCUCAAAGAAACCAGAAAGGUCUAGGCACGAUGACAUUCCUAUCAACUGAAAAGCAUUAAUGAGAGUAGGUGAUUCUUGACUCCUACCUCCAUCACAACCCUUCAUCAAAAUAGUGUUUCUCUCCGUUAUGUUCAAAACUUGCAAACAAAGGACUCAUCAAAGAUUAUAUAUAUUGGGGGGAGGAGGGGUUGUACAUACCACUUCACACAUUGAGAAAGCUUCAUCAUCAAUAUAUAUGUCUUCUUCCUCAUCAUCAGGUACAGCAGGAGUAUAGUCUUGCUUGAACCAGUCAUCUUCCUUGAUACCCGCCAUUGUUAUCCUGGUUUCAGGGUUUGGGUCAAGAAUCCUUCUUAUCAUGUUCCGAGCCCCAGGUGACAACCAUUUCGGGAUCUGAGGAUCCCCUUUGAAAAUCUGAAAUCCAAAUCUCACAAAAGGGUUACACAUAAAGGAAAUUAAUAUUUUUUUAAAGAAAAAAGCACAAUCCGAUUACCUUUUGAUAAAGAACUGCAAGGUUUCUAUCAUCGAAAGGGAGAUAACCGGUGAGAAUGACAUAUAAGAUGACACCACAUGACCAUAUGUCUGAAGUGGCACCAUCAUACCCUCUAUUUGCCAAAAUCUCUGGCGCGACGUAGUUUGGACUUCCACAUGUUGUAUGCAGUAAGCCAUCCUCCUGAAAAUAUUUUGAAAACGAAAUUAAAAAUAGAAGAAUAUCAUUAUUUUUGGGUGAUUUUCAUUUUUAGAUGAUGAGCACUUUACGUACCCUAAUAUGUUGAGGCAAUGCACUAAGGCCAAAAUCAGAUAUCUUUAUGUUCCCUUUAUCAUCAAUCAGAACAUUUUCCAGCUGAAAUAAAUAAACAUAUAUAUUAAUAAUGGAAAGAAGAGGUGAUGAAAGGACCUUUGUUUAAUGCUUUAACAAAUCAAAUAUAUGAUAGGUUUAGAGGUAAUGAAAGGACCUUAAGAUCCCUGUGGAAAACACCUUUGUUGUGACAAUAACUAACACCAUCAAUUAAUUGCUGGAAGAACUUUCUUCCUUCUGCUUCUGAUAGCUUCCCUUUGGAUGCCUGUACAUGAUCAAAAAAAGCAGCUAAGCAAAACAAAUCAAUGUAAACUAAAUAAUAUUAUUGCAGCAGAAAGGACCCCUAAAAGUAAUUUCAUCAAGUCCCUUACAAUUCUGACAAACAAUUCCCCUCCAGUUGCGUACUCUAGGACCAUGUAAAUCUUGGUUUUGCUUGCCAACACCUGCAUGUUUAUUAUAAAGCAAAGGCAUCAUUACAGCAACUAAGUACCACUCUUAAUCUUAUGAUUGUGAUUGUCAUCAUUAACAAGAGAUUAACAACAUUAGGACAAAUAUCACAUACAUUGUCAAAAUCUAGAAGCAAAACAUUAGGAUAAAAGGGAUCGGUUCUUUUUGAUGAUUUAACAAGUUGACCUUUUACCCUUUUUUAUUGACUAAUGGAACGGCAUGGAAUACUUAGAUUUUUACGUAAAUCAUAUGAACCUAAAUCACAUUCUAUGAUUCUAGCAUUAGUUUUGCAACAAAUUAAUCAAUGAAUACUUUUUGUUCUUCCUGGUGGAAAUGUAAAUAAAAUAACAACAUAGAGCCUAGGAUAUGUUGUAAAAAUUAACCAAGAAAACAAGUGAAGAAAAUGACACCCAUUACGAAAACGCCUACCACUUGCAAAAUUGGUGGGUUCAAAUACAUAAUUGCGGCCCCCAAAAUUCGAUUUAAUGAUUCUAAUUAUUUUGUUAUUUACUGUGUAGACAAAUAGAAAUUGCCCAGAAAAAAAAAGUGGUGAUUGUUGUGGGCUACCAGCUGGUGGGGGACUGAUGAUAUUAAUUCAAUACAAAUAAAUUAUUGAAAUACAAAUUUUUACUAAUUUAACAGUAAGAUUUAGUGGUGUUACUCAAAAGAUUAAUUUUUCAAUUUUCAUAAAGUAUGAUAUCAGAUACUAUUAAUUAAGCUAAUUGAAUCAAUUGGCUCUGUUAUUUUUACAACAAAAGGAAGAAUAUGGAUUAAGUGUGCUUAAGUACAUAUUAUCUUAUUUAUAAGUAGUAGUUGGAAUUGUAUAAAAAAAUUUCUAAAAUACAAAGUAGAAAAAUUUUAUAACUUAUAUUCAAUACUUAAAUCUUUCAAGACUUGAUAGUAAAUUUAAUUAAAUCUAUACUUUAAUUGACCGAUUGAUUUAGAUCUUAACUGAUUUAACUAACCUGAUUUAAUAUCGAUUAGUUAAAUAAAUUAAAAGUUGAAUUGGAAUUCUGAUUAAAAUAUUAUAUUUUAUAUAUUUAAAAAAUAUAUAUAUAUACAUACAUAUUAAAAGUUAAUCGGACCAGUUGAUUCUAUCAUCCAUUAGAAAAUUUUAUAAUCAAUAAUAAAUUUUAAUUGUAUACAAAACUUCCCUAUUUGGCAUUUCAAUUCGACUCCCCCUUAGACUCGUUUAGAAUAAGUCUGAUAUUGACCAGUAGUUGGCUAGUUUAUGUUGCUACGAAUGUAUUGUACCAGAUAUUAUUUACUCUACUUUAUAUUUAAAUACAAACAGAUGUUUUCAUAAAGUACAGGAAUCAAAGUCGUGAGAAAACGUGUAACUGGAUAUAUGUGAAAAUAAUAAUUAUAACGAGAGAAAUGGGCCCCACUUGACCUGCUGGCCAUUCUCCUAUUGGCUAUUUCCUAUUUAAAAAUUAAAGAGUAGGUUUUAAAUAUGUGGCUAGCGCUUGCGUAUCUCACCGUCACGUAUUUGUGGUUCAUAGUAAAAACAGCGACGGUAGCAAUAAAUAAACAAUAUAGAUUAAAAAAAUAGUAACUAACCGACCAGAUUUUAUGGGUAUGAGGUUCAGAUGAGACAUGUAGUUCACGUGCAUAACUAAAACGUGAUGUGACUUGCUUUACACGUGGCUUAAUUUGAGUGGCAAUAAUUUUGUUUUAGUUGGUCAGGGAAAAAAAAAGAAGAAAAAUGAUCCGUGUGGUAAAGUGGAUUAAGACGGAAGAAUGGUCCAAUUUGAUACCCCGUCAAAUAUAGUCGAGGCAAUCCAAUUCUUAUCUGGUGCAGGUUGUCUGAUCAAGGCUUGUAUCAUAUGAGUGCGAUUGUUAUGAUUAGAAAAAAUAAAAUAAAAAUAAAAUCAUAGGAUUAAAUUUUUAUUUUUCUAUUUAAUUGAUUUGAUAGAUGGAUUAGAAUGGUUUAAUAAAUUUUAAAAUAUAAAUUAAUAAUAAUUAAAAAAUAAUAAUUUUUUUGAAUAAAAUGAUCUAACAAGUUCAAUCAUUUAGACAAAUUUGAAACAUACAUUAAUAACGGGGUGUAGAAGGGGGCAGGCAGGCCCCCAAAAAUUAAAACAUUAAAUUGAUGUUCUUUUCUUUAACUUUUCAUUAAAUAAAAGAAUGACAUUUUUAGUUUUUAUGAAAAAUUAAUAAUUACUUUAAGCUAUUUUAAUACAUUUGUUUUUAAUUUUAUAAUUAUAUCUACGCCCAUUAAAUGAAAUUCCUAGUUUCACUUUGAUUAAUAAUAAUUUUAAAAAAUCGACUUUAAAAUAAGUGGGAAAAUUAAAACUUUCAACCAUUUGGGGAAAAAAAAUUGGUUUAAUCAUCUUGAAAAAUCUUAAAACAUAAAUGAAUAAUAAUUAUAAAAUUUAAUAAUAAAUAAAUAAAAAUCGGAAAUUUUAAUGAAAAAAAAAACCAAUAUGCAACUCAAAUUCCUUUUGUCAAAAAUUCCAAAAUUCAUAAUAAAAGAAAAAACAAAGAUGUUGAUUUUAUCUAUUUUUAACCGGUUCUCUAAUUUUUUUAUUAAAUUUAUAUAACUUUAUUGGACGGUCCAUUUUUUAUUUUUUUUAAAUCUAUGGUGCUUCAUUUCGGGUUAUAGGUGGUGGAAGUUGUUUGGAUACAAACUUCAAUACAAAAUUGAAGUUUGAAAGCAGAGUACUAAUGGAUUCUUAUCCAUCAAAAUUACGGCACAAAAUCAGGAAUUAAUUUAAUCUUUUUUAACCACGUAAUCAAAAGUCCAAACAAGAAAAUGCGUUUAUCACAGAGAGUAAAAUAAUAAAUUAAUCGGCAUUCAACAACACCACAAAUGAUUGAGAUAUGAUAAACAAAAAGGACAUACCUCGUGUAAGCGAACCACGUUAGGAUGUUUGAGGAGUUUCAAAGUAGCGAUUUCUCUCUUUAUCUGCGCAAGUUUCCAGAUUCAAGAUUUUUCGAAAUUUGUAAUUUGAAAACUGCCAUAAACAGAAAUCAGAGAACAUAAUCACAUGCAGAAAUUAACCAAAACAAACAUCAAUCGGAAAGAAAUUGAAAGAAAGGAAGGUACCUGAUCGGCGAUGCUGAGUUGAAUGAGCUUGGACUUUUCGAGGAUCUUGACGGCGAAAGUGAGGCCGGAAUGGAGAUUCUUAGCCAAUUUAACUUUGCCGAAAUUUCCUUCGCCGAGAUUCCUCCCUAAUUCGUAAUUUCCUAAUUGCAAAAUUCCUUUCUUCUUGUUCUCCUCCGCUGUUCUCUUGCUGCCCAUUCACUCCUCCUUUGAUCUCUGUAAAUCUAAAUCUAUAAUAAAAAAACUAUCAAUCAAUCAAAGAUCUCUCUCUCUCUCUCUCUCUCUCUCUCUCUCUCUCUCUCUCUCUCUCUCUCUCUCUCUCUCUCUCUCUCUCUCUCUCUCUGUGUGUUUGUCUCUCGCACUGUUAUCUAAUUUCUUGUUAUAAACGAACGUCUAUGAGAAAAAUGAAUAUAUAAAUGGAAAAAAAUACUAGUCUAAGCUACGAGUAGGAAAAGUAAUACUGGUAAACGAAGGAAGCCUUGAAAGAGAAGAUAAUGGAGGAGAGAAAGGGGAAGAGAGGAGUUUAGACGCCAAAAAUAUUGUUCUUUAACUUAUGAAACCGUUGAAACCUUCCUUUUUAUGCUUCUCCUCGUUUAAAAUAUUUUAUUACACAAAACAUUUUAAUAUAAAAGUAUAUCUAAUUCUGGUUUAGUCCUUCUACUAUACUAAAAUUUGAGUUUUGAUCCCUCCAUUUCCUUUAAUUUAUAAAAAAUCUAAAUUCCAUCCAUAAUGUUGCAUGCUUAAUUGCACUUGAAGUCAUAAUCUUUAUAUUAUUGUAACAGUAACAAUGCCAACUGAACUAAUACUCAAAUUACUAAUCUCGACUUUAAUUUCACAUAAAUUGGUUCUUGCCUCCUUUUUUUAUGAGGGAAAGGGUAAGUAUUUUCAAAACAGAUUGAACUAAGGACUAGUAAUUUGAUCAAUUAAACUAGUGGUAUAUAACUAACUAUAAAGUAAAUAGCUAUCAAUUAGCAAAAAUUGAAAAUUGAGACAAAAAAAAAUAGAGGGUUCAAUCCAUUUUUUAUCUAAUUAUUGUUGAAUCCGUGGUUUAAUGGUGUAAUUGUUCAACCAUCACUUCGAUCUUACAAAGUUAUUAUUCAAUGAUUAAACCCAAAAUUAGUGUCAACUGAAUACUUGGUAUCAAGUCCUUUCCCACAUCCACCCAACAUUCAAUAGAUGAUUCCUCUACUUCUAUAACUUUACUAGUAGGUCCAAUUUGAUAGUAUUGUUAACUGCUUUCAUUAAGGUGUUGACAAGGAGUUUUUAAAAAAAAUAAGUAUUCAACUGACAUAUAAAUUUAUUAAUAAUUAAAUACGGUUGAUCAGGUUUUCAUCUAACCCUAACUAAGAUUGAAUAACAAAAACAAAAGAGAAAAUUUCAAGUUUUCAAUUUAACUAACAAUACAUUAUAAACAUAAAGGACCAAAUUAUGUCAAAUUAAAAUAGUAGAGUUAAAUCCAAUUUUUCAGUAUAAUAGAAGGAUUAAAACCACAAUUAGACCAUGGAUAUAGGACAAAGAGGCCAAGCCCACGUUUAAAUGCUUACUUACCCAUUUUGGUAGCUUUUCAGCAAAGGAAAGAACAACGGUGGUACUGUUACAUAAUAAUUGCAUACUUAUCCUAAUUAUUCCAGCUUUUCGUCAAUCACUUACCAAAAGAUCAAACUUAUAUGCUAUGCAUUUGUUGUUGCUGUUGGAAAAAAUAUUAUUGGUUCCGCAAUUUUUGAUCUAUUUGGAGGAAAAAAAAAUUGAAUUUUGAUUUACAAAAUCAAAAUUUUGUUUUGACGACAAAAUAAAAUUAUAAAACGCAACAAACUAAUACUCGGAAUCAAACCAAAAUAGAUCUCGGCGAUGACCCACCUAUAGUGGGAUUUAAGCCGGGACAUAAUUUGUGUAGGAUGGAAGUCAAACCUAGAGUAUUAAGAUUUUAGGACCUCAGCCAUUAUUGAUGGUGCUAAGACCUCACAGACUAUUUUGAUGAGUUUGUGGAUUUAUGUUGUAUUUAUUUUUGUUAUGCGGUGUUUUAAUUAUUUUCGUAUGUUAGAUAAUUAGGGUUUUUUACAAAAAUAAUAUAAAAAAAUAAAAAAUUACUAAAAUGUUAUACAUUUUUUUAUUUACUAAAAAAUAUAUAAUUUUUUUAUUUACUAAAAUAUAUCAAAAAAACCAAAAAAACAAAAAAAAUAAAAAAGAGAAAAAAAAAACCUGGACCGAUUUGACAGUUCCCUGGGUCAAGGGAACACUGUUGGCGGCACCAAACAAGGGUUCCCUGUUGGCGGCACCAAACAAGGGUUCCCUGUUGGCGGCACCACUCGUGUUAUAAACACGAACUCUGUCUAGCUGAAACAAGAAAAAUUAGAAGAAAAAGAAAAGAAAGAAGAGGUGCUGCAAAAAAAAAAGAAAAAGAGAGAAAGAGAAGAGAAAAAUCAGGUAUUCUUUAAAAAUAAUUGAUUAUGUUAUUGUUAUUGUUUUGUAUAAUUUGUAUUUUUUUUGUUUUAGUUUAGUUAUUAAGAUUAAAAUCAAUAAAACUCAAAUUAAUAGUUUUAGUUAGGGUUUUAUUAUCAAAAUAUUACAAAAAAUAAAAAUUUUAUAUUAUUAUUAUUAUUAUUAUUAUUAUUAUUAUUAAGAUGUUAGUUAGUAUUAUUGUUAGUAAAAAAUUAGUAUUAUUUUUGUAGUUAGUUAUUAAUAAUUUUAGUUAGUAUUAUUUUGUAUAUAAAAUUAUUAAUAUUAUUAUUGUGUUAGUUAGUAGGAUUAGUGGUUAAAUGGCUUUCAUGUACAAAAUUGAAUAUUGAAACAUUAGUUUUUUUUAUUUAAGUUAUUUAUUUUAUUAUCCGUGCAAGAUGUUUUACGAGAUUUUGUUUAUUUUUUGACAGAUUAAAUAUUGAAGAUGGAUGCUAAGUUUUUUGUAUGCGUUUAUUUCGACGGAGUCAUCUUAACAACAAGUGUUUGAUGUGUAUUUGAAUGUCAGCAACAAAUAGCAAUGAGAUUUAAUAGAAAUGUCUCGUUUGAUGAAAUGAAGGCAAGGAUUAAUGCAAAAAUUUUAAGACGUUGUGGGAGAAGGAUAGUAAAAUUUUCUACAAGUUUCCAGAUUCGACAAAUCCAGUCAAAUUCGUCGAAAUGGAACUUGCAGACGACGAAGACGUUGAGACAAUGGUCGAUCUCUACUGUGGGAAUGGGAGUGACAAGAAUGCACCGAUUCACUUAUUUGCUGAGUUAGUCGGUAUGGAGCAAAAUGCAUCUGAUGAAGAAGACGGGGCUGAAGAACCGCGGAUGGUGGCUCCAAUAUCAUACGUUGAUAGUGAAUCAAGUAUGGGUGGGAUCAAUAUCGACCUGAAUAUUACACCCGAUGUUGAUAUGGUUGGUGGUGAAGAAGAAGGUGGUUGCGAAGAAGAAGGUGGUGGCGAUCAUUGGGAUGAAGAGGUCGAUAGUGACGGUGAUCCCGAUGUGGACGAUGUACCUGAUGAUAUCGAAGAUGAAGACAUUAACGCUUCUUCGAUCGGGGAGCAGAUGCGGCAUAUUUUGAUACACAAUAAUCCUGGGCCACACAUGUCGCUCAUAAACCCCGAUGCAGCGUAUGUAGCUGAGUUCCCAGAGUACCCUGAAAUAGUUCAUCGUCACGAGCUGGCCGUAACAUCUGAUGAUGAGGAGUUAUUCAUAGGCCAGAGAUUCAGCUGUAAAGAAGAGUGCGUAUAUGCCAUCAAACGGUACAGCAUGAAUAAAUCAGUUGAUUAUAAAGUCACAGUGUCUACUCCGACAAUAUAUGUUGGGGAGUGUUGGAAGGCAGUGGAAGGCUGCAAUUGGCAGGUGCGAGCUGCAUUCAUUAAAAGUUCUCAGAUGUGGGAGAUACGAAAAUUUGUUGGUCCUCAUAUAUGCACAUCAACACGUAUGACAGAAGAUCAUGAAAAACUUGAUUCAAAAACAAUCUGUACGUGUAUCAUGCCAAUGGUGAAGGACAUGCCGACCAUUAAAGUUUCGGUACUGAUUGCCGAAAUACAAGCACGAUUCCAGUAUCGAGUCUCAUAUCGGAAGGCAUGGAUUGCUAAACAGAUGGCGAUGGAGCAACUGUAUGGAGAUUAUGAUUCAUCGUAUAACGAGCUUCAAGGUUGGAUAGCUGCUAUGCGGGAGUAUGUAUCGGGGACUGUGAUUGAGUUGCAGACAAGGCCAUAUUACGGGCUGGAUGACCAGUUACAGCCGGCAAAAAGGAUUUUCCAUCGGAUGUUCUGGACGUUCGAUCCAUGUGUGUGGGCAUUUCCCCACUGCAAACCACUUGUGCAGGUGGAUGGGACCUGGCUGUAUGGAAAAUAUACACAGAUCUUACUUCUUGCAGUUGCUCAAGACGGCAACAGAACGUGCUCCCGAUAGCAUUUGCUAUCGUAGAUAAAGAGAACAUGGAGUUUUGGGAAUUCUUCCUCACAAACCUGCGGAGGUAUGUUAUUAGCAACGAUAACAUUUGCAUCAUCUCUGAUAGAGGGAAGGGUUUAAUUGCAGCAAUCAGACGUUCCGGUGUGCCGUGGAGAUCCGUUUACUGCAUCCGUCACAUUGCGGCUAACUUCCACAAAGAUUACAAGAAUGCAGACUGGAAGAGACAAGUCGUGGCAAUGGGUAAAUGAUAACCUUAUAUUUUCAAUAUAAGUUGUAAUGUUUCAUGUUAUGGAGUUACUAGAACUUAUUUUUCUUAAUAUGUAUGCAGCGUACGAGUUAGAGCCACAUAUGUUCCAGCAAAAAAUGAUCCGACUUGAGAGUGACAUGGAUGAGCAGACAAACACAUCUUUCCGACAAUGGUUGGGCACAAUGGAGCUGUGGCAAUGGGCUCAAAGUUUUGACGAGGGCUUUCGUUAUGGUCAAAUGACCACAAACUUAGUCGAGGGGAUCAACGCUGUUUUGUUAAAAACACGUCAUCUUCCGAUUGCAUCUGUAUUUUCUGCUACUUUCUAUAGGCUGGCUACUUUGAUACCAAGAAUGGGUCAGCAGCAAGUCGACCAGAUUGAGGCGGGGCACGUAUUUGUCGAACAUGUCAGGGAUACAAUGGUCGCAAACCGUCGGUUGGCGAGGUCAAUGAAUGUAGAAAUAUAUUCACGACGACUGGAAACAUUUCGAGUUACUGAGAACAUCAGUCAUCGACCUAGUAUACCAACUAGGUCCUACGGAGUUGAUCUCCGGAACCGACGGUGCGAGUGCAGAAGGUUCGAAACACUUCAUUAUCCCUGUGCGCAUAUCGUAGCAGCGUGUGCUAAAGUUAACGUCAAUGUUGAACAAUAUAUCGAUGAUGUGUACACGCUGGAGCGCACAUUGCGUGUCUGGGAAAAUGAGUUCCCCGUCUUGCCUGACCUAUCAACGUGGGAGGUGCCUCUGACGACUUUCGAGCUUCUCCCAGACAGAGGGCUGCGGAGGAAUCCGAGAGGUCGUCCGCAGUCAAGCAGAAUCCGUAAUGAAAUGGACAUCAGGGAGAAGUCUGACGGAAAGCGUUGUGGAAUAUGCAGGUUAAGUGGUCAUAGUCGGAAUAAAUGCCCUAACCGAAACUUUCAUGUUGGACAGUCGUCCGGAUCGGGUCGUAAUUGACCUAAUAUUGUAAAAUUUUUAUGUGUAAUUAUAAAAACUAUACAAAUGAUUAUGAUUACAUUGUAUCCAAAUUAAGUAAUAAAAUAAUAUAUGGCGUUUGGAAUUAUUAAUAUUACAUCGAAAAUGGAGGCAUAUAACCUUAAAUUAAGCAUUAAUAUAAUGCAACUUUAAAAUAAUUAAAUUAGUAAAAAGAAAUUGAACAAUAACCACAAUAACUGAAAGUAGAAUAAUUAAAUUAGAAUAAUUUAAUUGAUACAAAAAAGUACAAACGUGUUAAUGUACAAACAUGUGUCAUACACCCCUAAAAUUGAUGGUUCGAUGGUGUAGUCCUAGGGGUAUACCUAUUCGGAGGUCGACGGUCACGUUCUGGGUGCUCGCGACGACUGACAUUAUCAUUUGGCGCAGGUGGUGGUGUAGUAAAAACAGGUCCCUCGCUCGGCAGCGACGAACUUGAUGCACCUGAGGGAGUCCCAUAAUGCUGCGGAUAUGGGCCGGGCGAGUAGGAUCCGAAUAGUUCAAAGUCGUAUGCAUAUUCUGGCCCUGAGAAGCUCGGCAAAUUGUCAGUGCCUGGCAAUUCCGGAUGAUAGCUAUCUGAACCGACAAACCCAGAUUGUUCCGGAUCUGGCUGGGGCUCCUGCUCGGGCUCUGGUGGUUCCGGAGAAUAAUAUGCCAUUAUUUCUUUGUACGUCUAUCCUUUUUAAAUAAAUAAUAAAUAAUAACUCAUACCGCGUUAUUAACCGCAUCAGAUAUGUGGCUUUUUUUGCUAAUCAAUGAAGCCAUUGCGAAGCCUGCAAGUUGAAAAAAAAAGUUAGUAAAAAACUCUUACUUCGGCCAUUUGUUCGUAUUUUUUUCUCCGCAUUUUAUUACUUUAAAAAAUAUCUUCAUUUCUAAUUUUAUAAUUUUACAUAAUGUUUUAAAUUUAUUAAUUUAGUGUGUUUUUAAAAUUAAUUUACUGUAAAAAAACCAUUAUCCCUGCCAUUUACUCGUAUUAUUUAGUGUAUUUAGUGUAAAAUUAAUUUAUAAAUUUACUGUGUUUUUUUCCUUUUUUUAUUCUUUUUUGUUUUUUACUUUUUUUUGAAAUAUUUUGGUAAAUAAUAAAAAUUAUAUAUAUUUUGGUCAAUAAAAAAAGUUGUAAUAUUUUGGUAAUUUUUUAUUUUUUAUAUUAUUUUUUUAUAAAACCCAUAAUAAAACAUUACAAAAAUGAUAAAAUAUUUAAAAAAUUACCAAAAUAUUAUAUAUAUUUUUUAUUUACCAAAAUAAAAAAAUUACUAAAACCGGGUUUUUUAUUUGGUGUAAGAAAAAAAUCCUUAUCCCUGCCAUUUGCUCGUAUUUUUUUCCCGAUUUUUAUUUUCAAUAAAAAUAUAUUUAUUUUUUUAUUUUAUUACUUUAUAUUAUUUCAUUACAUUUUUUUAAAAAUAUUUGUAUUAACUAUUUCUCAAUUUUUUAAAAAGUUAGUAAUACACUAUUAUUUUGGCCAUUUGUUCGUAUUUUUCUCUCCGCAUUUUAUUAUUUUAAAAAAUAUCGUAAUUUUAAAUUUUAUAAUUUUAUACUUUUUCAGUGCAUUAUGUUUACAAUUUAUUAAAGAUAUAAUUUUUUUCGCAUUUUCUUACUUUCGGUGAAUAUAUAAUUUUCGUUUUUUCUUUUCGUAUUUUAUGUUUUCUUAAAUAUAUUUCUUUAUCAUUUUACUUUUAAUGUUAUUUUCCUAACAAAACUAAUUUCAACAUCCUAAGUCAAUUUCAUAAAAAAAAUUCCUAAUCAACAUAUAAUGUACAUACCAUUAAUUUUUUCAUGCUAAAUAUAUCUCAAAAAUUAUAUAUCCUAAAUAAAUUAAUAAAAUACGUAAAAUGUACUUAACAUUAUUUUUUAACACACAAAUAUUGAAAAAAUCUUAAAUUAAUAAUAAUAAUUACCUUAUUUUUUUUUUCCUUCCUUCUUUCCCUCUUCUUCUUCUUUCUUUUUUUUUCCUCUUCUCCUUUCCUUUUCUUUCCUUCUUUUUCUUUCUUUCCUCUCCUUUCCUUUUCCUUCUUUUUCUUUCUUCCUUUCUUUCUUCUUCUUCCCCUCUCCUUCUUCCCCCCACCAACCGGCCACCCUUAAUAUUUAAGGUGGUGCCGCCAACAAGGAAUCCUUGUUUGGUGCCGCCAACAAGGUUUCCUUGUUUGGUGCCGCCAACAGUGUUCCCUUGACCAAGGGAACUGUCAAAUCGGUCCAGAUUUUUUUUUUGUUUUUUUGGUUUUUUUUAUAUAUAUUGGUAAAUAAAAAAAAUUAUAUAUAUUUUGGUAAAAAAAAUGUAUAACAUUUUGGUAAUUUUUUAUUUUUUUUAUAUUAUUUUUGUAAAAAACCCUAGAUAAUUACAUUCAGGGGUGGCACCUGGAAAAAUAUUACAUUAACUUAUUUAUAUUUUAUAAGCUUAUAAAUGAGUAAAUGGAUAAAUUGUACUUUAUCCUCAAAAUUAUAAAGAUAUAAGCUAAUAAAAUGAUAAAAUUACAUAUUAACUCUUAAAAAAAUUCAUAAUUCAAUUUCAACCUCUUAAAGAUAAUUUCUAACUUCGUCGCUAAUUACAUUAUACCUGAAAAUAUAAAAUUAUUUGUCGAUGGAUUCAUAUUAUUUUGCGUCAUAACUGUUUUGAGGAUAAGAUAUUUAUCUAAAAUUUUAAUAAUUCCUUUUAAUCAUAUUUUAAUUAUUAAAUGUUUGGCUUAAAAUAUUUCAAAUUAAAUAUAAAAAGAAAAGGUUAGUAUAAAAAUAAAAUAAAAUAAAAACAGAGAAUGAAGACCCCUUGACCUGUGAUAUGGCCAAAAAUGAACGAACAAUUAGACAAAGAUUGGUGAGCAGCCAGGAAUUGGUGUGGUUGCUUAAGUUUAUAUUUGAUAGACAAAUGAAAAUUGAGUGCACACAACUUAAAAUAUUGUCUAUUAAAAUCCUAUUUUAGGAUCAAAGUUUGUUUUUAUCAAUUCAGGUUCGCAUUGCCCAAAUCACCCUUAGCCAUAUCUUAAUUUUUAAAUUAAUAUUUAGACUAUACUCUAAUUUCACUUUUUUUAUUGACCACUCUUUUUUUAAAUACCUCAAAUACCAUUAUGAAAAUUGGGUAUAAUUUGGAAAUCAAUUAGGUAAUAAAGCGUUAUUAUUAUUAUUAUUAUUAUGUAAUGCAUUAUCAGUGUAUACGUCUCAUACAGACACAUUAAGGGGUAAGCAAAAUUCGAUUCGAUUCUAAAAAAUAAAAAAAAAUCGAAUUUCGAGUUGAUCGAAUUGAUCAAGUUAUUCGAUUUUUUCGAGUCAACUUGAGUUCGAGUCAGGUUGAAUUUUACAAUUUGAGUAAUAGAUUAGUGUUAAUACCCCUUUGAUCCCUAUCAAUUUUGAAAAUGAACAAAUUAGUCUCUCUUAACAAAAAUUACAAAAAAAAAAGAUAAAAUAAUUUUCAAAUUUUCAAAAUAUUUAUAAAAAUUCUAAAAUUUAUAUUUAAAAAAUAAAAAAAUUUUAAUUUUUUAAACAACAUAUAAAGAAAGUUAAAAUUUUUAAAAAUUUCUAAAACAAUAAUUUUGGGACCUAAAUAGGUAAAUUAAUGAUUCAAGUUAAACAUAUUAAAGUAUCUUUUUUUUUCUUAUUUUGCUUUGAAAAAGUUUUCAAAUAUAUAUGGUUUCAAAUUUAUGUGCUCUAAUAUCAAAUUAGUUAUAUUAUAACAAGAUUUUAAUUUGACAUGCUUAAUUUUUUAAUUUAACUCGAAUAAUUUCAUUUCACUCGACUUGAUUCGAAAAAAGGAUGAUAAAUAGGACUUGUCAACUCGAUUAACUCAAAAUUUUUUCACUCGAUUCGAUCGAACGCUCACCCUAGACACAUCAAUCAUUAGAGUAAAAUUAAAAAAAAAAAUUGAAGAACUUGAAAAUAAAUACAUUUAGCUUUAUUUAAACAUAAUUUAAUAUUAAUUAUAAUUAUUUUAUUUCUCUUUCGGGUUAUAGGUUUGAUUUAAUAUUUAUUUUCAAAAUAAAGUUAUUUAUAUUGAUUUUUAAAGUCUUCAAUUUUUUUUUUACAACAUUAAUGAUAUAUCAUUUUAUUAUUAACUAACUAAUGGUGCAUAAAAUCUAUGCACUAAUUGGAUCAACUGUUAUUACAUCAGUGCAUGUGCAUAGGCCACAUUUCAUAACCAAAUUGGAUCAACUAGUUGAAUGACUCAAGAACCAAUUUAAAAUAAAAGGUUGGAUCAACCAACCUACAAAUUGAUUGAACUAAUUUGUCAAAUCUGUCAAAUCAAUUAAACCGAGUUAAAAAAAAUCAAUUAAACCAAUAAUUACACCCAUUGAACUGAUUUUCUCUACUUUUUAAAAAUAGAUAUAUUUUAUUUUUAAUAAUUUAUUCAAUUAAAUCGGAGAAAUCAAUCAAAUUAGAAACCGUUCGGCCAUUACUUUUAAAACCUUGGCAUAGACUUAAUAGAAUCCAAAAAAAUCCAAAUCCGAAAAAAGAAGGAACCUGAAUCCUAAACACGAAAAGAAUCAAACCUGAGAAAAUAUCAAGCUCGAAAAAACUUCAACAUGAAAAGGCCAGAAUCUGAAAAUUGAUAAACAAAUAAACUCAACUAUUUCACACAUUGAAACAUACAACUGAAUUUACGAAAUAUCCACCUUUUUCACCGUAUGUUCCUAAAUUUCUAUAUGUAAAGGGGAAAAAAAAGGGAAAAUCUUCUUGCAAAAAUUAGCACAAAAAUCAUUUACAGUUCAACACACUGUUUAUGACAAACUUAAGAACCCGGAUGCUGGCGGUUUCUGAGGCAGAUGUCGUGGACAUGCUUUGUAAAUGAUCCACAAUCUGAGACACCUGCCUAAAGAUUGGUACCACAUGCAUGGCUAUUGUCGGAUCCGAGGGGAUUAUGGCAACAGCUACAUCAGUCAUCCAUACAAGCUUUCUACUUGUUUCCUUGUUGAUAUCACAAGCCAGUUGCUGAAAAAGUGCCAGCAAUACUCCUUGGCUCAGUGGACAUGGUUUCAUUGACAAUAUCCCUUGCAGAUUAACCUGGUUAAUUCAGAUCAGACCAAUGUCAGGUCUCAAAGAGUUUUCUUGUCAUGCACAACAAGGGUUGUUGGAAAAUAAUGUCAAAGAGUACAACUAGUUAUUGGAACUUACCUGAGAACACAACCAGGAAACUAUAGAGACAUCGCUUCUAUGCAGGGCUGAGGUGAAUGCUUCUUCAUAUUUCUUUUCAGCUAUCAAUCUUGCUAACUCUUUAGUUGGAUCUAAGUGUGCCUCAGGCUGCGGUACACGUAUAACAUCGGUGUGAGGCAGAUGAAUAGUGACUGUCAGAUUCAUGAGAAACAGAGAGAGGGGAGCAUACCAUCUCAUGCAGAUGAGUCAGUGGUCCAUUACUCAAUUGUGAAACCAAGGGAUUUCCUGCAUUGGAGUUGCCACCUGCAGCUGCUAUAGCUAGAAGAUUUCGUUGCGCGUUGGCCAGUUCACCACUUAAGGUUUGUGUGAUUGAAGUUGCAGAUUUAAUAGCUUCCUGCAAAUAUAAAGCAGGUCAUCUUAAAAGAGUUAGCUGUACCAGAAGGUUUGUGUGAUUGAAGUUGCAGAUGUAAUAGUUUCCUGCAAAUAUAAAGCAGGUCAUCUUAAAAGAGUUAGCUGUACCAGCAAAGUCAGUAAUACAGGCAAAAACUUUGCAUAAACAGGAAAGGUUGCCUUUGUACGUUUCAUCAUAUUGGACAUCAUUAAAGCUGGCUGGUAACAACAUUAUAUUCCCGAAACAAUCAUCCAUUAAUGAUGUAAAGUUCUUGGGAACAAAGAAGUCUAGUACCCUAAAGCCUAAUACUCUCCAUAAAUAUUAAAGGCCAUCCUUCUAUGGUUCAAUUCUAUGCAUGUCAGUGUAAAAGAACCAUGUUAUGAUACUAUAUUCCUAGAAUCUCCCAUUCAGAAUUUAUCUUGGUAGCACACAUGGUUAAGCUGGCAAUAAGAUUUUCCCGGAAUAUGUUCGGUUAAAGGCAACCUCUAUUGCUGUAUGCAACUCAUUAUGCAAAAUCAUUCAAUCUUAGCUAUAAAGAAAAAGGGCUAAAAUACACUCAUGCAACUUGUCCAAGAAAAGAUAUUAAGUUGGCAACUGUAACCAAGACCAGUAAAAUUAGUAUAUAAAAUGAGAAGGAAAUUUAAUUAUAUUUUAUCAUAGUUAUGCUACAAGAAAGGUAACCUUUGACAUUUUUAAUACAUUAAAGUGGGAAUUAAGUCACAAUGAGAGAAACCACCGAACUGUCAACAAUCUACCAUACCUGUAGAGCAGCAGCAAGGGAAGAAUGUGAAUUUUCAAAUUGCUGCUGAGCAGUUGCUGUGUGUUCUAUUAGCCCUUUAUGAAAUGUGACAUCAAUUUGCUCAAACAUUGAUUUGCAUGACAUCUCAAAUGCUGGAAUAACAGAAGUUUCCAAGCUAGAUCUCAGUGCAUCCUGUGGACAAAUCCAGAAUUUCUCUAAUCAGCAACAUUAUCCAACUUUAAAUUUUAAGAUAUAUGAACAUUCAUUCCAAUAAAAAAAGUUAGCAGAAUGUCACUAGGGAGGAUGACCAUUAGAGACUAAAAACAAAAAGAAAUAACUAGAAAACUCAGCACAGUUUUUGGACAUUCAUCUGAUGGAUUCUAAAGCCAAAAAGUUUUCCUUAGGAGACACUAGGCAGGUGUCUAUUCCCCCACCCCACCCACCUCUCUUAUCAACUAUUCAACUUUAAAUUCAGAGUAGUCUAAGUUCAACCACCUAUAUCAACAUAAACUAGAGGGAAAAAUAGGAACAGGAAUUUUAUGCAGAAUGGAAUUUAGAGUUGCUACCAGUCCAUAAGGGAAGCUCAUACAAUUAGUAAGGUAAAAUUGAUCUAUUGAAUUUGGUGAUAUUGGACAGUACAUGUAAUUGCAUUUUACAAUAAAGGUAGACAUCUCUAUGAAAGGUUAUGAAUUACUUUUAGAACUGUCCAUAAGUAAUUUGAAUGCUUAUUUGCCAAACAAGAAUACAGUCACCAAUCCUAGCUAUCUAAAUUCUUAUAAAUAAACCUUUAUCAUCUAGAAAUAAAUUAUCCUUCAUUAUCAAGUUGUAAAAGAGGGAAAAAGAAAAGCAUGGCAAGGUUCAAAUCAGCUCAAUAAUGAAAAACAACCAACUACAUAAGAAAGAAAAUAGUUGAACAAGAAAUCACCUGAAGUGCUUGCUUUCCAGUAGUUUGAAAUUGUGCUUGGAUUUGCCUGGCCACUGUUGCUUCAAGUUUUGAACUGACUGACUUCUCCAAAUGAUUCACUGCCCUCUCCCCAAUGCCUUUCUGCAAAAUACCCAAUUAAAAACCCCAUUAAUAUAACAAACACAAUUUUAGUGGCUUAAGGCAAUUGAAUACCACAUUUUACUGCAUUUAGAGGACAAAAUUCACUACUUAUGAAUGAAGCUGAAAGAUGAACAGCAACAGAUUGUUUAGAAACAUUUGAGGCUUCACCAAAAUUUACCCAGAAACAAGGUAGAAGAUAGGACAAGAACGAACUUUACAGCAUAUUUUCAAUGAUAAGAUCAGCUCUAUUUAAGAUCAGUUAAAGUGUUAUUUAGCAUGUGUUUCCCCAAACAAAAGAGUGUUUAGGUAUAUUUUUCUUUAACGCAUCAGUAUCAUAAAAUUCAACAGAAAACAAUAUAUUAAAUAUAAAAUUCUUACUAUAAAUAUCACAUUGAACCAAGCCAAGAGGCACCUGUUAGCAUUUCCCAUAGGAUAUAAUUGCUGCAUUUCCUAUCAUGUCAUCGUUUAUAAUGGUGCUCUGUCCAAAUAAAUGACCACCGCAGUCUUAUGGGACACAAAACAAUCUGAUAUGUCAACAGAAUUUGGAUUUUUGUUUUUACCUGGAAUGACUCUGUAAUAGCAGAAGAUAUACUUUUCUCCAGAGUGGGACUAAUAGCACGAGCCACAACAGGGCCAACUGCAGCUAUUUCCUUCUUUAAGGAUUUCUCAAACAUGGCUGGCAAGUCCUUAUUUAAACAGUUGGUGAUCAAAUUUGUUAUCUGCUGCAUGCGGUCUCUCUCUAACUUCUCUUGUUUUGCAUUUUCAUCUUGGAUACGGGCCCACAAAGCAUCUGUGUUUGCCUUUACAGCUUUCUCAAUGCUCCUGCCCAAGGAUGCUUCCAGUCUUUUCCCUUCUUUGUUAACAGGAGCAGAGACAAUUGCAUUCAUCUGCUUCUGCAUUUCCUUCUGCACGCUAAGGGACUGCUUGGUGCAACAAAAACAUUAUAGUAAGAAGACUAUACGACAAACAUUAACACACACAAAUAAGCGUGUUUAAAGAGGAGAUUCUUCAAUUUUAUUCUAAGAGAAACGAUUCUUUCUUCAAAAAGUUGUUUAUUGUAUUUUUUAAAAAACUACCUGCUCAAGCAUAUCCCGCAUGGCCAGCAAUUGGGGGAAAUUAGCAUCAGCUGACAGAGCCCCAGAACUGCAACCUGGUUCAUUAGAUGAAUCCGUGGAAUUAUAUGGGCUAGCUGAAGGGGAAGAUGGGACAGAUACUUGAGAAUUUUUCUUCUUCUGCUUUUUCCCUUUAGCAGAAGCUGGAGAUGGGGAACCAGUGAUGGCAGUGUUUGUUUCACCAACCUUUGGAGGGGCAUUUUUAAUCACAUUCUGGUCACCCCCAUCACCAGCAUUAGUUAGUCUAUCUGCUUGAACCAAAACACCCAAGUGAUUAGCUUGUUGAGCUCCCUCAAUGCCAUAACUUUCUACACAAAAAUCUCUAGCCAUCUGAAUGCCAAGUUCUGAUGCCUGUGAGUAGAAGGCCUUUUCUUUGUUAUCUCCAACUGUAGUAUGAGAGCCUUGUGAAUAUUUAGUCUCACCAAGAACAUCAACUUCUACCUCUACACUUUCAGCAUCAUUCUUGACCACAUCUUUGAUUGUUGCCUCACCCUCAUUAAUAACCUGACUGAUUUGUGCAUUUUCUGUCGAUGAAGACACGGUAGACAAUAUCUCUGAUGGUGUUACCAGAUGGGUUGGAUGUUUGAACACUGCAAUAUCUUCACCUUUCUGCAAGUUCUCACCUGCGUAGGGCACUUCAACAUUAUUCUCUUUAACCGUGUCUACUUUGUGAUCAACAGAAUGAUCAGGUGCUGAGCGGUUAACAUGAUCAACACUUGAUGGAUUUCCAAAACCAGAAGACUUCCGUGAUAACCUUGGACUUAAUGGAAGUGGAGGUGUUGCAAUGUGCACAUUUUCAGCACUACUACCAGACAGCAAAGCACUUGGCUUAAUUUCCAUGCCAGACACAGCACUCUCAGAUAUGAAUGUAACCUCUGAAGAAGCUACGUUUUGUGAACAGCUCGCCAUGGCAGCGCUUUCAGAGCUACUGUAGUUUAUAGUCUUCUCAGUUGGUUUAUAUCCAUGAGAUAAUUCCUGAGAAGCAGAACCAUCAGAGUUCAUGGCAUCAGAAACAUGAGCAACAUUAGAAUCAGUUUUAUCCAAGUCUGUGUUUUCCAGGGGUGGUGGUAGGCACUGAGACAAGUCCAAAGCAUAUUGCUGAAUAGCCUGUGUUUGAACACAGUAGACUUGGACAGUAUAUUCUCCACCUGGCAAACUAUCACUUGUUCCCGUGAGACUCAAUAUAGGCAUUGUGACAGUGAAUUCAGCUAUGUAAUCCAUGCAGGUAGCUGCAGGAUUAUGCCCAUAUUCUAUGUGUACAGCAUAUAUAGCAUUCUUCUUGGCAUUUGCAAGCAGAAACAGGCCUGCAUGGGGCAGUGCCAAAACUUGAUUAAAGAAUGCAUUGUCAACCUCAGACUCAGCAGAACACCUCAAUUCCAAUGUCUGCAUACACUGCCAUGAUUCACCAUCACUGGGCAACAACCAGCCCUCUUCACCUGAAGAGGCCCAUAUCUUCACUUCACGGUUUAGUGGGCCCUAUAGGUAAAAAGACAAUAGAAAAUUAGACACUUGGCAUAAUGAGAAGAGAAUUUAUGCCACAUUACCAACACAACAGCAGAAGUAAUUUUCUGUCGAAAUCACAAAAGCUUCAUAUGGUCAUAGAAAAUGUUUUAUAAAAAAGGUAAAGACAAUCUAAAAAGGAAAAGAAACAGAGGCCUACUCCGGUGAUAAGAACAAUAUGAUCAGGGCGAUGUGGGGCAGUCAAGAAUGUUGCCGAGUAAACAGGAUGUCCAUCAUGUGGCCUCAACACUGCAAGUGGUAUGGGCUUACGAUCUUCCCAAAUUUUCACCUGUCACAGAAAUUUACAGUUUCCAUAAAUAUCAUUACCAAAUUGAAGAAUGAAUACAUAUGGCCUGCUGUGAAUCUAAGCAUACUGCUUAAUGGAACAACUGGCACAAGUCGGACCAAAAACUUCAAUUUUCUGGGCCUUAAAAUGUCAAUAGCUGUCAGGUACUUGAUUUGCAGUAUUGCCGCAUUAAUAGUAGUUUAUGGUCAUAAUGAGAAAAUCGCUUUGGACAGCCAAAAACCUUUUAUAUGCAUUAAAAUGGCUCAACAUGCAUCACUACAACCAUCAUGUUAGAUGGAAAUAAAACAUUAUCAGGUUUACAUGUCAAGUUCUGUCAUGGUAGUAAAACCAUUGAACUUCAAAGAGGUUGUCUGUGUUAGAGAUAUGACAAUCAUUCAACUUUCAAUUUUUCCUUCUUUAUUUUUUUCCAGGAGCAACUGUAUUAAGAACUAAAAUAGAGAGAAUAAAUCAGUAAAUAAGGAGAAGAGUAAGUACAAACCGUGCCAUCUACUGAAGCUGAAGCUAAACGGGUAGUCAACCAUUGGCACAUUGACAACUCAGUAAUCUCACCAUCAUGUUUGCCAACAAACUGAACCCCAUCAAUAAGCUUAUCAACAGAGGUAUUAAGAGGUUCCUCUGCUGAAAAUCCAUCAAGUUUUCCAACUUUGAUUGUAUCAAUUUUCAGGAUACGAUUUCCGAUAGCAACCAUCAAAAUCUCCUGUUAGAUAAUAUUUGUUGAACAUUUACAACACGGAAAAAAAAUAUGGACAGGAAAAGCAAGACUAUAGAAGAUAUACAAAGACUUGGCAUAAUAGUUACUAUCUGAUAACAUCAAAUACAAACCGAUUUAUUACUUGUUUGUGAGGAUGCCAGCAGACUCGUGGAUGUUUUGAUGAUUCUUGCCCUACGAUCUGAAGGGCAAUAACAACUUUGCCAAAAAUUUGCGGCUUAUCUUCAUCAUCAGGUCCCUCAUUGAUCCUCCAUACAAAAACCCGGCCAUCAACACUUGCACUGCAGAAAAUGAAAGAUGAGCACUUUUUGAUGACACAAAUGAAGUCAAUUUAUCCCAUGAAAUAAGUAGAAAAGAGUACCUGGCCAAAAGGUGGACAUCCUCAGCAAAAAAAGCCAUAUCUGUUACUCUCUAUAUUUGGAGAAACAAAAUGAAUGAAAAGGUUGAGCUGGUAAUAAGAUGUUUCACAAUAGGAACUUGAUAAUAGAAAAGUGGGUAUAAAGAGAUAUAUACCUGAGUGUGGCCACGAAGCAAGGACCGGAGGGCAGUGUUGAUGUUGAGGAUACGUAUAUUCCCAAGCUUGAGACCAUAGCAAAUGUAAUUCCUAUUAACAGCAAUCUGACGACCAAGAACAAGGCCAGGAUCAGAUGCGUACUUGGUAAUGGGAGUGACCUCAAGUUGGGGUUGUACUUCACUGGGUAGCCUGACAUGAAUAUCGUAAAGGAGAUUGGUCCCAGAGAGAUGCCUGCCCUUCGGGACCUUGCUGCUCAACAGUCGGGCAGGUGAGGGAGAGGGCGAAGGAGCAGAUGGGGUGACAGUCAUAUUAAGAGGCGGGGCAGAAGGGACGGGAGCAGGAGCUAGUGACUGAGCUUGAGUGCCAAAGAAGGCCAUCAAAAUGUCGUUUCCGGAAGUAGGAGGGGUGGGGAGUUGGGGUUGGGGAUGAUAAGGAAUGGGUCCAGUAGGAUUAGGAUGAGGAUGCAAAGGGUGUUGGGGUUGAGGAGGAGGAGGGUAAGGAAGGUAGUGGUGGAAAGGGUAAGGCCCAGUAGGCGGAGGGUAAGAGGAAGAAGGCGUCAAAUAGGGCGGUGGAGGCGGCGUUGAGGAUUGGGCUGGGAAAGAUGGGGAUGUAGUAAGGUUUGAAGUGUUAGGACUUGGAGUUGGACUUGGAGAAGUUGCUGUCACGUUCACGUUCUGAAGAUGCUGAUGCUGCAACAUAGGGCUAGAACUGGGUUUAAACAGCUUGUUCAAAUCAAACCCACCGCUGCCACCACCGCCACUUUGCGGUUGAGGAUUGGGAUUUGAAGCCAUCCAAUCCCAAAUCCAAAAAAGAGAAAAUAAAAAGAAAACGAUGAAAUCAAAGGCUUGUUGAGAUCUUACUUUAUGUGAAACACAAGGAACAAGAGGGUUUCAUGGAUCCGCUUGCUUCGAUUCAGAUCAGAAUCCAAGUUUUUAGAUUAUAUCGAUUCUUGAAUCUCUUGCUCCCCACUUUCUUCUCCUUUGGGUGGCCCAGACUGGAUGAUGACUCGAAGACGCCAAUAAACUAUAUAAAAAUGAAAAACACCAACAGGGGAGGCGAGGCUUUCAGUUUUAUUAGUUAAGUAAUUUUAUUAGUAGACCAUUUCAGGACUGUACAAAACCAGGGAUGAACGCUACUACACCCAAAGUGGUAUCAAGCAAUUUCGAUACUACACCCAAAAUGUUAAAUAUCAUAUAAUCAAGUUAUUUCAAUACUAAAUUUUCAAGUUACGUUGCUAGUUAAAACUCAAUGAUUUAAAGCUCAAAGGAAACACUCAAUAGUUUAGGAUUUUGGGCAAUUUUUUUUUCUUCGGUUUAAUCAAUUCAAUCCAUUCGGUUUGAUCAAUUCAAUCGAUUCAAUUAAAAAUUAAAAAAUUCAGCUCAAUCAAUUUUUUUAUUCGAUUUAAUCAAUUCAUACAGAUUCCCAAAUCAACUGGUUCAAAAUCAUUCUCAAAACUAAUAUUUGAAUUGAUUCUUUAUCCAUCUAAUCGAUCUGAUUCGAUUUAUAUAACAUUAAUUUUGAGUUGAGAUUUAAGGUUUAAAGGGAAGAGUUUUAUUAUUAUUAUUAUUUUGAUUGUAAUAAAAAUAAUUAAAUUAUAAAUUUUGGGUCAAAAAUAUUUUUAUUAUUAUUUUAAAUAUAAAAAUACUUAAAUAUUAAAAAAAGUUAGAAGACAAUACAAAGGGACGAAAAUGGAUCCUACCUUACCUCCUUCCUUAACAUUGUCUAAAGAUAUAAUGCUAGGGUCAAAAGUUGAGGUUUGGGAUGGAAAUAGGAUUAUUAGUUGAGAUUUUAGGUUUGAGUUUAGGAUUUUAUGUUUAAGAUUUUUAUUUAGGAUUUAAGUUUUAGGUUCAAAGUUAGAGGUUUGAAGAUAGGUGUUUGAGGUUCAUCGGUUGCAUUCAAAGUUCAGGUGUUGAAGUUUAAAAUUAAGUUUGAGACUUAAGUCGAUGUUCAAGGGUCAAGACUUAAGGAUUAAUAGUUUUAAGGUUUCGGGUUGAGGCUUAAAGUAUUGGGUUCAUUUCCAUUAUUUGAGUCCUAUAGUCUAAAUUCUACAUAUGCCUUAACUAAGGUUAAUGAUUUCGAGGUUGUAGUUUAAGAUGAUAACUCUCGGCGAGUUAUUUAGUAUAAUUUUCAUAAUAUAUUAAGAGUACUUUCUAGCUUUUAGGUUAGUUUUUAUAUAUUUUUGGUUAAUUAUAUUUUAUUUACAUUUUUAUUUAUUUUUCAUUAUUUUUAGGGUUAGGUCGAAAUUAAUUAUUAUUUUCCUUUUUCUUUUCCAUUGUAGGCUCGAAAUGAAGAAUGAAAGAGAUAGAAUAUAAACUAAAAGAUGGUGAAAAGAUGUCUUCUAUUCCACCAAUCAAAUUAGUGUUGGAGCUUUUCUGUAAUUUAGAAAAUUUGGUAGUAAAUAACCCAUUCCACUACAAUUAUUUAUUCAAUGGAGCACCAUAAUAAAAAAAGAAUUUAAGGGUUUUGUGAUUAAAAACUUUGAAGAAAAAUAAGAGUAAGAACUUACUUGGAGGCAAAAAGAAAACUUUUUCACAUAAAGGAAACUUUAAGCUUGCAAAGGCAUGAAAAAAGGGGAUCCGGAGAGUUUAGUACAAAUUCUUUAUAUAUUUUCUCUCUAGAUUCUUUCUUUUACAUUUUAUUAAUGCAAGAUUGUUAUGAGUAUCUCUUUGCGAUGUUUUCUCAACUUCAAAUGAACUAAAUUAUAUUUUCCUCGGAUGAUGAUGGAUUACAUCUUAGUUGAUUGAUUAUUUAUCUCUUCAAUUAUUUUUAUUUAUGUUAAUUAUUUAUUCAAUUUUGUACUUAUUUAAUUUGCAUGUUUGAUCAUCAAGUCGUAUUAAUUUGAUUACCUUAAUUUAUCUUAGGAUUAAGGUUAAGUUCUAAAAGGAAUAGAUUAGUGUCGAUGAACGAGUUAAUUUGCGAUUAGGAUAAAAAUAUACAUGAUGCCCUAAUCAAUAUGAUGGAAUUAUUCUUAAUGACUUAACCAGAUUACCUGCGUAGUAUAAGAGUAUAAAGAGUGUGUCACAUCCCAAAAUUAGGUCUAGAAAUUUUGAGGGUAAUUUUGGAAUUAUGGUACGAAAUGAGUUUGGAAAUUUGGAAUGUGGUAACCCAAAAACAUCUUCAUCUAUGGCUUUUUGAAAGUUAAAUCAAUUUUUGAAAAGGAUAUAGAAAAGAACUUUAAUUUUAAAAUAUGGACUAUUUUGGAAAGGGGCUAAAAUUAGGAGUAUCACAAAGGUAAAUAUACCAAAGUUUAAAAAUUGCCCUAUUUUCUUUUCCCCCACUUACACUAAACUCACUAAAACUAUUCCCCCAUCUUUUAUUGUCAUCCCUUUUCACCCAAUUUGAAUUUCCAAACUUCAAUUCUUUUGAUUUUCAUCAUCUUCCAAGCAUUAAACCUUCCUAAAAUUCCAAGAAAAGCAUAAAAAAAAACCACUAAUUUUAGCAUUUUUCAACUUGUGGGUUUUUUGGAUUGUCAACCAAACGCUUGUUUUUCUUUCAAGGAAGGUAAUGUUUCGUUUUUCUAUUAGUUGCUAAUGAUAUUUAGCCUUUUAAAUUGAGUUUUUAUUCAUUGAAUCAGAAGUUUUGAAUAGAUGUCAAAAUUUGAGUUGUUAAUGGUGGAAUUUGGGAUUUUGAAUGAGUAGUUUAGAGUAGUUUAGAGUGGUUUGAAGGUUGAGAAUCAUUCUUAGAUAAAUAAUUAGAUAUUGGAAUCAAUUGUAAGCAUUGAGAACUAGUAGGAUUUAAGAUAUUUGAGUUUUGAAUUUGCAAGUCGAAAAUUUCAAUUCCAAGAGGAAGAAACCUUAAACUUGUGUUUUUGAUUGUUUGGGUGUGUAUAUAGCUGUAAUUUAAUUAUGUUUGUUGUGUGGCCAAUUUUGGCGAAGAUUUGGAACCGUUGGAGCCUUCAACUAGUAAGGCAAAAGGAAAGAAAAAGCUAGUUUAGGCUUUUGGCAUCUAGGCAAAAGGACGAAUAGUGAGUGUUUGGAAUCACUGCUUGUAGACAUGAUUUAGUGUUAAUCGAAAGCUUAGGAAUAGCCUAAACCCCUAUCCUAAGUUUCGAGUGUAAGCUUUCUUAUACCCCUUGUUUAAUGUAAAGUAUGUGAUAUUGUGAAGUGGAUUGAGUAUUAAGUUGUGAUAAUGUGACAUGUGAUAUAUAUUGUGAUAGCUCUUGUGAAUGUGUUAGUUGUGGGCAUAUUAAACUUGCCGAAUGAUAGUGAUGAUGUUGUGUUAGCAAUAUAAAUAUGCAAUGAAAGUGUGUAGAAAACGGUAAGUACAUAUGUAUUGAAUUGUGAAAUGUGAUGAUGAUGUGACAGGUAAAGUAAGUGAAUAUUGGUAUGUGGUAUAUGAUAAUCUAAUUUUUAAUGCAUUCAUAUGUAAAUAGCUAUGUGAUUGCUCAAUGAGAAAAGUUGUGACACUUACAGUGUAAUUAAAUAUGAAUCUAAUAAGUGUGUUAUGUGUACAAAUUAUGAUGUGAAUUGAUGUUUAUGAACAUAUAUUAAGUGCAUAAGAACAUUAAUUAAAUGUGUGUAUUUGUGGAUACUUUGGCCUUGUGAUCUCAUGAAACCGUUGGAUAUAGUUGGCAUGCCAUAGGAUUGUGAGUACUCACCCUUGUGUUUUGUGAUUUGGGCAUUGAGGCUCCGAGACAGAUUGGAGGGAUAAGGGAAUGUUGAGCCAAGCUCCAUUCACUGAGAUAUGUUGGUGUGUUGAAGAGUGUUUAGCUUAAUGCUACACUUAUGGGAUAUGUUAGACUCUUUAAGUAAUUAGUGUGAUAGAGAUAUGUGUAUCCAAUAUGUGGUAUAGAUCCCACUUUUAUGUUUCAUGUAUCCAAGUUGCCAAAUUAUCAUUAAUUGAUUAAUACAUGAAAAUGCUGUGUGUAAAUGCAUGUGAAUAUAUAAGCUAGACUUAAGGGUCAUUAAAACAUGAAUACGUUGUUUUGUCUUAAUGAAUUAUUGUUAAAUGGAUCAUAUAUAUACGAGUUGAGUGUAAUUGCAUGUGAGAGUAUAUGCUAGUUUUAUGAUUUAAUGAAGCGUCAAUAUAUUAUUUUGACUUGGUUAGAAUAUGGUUGUGAAUAUGUUGUAGCGUACUCUUGUUUUAACUUUUGAUGUUAUGUAUGCUUUGUGGUUAUUCCGACAUUCACUGAGCUUGUUUAAGCUCACUCACUCUUUCUAACCAUUGCAGAUAUUUCGCGUUGGUGGUGUGUGGUGCAAUUCCAAGGAAGUGAUCCAAGUUAGGCUUUAGAUUUUAAGUAGGUAAUAUUAUUAUUAUUCGUUGAACUAUGGAAAUAAAGGCAAUGUGGUUAAAACUUUGGCUGGUUAUUAUUAUGUUCUUGUUGGUUUAGUAUGAUUGUGAACUUUUAGAAUUUUUUUUGGUAAUUAUUACUAUUUUUUAUUGUUAUUACCAUGAUUUGGGUCGACAAGGUAAAAUGUUGCGUUGGACAGUGUUUUGGGUAAAUUUGAUGCUUCACACUGUGGUGGUUAAUGCAUGUUAGAAUAAAGAUAUGUUGAGCAUGUUUAAUACUCUAUUUUGCCGUGUUUUUGCGAAUCUGAGUAGAGGUAUUGAUACUCAGGACAUAAAAAUCGAUACCUUGGAGUGGAAUUGUAUACUUGCGAAGUCAGUAGCUUAAUUUGGUAUCGAUACUCAAUCACGAGUAUCGAUACUCGAGGUGAAAAUACCAAUAACUUUUCCCAUGUAUCGAUAAAAUGAUUUUGUUUAAAAUUUGACAGAAUCUAGUUUGGUAUCAAUUUCUUACUAGUAUCGAUACUUAUCUUCCAAAAUAUCGAUACUUGUGAUGACGUAUCAAAUAAUCCCUACGCAUGUUUUUUAAAUUAUUUCUAAUGUUGACUAAGGUAUGUUAAGUCAUUUUAAAUGUUGCCUAAGAUGAUUAAGACUCAUUACUCCUCUAAAUAUUUGAAAGUGACGAUGGUUGCAUGUAUUUGAGACUAUGUGAAUAUGUAUGAGUUUGAUGUUUGAUGUAGUGUCCUGUUACUUGGGCUCGACGAACGGGCCGGGUAUAGGGUGUUACAUAGUGGGGAAGAGAGAUUAACUUAGAUACAAAAGGGUCUAACUAAUGUCAUUGAAUUUUAGGUUAUUAAUGACAUAGAUUAAACAAUUGAAUAAUGGAUGAUUGAUUAACAAAAUUAAGUGAAUUUAGACUUCCAAAUUCAUAAAUAAUAAGAAUCUGAAAAAGAUUUCAUUGGCUUUAGCUUGUAAAAUCCUUAUAAUUUGCUUAGUUUAAUUUUAGUAAUAAUUAUAAUUUAGUUUUUUUUUAAUUUCUCAAUGUAUUUACCGGAGUGAGCCCAAUAACUAACCCUUCACAUUCUAUAGGCCCAUUAUAGGGUAGAUGUUGGCCAUGAGUUUUAAAGUUGCUCCAUACCCGAGGCGAGGAUCAAACUCUCGACCACUGGUUUCUUCAUAUUGUUUGAUUGACAUGUUCAUUUGCGCAUGCAAAUUUAGUCAUCAUAGGGUCUAGGGUAUAAUGUUAAGGGUCAAAUGUUGAGGUUUGAAGUUCAAAAUAAGGGCAAGGGAUCAAGUUUUAGGUUUGAGUUUGGGGUUUGAUGUUCAAGGUUUAAGUUUUAAGUUCAAGAACAAGAUUCAAGGGUAGAUAUGGAAGGAUAUGUGUUUGAGGUUUAGGGUUUGAGUUGCGAGAUUCGAGGUUUAAUAACAGGGUUGGGUUCAGGAAGAAAAUAACUUUAUAUAAGGACCUUGUAGGCAAUUUACUAUAUUUUCAUCCUAAUUUAUAUGGUGAUGGAACAAAAAUGACUUUAUAUUGUGACCUAGUAGGGAAUUUACUCUUUGUUUAAAGGAUAUGAUCAUUUUAUUUUCAAAUGAACAAAUAUUUUCAUUUUAUUUUUUCUAGUUGUAAAGGUGAAAUAAAAUUUAUAAUUAUAUGUCAAAAGCUUCUCAAAUUAACUUUUAGUGUUAAGUGUUCCAAGAGUUAAUAAGUGAUGUUGGGUGGGUAUUGCACAUGUGUAGUUUCUUUCUCGGUGUGUUAGGUUUUUUUUUCUCCACCCGAUCUUGUUAUCUUAUUUUCUUUGUUGGUUAUGUAAUUCCUAAUCAAUUGUAAGGAACUCAACAUGGAAUAUACUAUAUGAAAAUCAAUGUACUUGUUAAUAUUUCAUGCAUGAUUCGGCAUCUAAAACCCAUCAUGCAAUUUGCUAUACAUAAAUAAUUUUAUUUGUUAUUUGUUAAUUGUUAAUACUUUUUUAGAGAACAAAUCUUUUAUUGCAAAACUUUUAUAUAUUACAAUUUAUACAUUGGUAAAAAAAAAAAGGUAAUACACAUUCUUUGGUAGUAAAAAGGAUUAUCAACUUUGGUUCAUCUAGUUUUGUCCAUUUUUCUUUUUAUUCCUUCCAUUUGAUUUGCAAUUUGCUUUCUGUCUGAGGAAACUUAGUCAUUCUAUUUUUCUAAUAGUGAUGACAAAUAUCACAUUAUGUAAGAGUCCCAACAAGUAAUUUUCUAUUUUAUUUGGAUUUUUUUUAUUGUUUUGGUAUUGUAAGUUAUAUCGAAAGACUCAAGAAAUAUAAAGAAGAUCAAGAAUGUUUGUAAAAAGCCACUAAAGAGUCUAUUUAUAGGUUAGUUUAGAAAAAUAACAUAAAUUUGAUUUUCUAGUAUCUAAAAUUUUUAUGAUGUAAUAAUUCAUUUUUAUUGUUGUUUCGUAUUGUAUUUGUAAAUUUUGUCCAUUUAUUAGGAUUUUUUUUCCUUUUUAGAGAAAAAUAAUAAAGAAAUUAUUUGGCUUGUGUCUUUGGUUUUAGAUUUUUUUUUGUUUUCUUGUGACAAGGGUGAAAGUACACCUAAGUUUUUCAACAUAAAACCUUUAAUUUUUGCAAGUGUGCGAAUCAUUGUCAAGUAAGGAAUACAAUGAAAAUGCUUUCUAAGGAAAAAAAUCGAGGAUCUAACCCAAGGGAUGGAUGUCGAGAGGUAAAUUUAAAGGAUAAUUCGUCCAAUUAACUUCAAUGAAGCUUUAAAUUAGUGAUCAAUUAAAUUUCCAUGUAGGAGUUUAACUAAGCAAAUUCAUGAUUUGCUAAACUGCUUAAGGCAUUGAUAACCUUGGAUUUUAGGCACUUAAGGCUCUCUCAAUGCUCUUAGGCUCUCAACUAAGCUAUUGGACUAAGGUUACACCCUAACCCUGAUGUUCCUAGAGUAGUUAGGUCAAAUAAUCUAGGUUUCCCUCUUAUCACAACUCUCACUUGUAGACUAGACAAUCAUUAGCUCCUUCAAUACUUGUAACACCCCUUGCCUAACUCGAUCGCCGAGUCCAAGCUAUAGGAUACCACAUUCAUUGUGAUCUGCCACAGUUUGUUAUGGAAAAUUAGAAUGUUUUUGGCACUUAAUGAGCUUGUUUUUUUAGCUAUUUUAUGAUUAUUUUGAUUAGUUUCCAAUUUAGUAGUUUAGAUGUAAUUUUAGUAAAAUAAGCGUUUUUACGCAUAUUUUGGUGUUAUGAUGACCUGUUUCGCCAAUAUAUGCCUAGGGUAGGACUGACGAGCCAAUUUAGUGUGCAGGACACCAAUUUUAGGCUAGGGAACAUCAGGGGAAACACUAGUAUCACGACACCAGCAUGCAGUGUCACAACCUCACAUUUCGAAGCAAGAAAAGUCCCUGUGAAGUUUAGUAAUGUGACACUAGUCCUGUGGUGUUGUGACAUCAUUGUGACGAAGAUCAAAAUAUUGCUGAAGGUGUUUUCAUCUACACAAUGAAUUUUUUUCAGUUUAAUGACCUGUAUUUGAUCUAAUUAGGGUAGCAACAAUUGCCUAUAUAUAGUAAUGUUUAGGUAUUAGUUAGGGGCUAUUUUUUAUAGUAGAUUUAGAUAUUUAAUUUUAGUUUCAUGUUAGUUGCAAUUUAGUUUUAGUUUCUCAAUAGAAUUUCUAGUUUUGUUUCAGACUUGGAUUCGACUGGUUCCAAGCUUUCGUUUCUUCAGUAAUUUAUAAUUUUUCUUUGGUUUUCACUUGCAAUUGACGUUAUCUUGAUGGCUGUAAAAAGGUUUUUGACUUCUAAGUGCAUCCCAUAUUGAAACGGAUCAAUUUCUCUUUCCCCUUCUCUUUAGUUUAAUAUUUGCUUUGCACAUUUAAAUUGAAUUUAAGAAAUCUUGUAUUUAGAUCCAUGAGUAGUUAAACCCAUAUGGGGAUUAACAAUCAGAGGUGGGAUUAAUUAACGGAAGAAUUAUGGUUUGCCUAAUAAUUAGUUUGCUUGAAUUAUGUAUGCUUAAACCCUAGGAAGUAAUCUAGGUAAAUAAGGUCGAGAAUAAUUUAUCGAGCACCUCUUAAUUUAAUUUAGUUUAAACUGCGAGGUCGACAUUAUGAACAUUGAGUGAAUUUCGAUUGUUAAUUUUAUUUGAUUUAUGCUAUCUUUGUUGUUUAAUUUUGAUUUUGUUUUUCGUACUAUAAUUUUAUAUUAUUAUUGUUUAGCCCUGUUAGUGUAGAAAGUAGUUUUUGGUUUAAUUCAACCUUUAUUGGGUAUGAUCCUUGGAAUACUUCCCAAAGUGUUUCAUUGUAAACUUUUCUAUAUUACAAUUUAACCCGUGUACUUGCAGACACCGAUGUCUAUUUUAUAUCUUUUUUUUGUAGUAUUUCCAAUGUAGAUGUUCGUACGUCUAGCAGCAGUCAAAUUACCGAAGCAACCACAAUAAAUUUCAAUACAAUUCAACAAUUCUAGCAUGCUUUCAAGUAGAAAACACAUCCUCGAUAUGUUGUAAAAUCUUUUUUAGGUCUUAUAAGAGCUUAUGAAAGCUCUUUUGCUAACCCGAGAUUGGUUAAUGACUUAAUCGAAAAGUUUUUAGAUUUACCGGUUGACGUCACGACAUCACGGCUUUCGCAUCGCGAUUUCAUCAAUUAUUGAGUACCGUCAUGACUUCAGGAAACUCUACGUCUCAACACCGCUCACUAUCGAUCUAAGUUGCGACAUAUACUUACGGACACCACUGUUUUAAUUCUUUAUCUUUUGUAGUAGUAUUUCCAGUCCAAAUGUUCGCAUGUUUGGCAGUGAUCAAGUUGUUGGCGCUGUUGCCGGGGGGGUUGACAUAAAAGUUAAUUUUAUUUUCUACAAUUAGUAGGAUAAAUAGGAAAAUUGAAAAUUAUAGAAAUGGUAUUUAUCUUAUUUUAUUUUUUCCGUUUUUAAUUUUAAUUUUAAUUUCUAUUUACUAAUUUUUCUUCUGUCUUUGAUUUCAAUAUAUGACCCGAAGUGGAAGCACUCCAAUCUAGUCACAUCCUAAUUCAAAGUGAUUUCUAAGAUGUAACUGUAACGCCCCAAAAUUUCUAAUUUUGUUAUUGUGAAAAUAUGACACAAAUAUCUAUCAGCGUUGGUGGUUAUAUGUUUUGGGAGUGUUUGGGAGUUCCCAAGUUCAAGCCUUUGCUUGGGCAAAUUUUGGUAUUUUGAAUGAAUUAGGCCUUACUCUUGUUUAGUAGGCUUUUAUUUGAUUCUUGGGUAAAUUACAUUAGAAUGGGCUGCUGGUUUGGUUGUUAAAUGGUGUGUUAUUAUGGUGGAGGUCUUGUGUUCGAAUCCCUAUGCAGGCAAGGGUAUUAUUUUUUUUGCUCAAAUUUCGAGAUAGAGUUGUGUAAUAGGGGGAUUUUGAGUAGUGGGAAUUAGGGGAGAAGAUUAAGGGAUUUUGGGGGUUAUCGGGAUUUUUUUUCCCAUAAUCGAAUUUUGACUCUCUUUUCAAAAAAAAUUUCUGCCGUCUAUUCUUCUCCAUCUCAUCUUGCCUAAAUUCUCUAAGUUUUCCAUCUUUCUCUCCUUCCUGAUUUUUGCCUAAUCCAUUUAUUUUCCUUCGUUUUCGUACGCGGUUAGUGCUCGCUAAGUUUCAGUAAAUGUUUCUCUUUGUUUCUGUCAUGAAUAUCUUAGUGACUGAAGUGGUAAUGUUUUUUUCUCUGCGAUUUAGGCAUAAGGGGAGGCUCGAACUGGUGAAUUCAGUGUUCUUAUCUUAACAAUAGUUAAACGGAGGGUUAUCGUUGGUGGUAAGUUGGGUUUCUGUUCGUUCUUGGUUGUCAAUUCUCUUGUAAAUCCGUUAAACUGAUGUUGAGUAUCUUGAUUAUAGGCUUUGGAGUGCUCAGGGACUAUUUUAGCAUAAAAACAAAAUUAGGUGUGUACCCGAAAUGCAAAAAAAAAAAGAUUCAACGAAAAGUCAAAAUUGCUUGCUGUUUGGACAAUAGUAGUAGGCUAAUUUUGAAAAAUCGCCAUAAAUUGUGGAAAUCGAAUUAGAGGAUGAACAAAAUAUGGAAUUAAAUGUUAUUGAGUCUAGUUUCUCACAGAAGAAACGGUGUAAGUAAUGGAAUUGUAAAUCGUGAUAUAUAAUAAACUUUGUGAGACAAGGUCAGAAUGAAUUCGAGUUCCCCUGUUCUGACUUUGGAAAAUUAUCAAAAAGUGUAGAAAAAUAAUUAGGAGUUAAAAUUUACAUGUUUAAAUUAUGAAUGAGUCUAUUUUCAAUAUAACAAAUGGAAACUUCAUCCAAAAUUUUUACUAAGAGAUAAUUAAUUUUUAGCAAAGAAGGGUCGAAGCUGUCAGACAGUAGAACAGGGGUAAGAAAGGAUUUGAGUCUAGUUUCAAAUAAAUCAAGUGAAUCUUAAUUCGGAAUUCUGUAGCUCAAGAUAUAAAUAAUUUAGUAAUAGUGACUCAAGUAGACAACUUUGAAGGAACAUAUAAGUAAAUAGUGAAAAUAUAUAUGAAUAAUUAACUAGCACGGGUUACAUUAAAAAUGGAUCACGCGCCAAGGAAAAUUUGGGCUGAGUGGGCUACAUGGGCAUGUGAGCCCAUUUUUCUGAAAAGUUCUAUAAGGUUGCAUGAGUCACCCAAGUCGACUGUGGACCUACUGUAGGAUCGGUAAGCUUUACUUAGAUCCCUAUAUGUGUGAUUUGUCUGACUAAUUGCUAUACCGAGCAUGACUUAUGAUAUUUGAAUGUAUGUACUAUUAUUGCAUAAUGGCAUGACAUAUUUUGUAUGUUGCAUUGCAUCGGGGUGGGUUGAUGAUAUUUGGAGGAAGUGUCUGAAAGGCUAUUAAGCCUAUUAUCUGGUUGCUCAGCUGCAACCUUCUGAUUAUGUGCUGCAUUUCGGUAUAGCAUGGUGUGUAAGGAUGGGUGGGUUGGUUUAAUUCCACAUGGUGUGUAGGGUUGGACGAAGAUAGUAUGUAGAGGCUGGUGGGUAGGAUUCUGAUUUAUUUUAUUUGCAUUCUGUAUCUGAUAUAGGCCAAGUCCCUAAUGUAUUUUUGAGUCUGUAUCUGAACGGGAUAAGGCCCAAACUGAUUCUGUGAUGGGCCUAGGCUCCAGACUGUAUCUAACUGAAUUCUGUUGAAUAUCUGUAUGCAUGUUUUCUGUGGGGAUUACACACUGAGUUUGCAAAAACUCACCCUUUUUCUAUUUAAUCUGUACAGGUAAUCCCCAGACUUGACGGGUCGGUGCAGCGGAGGACUCGAUGGUGGCCACACCUAAAUUUUAGACUGUUUUUCCGUUAAUUCUAGAAUUUAUUACUUAUUUGGGGUUUUUGAUGUAACUUUUGGACUAUGGACUUGUUGACUUUAAAUUUGGGACUUUAAAUCAACUAGUACUUAUUUUUCUGAAUUAAAUAAAAGCUAACUAACUAUAACGGUUUUAACUCGACAAUCUUGUCUUCAAAUCCCAUUCCAUGUGACAUCGCUAGAUUCAGCCAUAACGUCUAGGCCGGGUUUAGGGUGUUACAGUAACCGUCAAUUGAUGCAAAAGGAUCCAUCCACCCGUGGUAGUUGACUUACCUCGGGAAAAUCCUUUGUUUAAUGAUCCACUUGAACCAAAAGUACAAAUCUGUGGAGAGCUAUUGAUGGCUUAACAAAUGAUGUCGCGUGGCUACGUGUCACUGACAGUAGGUGCAGUGUGAGGAAGUAUGAGCGACUGACAAUGUAACACCCUAAAAAUUUAAGUCUUUAAUUCUUUUGCAUGUUUUGACAAAUUGCUUGUUUGCUUUAAUGGCUAAGUGAUUUGGGUGUGUAUGGGAGUGUUCGAGACGCCUGGGUUCAAGUCUUGGCUCUCUGCAGAAUUUUUAAUUUUGGCUCUUAAAUGAACCUGGACAUAGGCAUGUUGGUCUUAUAAAUAUUAGUGUUGGUUUUAUGACACAAAAAGAGCUUGUGGUCUGGUGGCAAGGUGGUGUGUUGUGUAACUGUGAGGUCUGAGGUUCAAGUCUUGGGUUGCGCAAUAGAGUAUCUAUUUUGCUGCUUGAGCUAGGUAGGUGGUGGAGUUGGAUUAGAAUACUGCUUUAUGGGAGUUUGAACUGGUCGUGGAGGGAGUUCGGGAGGAUUAGAUGGUGAAAUCAGGAGGGAUAAGGGGAGGGAUUUUAGGAGAAAAUCAAGGAGUUUGUGGGAGAGGAGGAGUUGUGUGCCGAAUGGAGUAUGCUUGUGCCGAAUUUGGUCUAUGGCACUGAGAUAAAUCGGCUUUGUGAAGUGUUUUUCCUCUGCUUGUGUGGUUUUGGUCGGUUUCGCAUCUUGUUUCUUUGCUUCUAGGUGCCGCUUUUUGUUAGUUUUGGGGUACCUCUCGGGUUGUUUUACCUAAUUUCUUUUUAGCUGAAACACACUCUCCUCCUUCAUCUUUUCUUUUCUUCUUUCUUUCCGAUUUUUUCUUCCCUUGUUGCCGAUUUUCCCCUUCUCUUUUCCCUCUUUUUUUUACUUUGUGUGCCGAAUCUUUUUUCCUAUUCUCCUUUUUUCUCCAUUGACCGAAUAACCUUCUUUUACUGUUUGUGAUUUCAACCUUCUUUUAUUCAUUUUGACCAAGACAUCUCCUUUUUGUUUGAGUGUGGUUGUAGUCGAACAUUAUCAUUCGCAGUAUUGUUCGCUACGUUGAUCUUUUCCGCUGCUGCUCUUUGCAGUUCCUGUGCUACAGGGUUCUGAUUAUCGGUAAGUGGUUACACUCCUCUCUUGUGUAAGCCUAUUCUCUUCUUUUCCUUAUCUUAAAACCAAAUACCAUCCUUUGUAAUCUUUGAUUACCAACUACUGAUGAUUUCUCGAUGUGCUGCUUGUUGCGAUAUUAAGGUGUUCCUUGAGGAGUGGUGUACUCUCCCCCUUUAGGGAUUUUCGUCCCCGAAAAUCUUACCAGAUGGUAGGUUAAUGAUUUACUUCCACAGUAUAUUUCAAAUUCGCACUGAUUUUGGAUUUUCAUAUCUUUUACAGAUAAUCACAUAGAUUCAUAAGAAAAUCAGGAUAGCGAUAUUUCAGCAUCUGAAGCUACAAAGUAUCAAAAAAUUACAAUCCAGAUAGAAUGAUAUCCAUUUUGAUAAUCUGAGUAGUUUUCAGAACUAUCAAUAUUUCUCUCUUUUUAUAUUGUCAUCAUUUUAUAAUUCAUUCACUUUUCCGACCACAUUAUUAUUCUUCCGUACACGAACUUCUGUAACUACACUCGUAAGCUUAUUCAACCAAAAUCUCACAAAUUUCAUUGUAACAUUUUACUAAAUGGGGGUGAGUGUAGUAAAGCCUCAAAUUUAUCUUACACAUAAAUGUGCAUAACACAUACCAUCACAAAUAGCCAAUUCAUUACUAAGGUUCACAUUCUCAAAGCAUUUAAUAAACAUUUGCUUUUAAUCACUUUUGUUCUCAACACAAAUUCUAACUCAAAUCACUAAUUCACAAUCAAAAUUUCUAUAUAGCAUCAUAAUCCAAAUAUCAUAACUCAUAUGCUUGUAUAAUUAUAACAUUCAUCAAUAAAAAAAAAUGUUUUAUUCUUUGAUCAUACUUUUAUGAGUUUCAACUCAUAAUCAACAUUUUUUUCACUCAAACAUUUUAUAUUUUCUAUACUAUUAGAAUUAACUCCGUUGAAAAAACAUAUCUGUCUCAUCAAGAUAAUUUUCGUCAUAGAACAANNNNNNNNNNNNNNNNNNNNNNNNNNNNNNNNNNNNNNNNNNNNNNNNNNNNNNNNNNNNNNNNNNNNNNNNNNNNNNNNNNNNNNNNNNNNNNNNNNNNNNNNNNNNNNNNNNNNNNNNNNNNNNNNNNNNNNNNNNNNNNNNNNNNNNNNNNNNNNNNNNNNNNNNNNNNNNNNNNNNNNNNNNNNNNNNNNNNNNNNNNNNNNNNNNNNNNNNNNNNNNNNNNNNNNNNNNNNNNNNNNNNNNNNNNNNNNNNNNNNNNNNNNNNNNNNNNNNNNNNNNNNNNNNNNNNNNNNNNNNNNNNNNNNNNNNNNNNNNNNNNNNNNNNNNNNNNNNNNNNNNNNNNNNNNNNNNNNNNNNNNNNNNNNNNNNNNNNNNNNNNNNNNNNNNNNNNNNNNNNNNNNNNNNNNNNNNNNNNNNNNNNNNNNNNNNNNNNNNNNNNNNNNNNNNNNNNNNNNNNNNNNNNNNNNNNNNNNNNNNNNNNNNNNNNNNNNNNNNNNUGUAAAGGAGAUCAACUUCUGUAGAUUCGUGCUUAUUAUCAAUAUCAAUCAGGCUUUUCUUAAACUCUCUAUUUCAGUCCAUUCCCUAUGAUUAAUUAUUCCAUUUAUUACAUGUUAUUUAUGAAAGCCAUGAGGAACUUAUACUUUAAUGGAGGAUUAGCGAGUGGAAGCAUGAUCUGUUAACUAUUUUGUAGGGUUAUUCAACGAAGCAAUUGUUUGAGAAAGGAAUAACGUGAAACAAACCCUAGGCCUGACAACCUUUGGAAGUCAUCAAGGUGGGAAUUAACCCAAAAAUUGGUAUUGCCCAUUCGUGAAAACCUUGACCCCUAACAAGUCUGGACUGGGAGAUCGGAAGAUAAGUAGUUCUUGCUGACUCGUAAUGUUAGUGGAAGAUCGGAAGAUCUUACUACGGUAGUGACUAGUUGAUUGAUGAAGAACUUGAGACGACAGUUAAUUAAGAUUGUGGCAGCAAGCUAAUCACCCAUAUUUAGAUUUGUUCUUUUAGUGUUUAGGUUAGAAUUGAUCAAGAACUUACCUCCCUUGGGUAUGAUACUCGGAGUACUCACCUAAUUCAUUGUAAAACUAUAUUACAACUCGACUCGUAUACUUGCAGAUACCGCCUCAUCGUUUUAUAUCUUAUUGCAGUAUUCACACUCUGGACGUUAGUACGUCUGGAGGCGGUCAAGUUGGUGGCAUCGUUGCUGGGGAGGCAAUAUCACUAGGUUAAUUAGAAUUUUUGCACUAUAAAUGAGUAAUUAAGAAAUUUGUAGUUAUAGAUACGUUUUUUUCCAUUUAUUGCUACUAACUUCCUUUUUCUGGGUUUAGUGUAUGACUUGUAGUAGGGGCACACAAAUUGUAGUAGCCACAACAAUUUGAUUUAGAGAAAAUAAUUCAAAGGAAUCGUUAACAGCAACAACAACAGUAGCAAUAGUAGAUGCAAGAACAACCACCACCCGUUGCGAGUAAUGUCCUACGUGACAAUCCAUUGUUCGACGACACUGACGAUAACGCCCUGGGAGACCCACCAGCACCACAACUACCCGCAAAUGUGCAUAUAGCUCAAAAUGAGAGAACACUAACGGACUAUGCCCUACCAACUCUAGACAUGGUUCAAAAAUGUAUAGCACGAUUGGCGAUUAUAGCUAAUAAUUUCGAGAUCAAAUCGGCAAUGAUACAAAUGAACCAAAAUAAUUUGCAAUUUAGGGGCACUAUUGUAAUACCCCCUACUCGUAUUAGUCGUCGGAAUAGGGUACGAGGCAUUACCAAAUUUUACCAAAUUAAUUUUCUGUUAUUACGAGUUAAAUACUAUUAAUUUAUCAAAACAUGUCAUGACGUCCCUUAGAUAGGCCUCUGAAGCCCAAAACAUACAUCGGGACCAAACCGAGAUUAAAUCAAAACCAGAAGAAAGUUUUCGCAAAAUCUCAAAGUUUUUUUUAUGAACUCGAUAUAACCCUUGAAUAAAUAUCUAACCUUCCUUGCAAUUUUAAACCGAGACCAAUCCAAACCAACCAAUCCAUUUCAACAUAUUUUCAAGAUAGAUUCAAACAUAUCUAUAAGAUAACCUCAUCACAUACCAAAACCAAGAUUUGUUAGCCAUACCAAUGGCUAAGCUUACAUUCAUUUCACAUUAACAUUUAAUUUAUUAGCUUACACAUGCCAUUGAUUUCCAAAAUAAAGUUUCCUUUUAUACAGAAAUCUUGAGGUUGAUAGUGUGAUACGUCUCCGACAGAAUCCGACCUCCGAGCUCUUAACACUACAAAAUAGGGGAAAAAGAAACAGGGUAAGCACUUUGUGCUUAGUAAGCUCAUGUAACAAGAAUUAUACUUACCUAAUAUUUUCAAUACAAUGCAAUAAACAUUCAUACAUCCAUUCAAUGUAUUAUUCCCCUAACAUGCACAAACUCAACAUUCAAGUUAGUUCAAUAAUUUUCAUGUACCAAUAAUAUAUACCAUGAUUGAUGAGCUCAUCAAUACCAUGAUUUCUAUUCCCUUGUUAUUUUUCCAUAUUUAUCCCAUUGAACUUCUCGAAAUUUCGAUGAAUUUUCAGGGGUACACUUUAGUGUACAAAUCCGGGUUUGUCAAUUCAUAUUCAUGUGCGUACAUUUCCAUUUCAGAGAGCACAGUCCCGCGAACCUCAUCCUUACAGCGGGAUUACUAGACCAGGCUAAAUCCCCUGUAAUAUAAACUCAUAGAGUAUUGUCGGGAUUACCAGACCAGGCUAAAUCCACUGCAAUGACAAUUACUCUAAUGAGUUUGGAUCUAAAUUACCAUUCCAGGCUAAAUUCAGACCCUAAUUUGGAUUACCUUUCUGGGCUGAAUCCAUUUUCCAUAUAUUCUUCGGGAGGGCUAUAUCAGGAUAGGAUCACCCAUCCGGGCUAGAUCCUUUUUACUGUCAAUUCCUUUUUAGAGAUCCAUCGAAUUUUCCUUUCAUUCAACUGAGAUUUGUUUUCUCUUUUCAUCAAGAAUAUCAAUACUUCAUCAAUUACCAUACAAUAAACAUCCAAAUCAUAUUCACAUAUAUUUCAAGCAUUUAAGAAUAUAAUUCAAGUUACACGAACUUACCUCGAUACUAGUUCGUAUACAAAAAUCUACUAAUCUCGAACUUUUUCUUUUCCUCGAUCUAGCUUCGUAUUCAAAUUUUCUAGAUUUAAAUAAAUAAAUUUAAUCAUUAAUUUAAUACAUUUGAUGUUCAUAUGUCACAUUCUCUAUAAUUCCAUUAUUAUUUAUAGUUCUUUCAGAGCUGUCUCAUUGAGUUAUAAUUACUAAAUUAUUUAUAUCUUAAGGUACGAAACUCCAAAUUAGUAUUUGCUGAUUUUUCUCAAAACUAGACUCACAUAUCUUUUUACCAUAGAAUUUUCAGAACUUUUGGUUUAGCCAAUAAGUACACCUAAUUCUUUAAUGUCAUCCACGUUCGGCUAUCUGACAUUUUUUACCCUUCUUCACUAAAAGCUUAUUUUCUCCUAGUACAAGAUCCGGAUGAUGUUCUUGUUUAUUUUUUUUUCAAAAAUAGACUCAUUAAGGAUUUUAAACAUAUAAAUUAUAACCCAUAAUUAUUUUUAUACAAUUUUUAAUUAUUUUCACAAGUCAGAACAGGGGAUUCUGGAAUCAUUUUGAUCCUGUCUCACAAAAUUUAUUAUAUCUCAUAAUUUACAAUUCCAUUGAUUACACCGUUUCUUCUAUGAGAAACUAGACUUAAUAAUCUUUAAUUCUAUAUUUUUUUCAUCCUCUAAUUCAAUUUCCACAUAUUAUGGUGAUUUUUCAAAGUUAACCUACUGCUACUGUCCAAAACUGUUUUAGUGCAUGAUGUUGAUUACCAUUUUCCCCUAAGCUUUGAAUAAAUGAUAAUUUCAUCCUUGCUCAAUUAACCACUCAAUUGAGCUGAUUUUUAUCAAUUAACACUAUAUUCUAUCACUUUAAACUACUUUAUAACCUUUGGACAUCAGAAUUUUAGCACUAGACUUUAAUUGCAAACUUUUUAUCAAUUAGGUCCUACAAAUCAAUUUCUUUUGAAAUUAUCUAAUAAAAUUAUCUCAUAAACAAAUUAAAGCUUCAAUUUCAUGUUAUUUAAUCAUAAACUUACAGCACUCAACCAUGGUGACUUUUAAUUUCAUCUAUGAAAUCAAAAACUAAUGAAUUUAGUCAUAGGACCUAGUUGUAAAAGUCUUAGAAACACAAAAAGUACAAGAAAAAGGCAAUGAUUAACUCACUUGGUGUAAAAAUUAGGAAAUACCCGCUUGAAUGAACCCUUAGGACAUUUUUGGCUGAUGAUAAUGAAGAAAAUAUGAAGAGAAUUCUAGAUAUUCUAAUUUGGUCCCAUUUUUAUUUUAGUAAAUUUUGUUAUUUUCCCAUUUUUCCCUUAUUUCACCAGUUCUCCUGAUUUUUUAGCUUAUGCCACCCAAAAUAUCUCUUUUUGGGCUUAUUUACAAUUUAUGUCCCUCCUUAUUUAACAAUUGAGCUAUUUAACCCUUCUAGUAACUUUUACACCCUUUUCAAUUUAGUUAUUUUCACUUAAUUAAUUACCCAAACGUAAAAAAUUUUCUAACGAAAUUUUAAUACCAUAUUGCUAACACUUCAUAAAUAUUUAUAAAAAUAUUUUAACUCAGUUUUACGAGGUCGAGGUCUCGACACUUUGUUUUUACCCAAUUUUCUUCAAUAAUUUCUUUCUUUUUUAACUAACCACUAAAUUGGUAAAUUUUUUAUCGAUAUUUUCAUACGAUUUUCCUAUCAUACCAAUAUUCAUGCAAAAAUAUUAAAAUAAAUUUCUCUUUAAAUCAAAUUUGUGGUUACAAAACCACUGUUCCGAUAACCCUGAAUUUAGACCAUUACAACUCUCCCCCUUUAAGGAUUUUCGUCUUCGAAAAUCUUACCAGUAAAGAGGUUUGGGUAUUGUUUCCUCAUUGUCUCCUCUGGUUCCCAUGUCGCUUCCUCAAUCCCGUGCUUUUGCCAUAAUACUUUUACCAAAUUUAUUUUUUUGUUUCUAAGCUCCUUUGUUUCCCGUGCUAAUAUCUUGACCAGUUCUUCACUGUAAGUCAUGUCCGGCUGAAUGUCCACUUGUCGGAGAAAUAACAUGUGAAGGAUUUGAUCGGUACCAUCGUAGCAUAGACACAUGAAAAGCAUUAUGAAUUCUAUCGAGUUUCGGUGGUAAUGCCAAUUGAUAAGCGACUGGUCCAAUUCUUUCUAUGAUUUCAUAUGGCCGGAUAAAUCUUGGACUCAAUUUACCCUUUCGACCGAACUGGAGAACUUUCUUCCAAGGAGACACUUUUAGGAUUACCUUAUCACCCACAUGAAAUUCAAUCUCUUUUUGUUUAAGAUCGGCAUAUGACUUCUGACAAUUGGAAGUUGCUUUUAGACUAUCCCGAAUCACCUUUACUUUUUCUUCUGUUUCCCGGAUCAAAUCAACCCCAUGUAUCUUCUUUUCACCGAGCUCUGUCCAAUAUAAUGGUGUUCUACAUUUUCUACCAUACAAAGCUUUAUAUGGAGCCAUUUUAAUACUGGACUGAUAAUUGUUAUUGUAAGCAAAUUCAAUCAAAGGUAGAUACCUCUCCCAAUUGCCUUCAAACUCUAAUAUACAACAUCGGAGCAUAUCUUCUAAUACCUGAAUUACAUGCUCAGAUUGGCCAUCUUUCUGAGGAUGAAAUGCAGUGCUGAAAUGCAACUAAAUACCCAAGGCUUCUUGCAAUUUGUCCUAGAAACGAGACGUAAAUCGGAAAUCUCUAUCUGAUAUAAUGGAGACAGGCACUCCAUGUAGCCUCUCUAUCUCAGAUAUGUAUAAUUCAGCCAGUUUAUCUAAAGAAUAAUCCAUACAUAUCGGAAUAAAGUGCUUUGAGUUUGUCAAUUGGUUAACAAUCUCCCAAAUGACAUCUUUCUUCUUCGGAGACAACGGUAACCUAGAUGCAAAAUCCAUAGUGAUUCUUUCCCAUUUCCAUUCUUGUAUAGUGAUUGGUUGAAGUAACCCUGAAGGUACCUGAUGUUCAGCUUUAACCUGCUAACAUACCAAACACUUUGAUACAAACUCAGAGAUAUCACGUUUUAUACCCAGCCACUAGUACAUCUUUUUCAGAUAAUUAUAUAUUUUAUUACUCUCCGGAUGUACAAACAUAGUACCGCUGUAAGCCUCGUGUAGAAUCUUUUAUAUGAGCUCUGUAUUAUUCGGUAUACAAACUCUACCUCUGAAUAAUAAAAAACCAUCAGAACCAAUCUGAAACUCUAAAUCAAUACCUGACUCACACUGUGCGUGUUUAACCUGUAACUUCUCAUCAUUCUUCUGAGCUUCACAUAUUUGCUGUAGAAAUUUCAGUUUAGCUCUCAAUUCAGCUAUGAUUGAACCAUCAUCAGUCAGUGACAACUGGGUAUUCAUAUCUCGUACAGUGAACAUAAUAAUCAAUCUAUUACGCCCUCCUUAUGUGGGAGGGAGAAGCUAUUCCUUCGUGUAGGAUAAUAGAUCGCUUUCAGGAUACAUCCGUACCUAUGUCUUCGUAAGGUCUUCACCUCCGUGCAAAUAUAGGGAAAUAUAUUCCCCUGAAGUGAACUUGGUCCGUAUGAGCCUAUAAUAGGUGAGGAUUAAGGAAUCUAUCGAUUCAGGUACCCUUACUCUAGAACCAAACCGUAUGUAAUGAACCUUAAGAGCCUACCUUAGGUAGAACCAUGUUGGACCUUCAGCGGUUACCUUAAUAGAUUACAAAAAAGAAAUGUUUUUAAUUGUUAUUCUUUGUUCUAAUUUGUAUUCCAGCUUUAUGCAAAGUGUACCGACUUAUUUCAUUUUUUAUGGUUGCAUUGCAUUUUCAUCAAAAGAAAAUGAGUUUCUUGAUAAAGUGGAAGACAAUACAUUUGUACGAAUAUAGUCAGAGAUAGGGACCAUAUUCUAAGUAAAGCUUUGGCCCAAGUACGAGAAGUGGCUAACCACUUGCAAACCCUAGCUGUCCAAAGCUUAAAAUAUGAAUCAGAGUCGGAUCGGGGCCGAGAAUUAGCUUGGUGUAUUAAUAAAGUUAAUUUUUUGAGUGUUAAGGCGAGGCUGUAUAUAUAUUCGCUUUAUGUAAAGAAACUUUUUUUCUAGUAAAGUUGUUCUAAUGGAAUUGAACUAGAAUCAAUGCCUCUUUGCAUGCAUCUUUUCCACGCAUUAGCAUUACAUUUCAUUACAUGCAUUUCAUUACAUAAAAAGUACCUUAAUUAAUCAAGGAAUUGUGAUAGUACCCUUUAAAGUGGGUUUGGCAAAAAAUGGUGAACGUGGGCAUGAUCCUUAAAUAUUCAAAGGAGGUACCAACAUAAGUAAAGAACUACUGUGAGUUUCAGGCUAUGGAAGGUCAUGAGAUCCAUGAGUACGCUGAAUUUAGAGCUCUAGUAUAGAGUCUGAUGGACAAUAAAAAAUUGAAAUUCUUUGAAGAUAUUGAGGAUAUAAAAGGAGAAGAUGUUUAUGCUUCCGAAAAGAGAGCAUUAGAGAAAACUUAUAAGGUCAACCACCAGGUGGUGAUUAUCUCCUGACCAAAUGGCCACGAAGUUGGGGCACAAACCACACCAAGAAUCAUAAUCCAAAAACCCAUGGCCUUUCCUUACAAAGAUAGCAAGAGGGUCCCAUGGAGUUAUGAUUGUAAUAUGAUGGUUCUAGGACGAGAGAACUCAAAAGUUACUUCAGAGGGGUCCAUGAUGUCAGUUUUUUGACGCAGUGGGAAACUUUAUGACCCUGCAAAUGUAGGAACCGAAUCUCUCAAGGAAAAAGCUCUGGUAGUUGUGCCUAAGAAAGGAAAAGCCACUAGACCUAAGUCGUUAGUCAAUGAGUCGGUGACUGAGAAUGAAGCUAAGGAGUUCUUUAAAUUUUUGAAGCACAGUGAGUACAGUGUAGUAGAGAAACUACACAAACAUCUGACUCAUAUAUCAGUAUUAGCAUUGCUUCUAAGCUUAGAGACACGCCACAACGCAUUAAGGAAAGUGCUUAACGAAACUUACGUCACCGAUAACAUCUCUGUGAAAAAGCUAAAUCAUUUGGUCAACAAUCUGACUGCCAAAAAUUUCAUCUUUUUCAAUGACGAAAAAAUAACUCCGGGAAGUAUGAGAUUAAUGAAAGCUUUGCACAUCAUUACUCGCUGGUAUACACUACCUGGAGUAUUGAUUGAUAAUGAGUCUACCCUGAAUGUCCUACCUCUGUCCACACUAAAUAGGCUGCCAGUUGAUAGCUCUCACAUGAAGGCAUGCCAUAACAUAGUAAGGACAUUUGAUGACACGGAAAGGAAAGUGAUGGGGAAGACUGAAAUACCAUACCUAAUCUAUCCAAACACAUAUGAGGUGGAUUUUCUGGUAAUGGACAUCAAGCCUACCUAUAACUUCUUAUUAGGAAGGCCUUAGAUUCAUUCAGCAGGGGCAGUGUCGUCGUCACUACAUCAAAAUUUGAAAUUGGUGACAGAGGGUCAACUGGUCACGAUAAACACCGAGGAGGAAAUCAUUGCAUCCGUGACUAGUGACGUGCCAUACAUAGGAGCAGAUGAAGAUGCUAUAGAAUGCUCAUUUCGAUCAUUGGAAUUCAUCAAUACAACUUUCAUUACUGAAGAAAGCAAGAUCCCAGAGCCAAAAGUAUCCAAAGCCAUAAGGAUGGGCCUAGAAUUGAUGGUCAAGAAAGGAGCCUUGCCUGGAAGAGGAAGGAACUGGAAAAGAAGCACGAAAGAAGAGGAAGGAAUUGGAAAAUAAGCACUAAAGAAGGAAAACACGACUAAGUGGGAAAAAGAUCAAGUGGAAGCCGAUGAUUUUUCCCCAUAUAUCUGAAACAUUCAAACAUUCAGGAGAAAUCAUCUACCUUGAAUGAAAAAUGAUGGAAAAAGAGAACCUGUUAAUCAAGACUGUGGGAGGAAUGUUGGGAAACUUAAGCAUCAAGGCCAUAUCUAAAGAGGGAAGUGAAGAAGGGGACCUAUUAAGAAUUUUUCCCUACACCCCCAAAAGUAUUCUAAACAAGUGGACCGUGGAGGAGAUCCUUGUAGUAUUUAGGACUAUUUUAGAGUAAUGUUUAGAACACACCUGUUGCUUUAAGCUUGGGAGCAAUAGGGAUCCUUUUGUGAAAAGGCACAUGUCCACUAUUUUUAUUUCAAUGAAAACAAUGCAUCUUUGUGUCCCACUUGGAAAACAUUCUACUAUUUUUUCAUUCAUACUCAUACUACACAAUUAAUCAUUCUUAAAUUCAUUUGUUCCUUGGAUAUUCUUUUAUUCCUAUACCAGGUCUCUGGAUAUCAAUGAUAUGAGUGAUGCUGUAGUUGACUCCAAGCCUUCUUUUGAGCAGAAAAAUAUGCCUAGGAGAACCUCAGGACUUUGAAGAUGAGCAAGAUUGGAACUUAUCUUCUGAUCUGCUAAGAAUGGUAGAGCAAGAUGAGAAACAGAUCUUACCUCAGAAAGAAUCGAUGGAAAUUUGGAGUUUAGGGGAUGAACAAGAAAAGAAAGAGGUGAAAAUUGGAACUUGCAUUACUACAGAAACAAGGCGAGAUCUCGUUGAGGUACUAUCAAGAUAUAACAUCCUGAAUUUUGGGGUUAGAAGUUUUGAGUUUUUUGGUUAGGGUCAGAGAAGGGUGUGCUAUUGUGUUUAGUUGCAAUUUUAAGUGCGAGAAUGGGCUUGCUGGUCUGGUGGUUUGUUGUGUAUUAAUUGGUCUUUGGGUUCUGGGUUCGAGUCCUUGUGUGUACAUUUUGGAGAAAUAUUUCUAUUUUGUUUUAUUUUUUAAAUAGUAGUUUUGUUUUAAGAUAAAAGAUAUAACCAUUUAUUUUUAUUUUUAUUCUUUUUUAUUUUUUAUUUUUUAUUUUUUUCUUUCUGGACAUUCUUUUCUUCCUCUUCUUGGGUUUCUUUUCUUUUUCAUUUGAAAAGGGUUUUUGCUGGAGAGUUUUAGAGGGUUUCACUCAUUGUCGUUGAGUCAGUGCCUGGACAUCGUUAAUUGCUAAUAAGGUGUGGGUUUUGAGACUUUUUAAUUAUAUUUGUGAAUUGUAAGUUUGAUUUUGGUGGAAUGCGAUAAUUUAUGUGCCUUUUGGAAAUUGGUUGUCGAUGUUCUGUAAUACUAUUGAAUGGCAUGGAAAUUUGUAUAUGUUUGUGUGUUUUUGAAUCCCAUCGAUCGAGGGUCGAUUUAGUGACCGAAAAAGUUGAUUUCCAAGCUAAUUGGGGGUGGUUUUGUGACCACACAGGUGGCCACACGGGCGGUUCACACGGCCGUGUAUAGUUAGGAAUUAGGGUUUUCAGGCAAGUUUUGGUGCCACACAGCCAUGUGGCUAAUUUGGGGAAAUUAGUCGAUUUUUACACUGUUGUGUCCCCCGACACACGGGCGUGUGUGAUUGGGCAUUUAGGGAUUUAGCGAUUUGGUGCCACACGGCCUACCCACAAGGUCGUGUGGCUAAUUUAGGGAUUUAGGGAUCUCACACGGGUUUGUGUUUUAGACACACGACAAUGUCUAGUAAGCACACGGGUGUGUGAGACCCUCAAACGAUCGUGUCUGUCCUGCAUUCUAUUUUAGCACAAAUGGAUGGAGGGUUAGACGACCUGCUCACACGGCCAUGUCCUUGGCUCACACGAACGUGUGUCUCUCUUUACACGGGGGUUUUGACCCCCACUCAGCCUGGGCAUUUCCACACGGAUGUAUGGCCUUAAGUCACUUAUUUUGGUUUUGUAUAUGUUUUGAUUUGAAAUCGUGUCUGUAAGUGUUUCGACGCUUGGCUAGGCUUUAGUGAGGGUAAAUAAGACUUUGAUAUGGGCUUCAGCUUAUGUGUUUUUUUGUGACUGUUGUCUGUGAGAUGUCUGAUUCUGAACCCGGUUAGCUGGGUGUGUGUGCAUAUCUAUUAUGUUUAUCGAUGUGUUCAUUGUUUCUGUGAGAUUGUAUGUAUACAUACACUUGCAGAAAGUAAAUUUGUGGGUUCGCUGCAAAGAGAAGGGAGACUGAUUCUGAUAUGCUCUGGCAGUUCUACUGCAACUUAUUCGUACAGUGGUUUACGGCUAUGUGGCCAGACUGUGUGAUAGAGCCCAAACCGUGUGGCUAAAAAAUGUGUUCAUGAGGCCAAAUGGUGUAACAAACUGUGCUCGCGUAACUCAGGGUCACCAUGCUAUGUAACUUUCUAAGGCAGUGUAAAACUAGGUCACAUAGAAGUGUCCCCAAGCCGUGUAACAAAUUGUGAAUUAUGGAUAAACUUGCACAAAAAUCAAAGUGGCCACACAAUCAUGUCAUGCAACCAUUGUAACACCCUUAACCCAUCUCUAUUGCCGGAUUAGGAUUACGGAGUAUUACAGUACAAUUCAGAAUAUUUAACAUCAAAUAAAAACUAUUAUUUAGAUUAAAUACUAUAAUUCAAACUCAUAUUACAUUUAUAACACAAAUAUACUUACGGGAUCUUAAAUCGAGCUUACAAAGCCCUAAAAAUAGUUUGGGAGCAAUCCGAGAUCAACUUGAAACAAAACAAUUUUUUUUGGAAAAAAUGAAAAUUUUGAAAAUAUGGGUCACAUGGUCGUGUGGCCAGGCUGUGUGACACAGCCCAGAAAAUGUGAACAUUCAAAUUAUAGACAUACAGCCGUGUCCUAACCCGUGUGAGUAUUCGAAAUAGGGCCACACGGUUGUGUUGCAGGCCGUGUGCCAAACCGUGUGUGUAUGCGAAGUUGGAUCACACGGCCUAUCGUAGGCUGUGUCUUUGACUGUAUGAAAUCUGCACCUAAAAUAACAAAGACACACAGUCGCGUGGUGUGACCGUGUGUGGCACACGGCUGUGUGACAACCCGUGUCCCAGGCUGUGUGCAACAAAUGUUACCCCUAAAACAAGUCAUUUCCAAACAAAAAACUUGCACACCAAGACACACCAAUUAUAUUAACAUUCAUAUAACCAAAACACACUUCAAAUACAUUCAAAACAUACCAAUUCAACCAACCUAUAAAUUCUAACCAAUAUGCCAUUCAAAGGCACCACAACUUAUAUACCAAAAUAGAUCAAAACCAAGCCUAUACUUCGAUGUCACAAGCAUAUAACAAAUGGUUUGCAUUUCAGCUAAAAAACCAUACAUUAAUUCAUGUCAAAACUAACAUUACUCUUUUCAUUCUACCAUAUUCAUUUGUACCAUAAUUCAAACAAACUUGUAAAGUUUAUAUGAAGUGAUCAAUUAGCACAACAAGGCCAUAAACACACCAAGGUAUCAAACAUGAUCACAUAUAAGCUAUUACAAAACAUAAAUAUCAUUUUAUUAAUCUAACCAAUACCACAUAUAACACACAAUCAAAACAUAUACAAAUUUCACCUAUUACAUGACAAGUUCCACACUAUACUUGGAUUUUCAUACCAAACCAUGAAUUAGCACAUAAUUAACUAAAGCAUAUAUUCAUCACAGAAGUAUAGAACAUACCACUCGUAAUAAGUACUUAAAACAUAUACUAGAUACUCCUAUUACAUAUUUCAAAAACUUCUAUUACAUGCCAUAAAACCAAGUACAACCAUUUCAAAACUACCAAAAUAUAGUUGGAUAGUGUGAUCUUCUAUUUGAUUCGAUUGCCUGAUUUCGCAAAACAAGAUCUACAAGGAAACAUGAAGACAACACGAGUAAGCUUAAAUAUAGCUUAGUAAGUGAUAACUCUUGAAAAGAGUUAUAUUUCAAGCCUCUAGAUUGGAUUAAUUAUUUGUAAUUAAGUAAAUAUAUUUGUACUUUUAGAUAUUUUUAGAACAUUAUAUAACAAAGUUUGGAUUGUGCUAUACGUAUUUUUAUUUGUUACUUCUAUUAUUGGGGAAGAAAGGUGUUGUUUGUGGUUGGCAACAGGUGCAGGAUGAAGAAGAGAAGAGAAAAAGGAUAGGAAAAUGAAUGAAGUGAAAUAUUGUCAUGACAAAAUGUUGGAUAGAUUGCCAGCACGAAUACCAUAGCAAUCCAGGAAAAUGACUCAGAACUCAGUCCACGUCACUCUCAGCCAGCUGUACUUGUACAAGAUAAAUCAUCCUGAAAAAGAGGAAGCAAAAGGUGUGCGCUAAGAGAGAGGGACCUACCCUAUAAAUAAGAAAAGAGAAAAGAGAAAAAAGAGGAUCAGAGAGAGAGAGAAAGAGAGAAUAAGGAUUUCUAUCUCUCUGCAUCAAAUUCUCGUGCAUUCUCAGAGGAAGAGUGAAAAGGGUAGCAACUUACAGAGCAAAAGAAUUACAGAUGCAAGGAAGGGGAAGAGAAAUCUACACUGGGUUUUGCAUUAAAUCUCAUUAUCAGAGUGAAAGCUGGAGUAGCGAAAGCUUCCAGCAGUUCGGCCUUUAUUUUCUAAUUUGAAUUUGUGAUUCGUGCAUUUAAACAAUGACGUUGAACAAUUCUAUUAUGAAUUCUAAUGUUCAACCCAUGAAUUAAUUUUCUUUGGGUUGCAAUUAUUGUGGGUGAAUUUUUAUUAACUUUUAAUGCCCAUGGUUUGAUUUUGAGUUGAAUAUUGUUUCAUUCGAUUUGUGAUUAUUUUUAAUGCAUGCAUGCAAGCAAGCUCUAGACAUAGAUGACUGUGUAGCAUGUUAUUAGAUCAGAUUUAAUUUUGAAAAGAUAAAUUAGAUUUGAUUAUAAUCGGUUGAUACAGGCAAGUAUUUGAAAGAAUAAUUGUAGCACUCUAGACAUAGAAGUUGCAACCUAUAUAAGGAAAGGGAGAAAAAUCUGGAUACCAUUCUUAAGUCUGUAGACAUACAAAACCUCAGAAUGAUAUCUUAAAGUCUGUCUUUCGAAAGAAGUAGACUACAGUAAUGAUUCCUUGAGCUGUAGAAUGGUCAAGAUUUUUCCAUGCCAUUAUUAUGUUAUAGAAAUAAACUCAAGUAAUUCCAACCUUUAUCAUUGAAUAGUACAAACUCUUUCCCACUUACUCUUUGAGAAUUAUCACAACAUUUUAUUUUUCAUAGCAUAUUUUAGUCAUAAUUGAUUUUCUUAAUCCUUCAUUACAUCUCUUUAUCAAUUAUUCACCUGUCGCUUUUGCUCAAUUUAAUUAGUCAGUUUCAUAGUAAUAGCAUAACUAAUUAUUUUAGUCAAUUUCGAUCCUUGUGGAGACGAUACUCACUCAUCACUUUAUUAAUUGAUUCGACGUGUAUACUUGCAGAUUUGCAUUACACAUUCACACGUGACAAUAAGUUCACAGGUUAAAAGGUUAUAACUUACCGAACAAUCACAAUUUUAUAGUUAACAAAAUUAAUGACUAUCAUUAACCCUGUCAAUUACAACCAUUCAAUAUGUGAGUUUCGUAAAUACAAGUCAUUGGAUCAUUUCAUUUAUACAAUAUCAACCAUUACCAAGUCAUGAUAUAAUUUCAGAAAUCAUGAACACAUGUGCAAGUCUUUCACAAGAAAUCAUAAUAAUUUAUUAGUUACAUAUUAUCAUUAGGUCAUGUAACUAUUAAAAAUUCAGCUCGAUGAACGAUAUAAGCAGAUACAAAUACGCGGUUAACCAUCUAGAACACAAAAAAUGCUCAAAUGAGCAAAACCAACCAUGAACACACAUUGGAACCAAGUGUCUUGCCCGUAGGCUAACAUCUCUCCAAUAACACACCUUGGCACCAAGUGCCAAGCUCGAAGUUUUACAUUCGCCCUCGAUAACACACCAGAAACACUGUAAAUAUAACACGAUAGUCCGCAACAAAUGAUGGACUCCAAUAUAUUAAGUGAACAGGAAUAAAUCAUGAAUCAUCAUCUAAUCUCAAAUCAAACUCGUACAGCGCGCAACAUAACCUAUUGACAUGACAAUUGUAUCUUAUCCUAUGAUCAUCUAGGCUCGAUAUACAAAACCGCAUAAUAACUUACAAUUCAAUUACAUUUCUCACCUUUAUAAUCAUUUCAUUAAAUAUAUAAUUAUUACAUACAUCAUAAUUCACAUGUCAUUAAAAUAUUGCAAAUUAUACUAAAUUAAACCGUAUGAACUUACCAGGGCUAAACUACAGUAUUGACAAAAGUUAAGGGACUACUCAGGAAGUUUCCCUUUUCCUCGAUUAUCUACUUGUUCUUGAUCUAUAAUAUAAUUUAUUUCAAUUAUUAGCCUCCAUUUCAUAUAUCACUCAAUGAAAUACAUAUUCCUUUCUAUUUAUAUUUUUUCACAAUUUCCCCAAACUUUUACUCUUUAUUCAAUUUAGUCCUUAAUAUUGAAACGAGUCCAUUUUCACAAUUUAUUAAUAAUCCCAAUUUUUACCGAAACUUUAACCAUGUAAAAGAAACCUUUAAAUUUUUAAAUUUUUCAAUAAAACCCUUCCAAAUUUCACAUGCUUUUAAUUAAAUCCUAUAACUUAAAAACUAUACAAUUUACUUUACAAACUAGCUCAAAUUCACUAUAAAUCUUUCAACCAAAAAAUUUUCAAUUAAAAAAGUCAUAAAAAACAAUGGUAAAUCUUAUACCCUUUAAAAAAAUUCAAAAAUUAGUCCCUAGGCUAGAUAGUUUAAGCUACAACAAUUCCAAAAACAUAAAAUUUUCGAGAAACGGGUUAAAAAUGAGCUUACAUGCAAUAACUUAAAUGAUUAAAUGCUUCAAGCUACUUUCAUGGUCCCCCCCCCCAAUUUUGACAAUCAACAACAAAGAAAGAUGAUAACAUUGUUUAUUUUAAUUGUUUAUGUUUUAAUUAGCUAAUUACCUUAUUACCCUUAAUUAAAACAUUCAAAUUUCACAACAAAACACCCAUAACCGUUCACUACAUAUAAUUAAAUGGUAUAUUUACCAUUUUGAUCCAUAAAUUUUAAUUUCUCUAGCCAUUUAGUACUUAUAACUAAUAGGAACUAACUUUUGCAGCUUCUACAAUUUAGUCCUUUUUAAUUAAUUAACUAUCUAAACGUCAAAAUUACCUAACCAAUUUUUUAAUACACCUAUAUAAUCAAUUUGUAAAUAUUUAAUAAGAAUAUUUACAACUCAGUUUAUAGAAAUGAGAUCUCGAUACCUCAUUUUCUAAAACCAUUUGACUUUAGAGACAAACCCCUUGAAUUGAACUAAUCAUUCAAUUAAUUAAAAUUAUCAAUUCAAAAUUUACUAUAAUACUAUACUUGACUAAUUAAUAUUAAAUAAUAACAUUUACGGACUCACUCAUUGGAUUUGUGGUCUCAAAACCACUAUUUUUGGUACCACUAAAAAAGGGUUGUUACAACCGUGCAGGACACACCGUGGCAACCCAUGUCAUAGACCGUCUGUUUCCAAAAUUUCUUCAAACUCAUGCAAAUUAACCUACAACUCCUAGAAUCCAAGCCAAACAUUUACCAUAUCAUAAACCUAUUCAAAAUGUACCAAAUCAAGUCAAAAUAUGUCAAUUCACAUACAACCUAUGUGCCUAACCAAUAUGCCCUCAUCAGCACCACAAUCUAAACAUGAAACAUCAACCAUUCAUGCCAAAACUUUUAUGCCUACACAUGUCCAUACCAUCACCAUUUCUUUUACAUAAUGGCAUUAAGAAAAGGGCCACAAGUGACCUAAACAUAAACACCUCUUUUUACCAACUAAGUAUACAUUUUGUACCCAUUUUGUACCGUUCAAUACAAUUAAUCAAAAUAUCCACAAUUACCAUAUCUAUUACCAUUACAUACCAUUACCUAAACACAAAUAGAUACUAAGUACUUAAUUCAUCAAAGUUUCUUAUAGCUCAUUCACAAACAACGUAUUAAAACAUGAACAUUAACUUGAAAUAAGAACAUCCUAUAUACAUUCCACAAGUAACCAACUAUCGAACUUCAAAAUCUACUGAGUCGAGUGACGGUAGGUGUGUGCUUCUCGUUGAUCCAAUCGACACAUUUCGAAUGUCCAAAAUCUACAGAAAAAUAAUAAUACUAGUAAGUAUAUUAAAUAAUAAGUAAGCUAAUACCAUUUAAACUUCACUUACCUCAAAUUAAACAAGAUUCAGUUUGAGAUACAAUUUAACCUAUCAAAAUUCAAACCACAAUAUUAAUAUAGACCUCAUGCUUUGAGCUCAACCACAUGAACAUCCAUUAGUAAUUUUGUUUCCAAGAAAAUGAAAUUUAAUCUCGUAACCGAACUAUAAUAAUCAUAUAGUCAAUAUCAAAGAUAUGUCUCCAAGACUUAAAUAACAAACAUUCCCAAUGAAAUUUCAUAAAAACCUUGGUAUAUAGAUGAAAUCAGUAGUGUCUGGUUACCCAAUAGGGUCAACCUACACGAUAAAUUGCUUGGACAAGACUUAAUAUUCCAAGACUUAAAUUGCAAAAAAUUUAGGAACAUGGAACCUAUUUCUGUGUUCUCGAGUCCACAACGUAUGUAGGAGCUCAAAACCUAAUCCUAUAUUCUCGAGUCCGCAACGUAUGCAAGAGCUCGGAACCUAAUAUUGUAUUCUCAAGUCUGCAACAUAUGCAAGAGUUUGGAACCUAUUCGAUAUUCUCGAGUCUGCAAUGUACGUAAGAGCUUGGAACUUGGGCAAAGUCAUAAACCUGUAUAUGACCAUUUACUAAUUUUAUCGGGAAAUAUCUUGAUAUACAUCAUAAUUCCAAUCCAAAAAAACCAAUAUUGAUAAUAAUAAUAUAAUAGAUAAACAUAAAUUAUUAAAUUCAUACUGUAUAAACUUACUUGUCGAAAUGGUAACGGUUCAACUAUUAGGGACUAGUCAGUAAUUUUCCAUUUUCCUUGUAUGUUCUCCAGUCGCUGAGAUUCUUGAUCUAAAGUAUAAUUUGAUUUUAUUAACCAAUCCAAGAAACAUAAAACAACAUAUAAGCAUCAAGUUCUUAACCCAAUUUCAUUUAUACUAAAAUUCCUCAACUUUUACAUUUACCAUAAUUUAGUCCCUAAAAUUGAAACUAUUAUAAUUCUCACAUUUGAGUUUCGAUUUUAAAAUCAAUCUCAAUUUAGUCCUCCAACAAUCCACUAAAACCCAAAAAUUUAGAAUUUUCCUACACAUUUUGGACUUAUUGCUUUUUAGUCCCUAAGUUCAAAAUUAACAACUUUUUAUUUUACAAACUAGUCCAUUAACAUAUCUAAGCUUCAAAAUUAACCAAAUAAUCACAAAAGCUUCAAGAAAACAUCAAUGGUAACUUUAAAAAAAAUUAACAGUUUCAGAAAAUAGUCCCUAAGUUAGCUAAAUCGAGCUCCUGAGAUUCCAUAAACAUAAAAAUUACAAGAAAUGGGCUUGAAUUCACUUACCAAUUGAAGAAACAAAGUUGAAAAUAAAACCCUGAGCUCCCCCCUAACAUACGGCCAUGGAAGAAAAGAAAGAUGAGGACAAUUUGUUUUUCUUUCAUCUUUUGGUUUCUUUAUUUUAAUAUAUUUAGGUAAAAUUGUAAUUAUUAAGAACUUUAAGAUUAAGUUUAAAUAAUUAUACCAUUAACUAAGUUUAAUCAUCCUUAACAAAUAAAUAAUGCCAUCAUCCAUUAACUAAUGUGAUAACAAUUGCCCAUUUGCUUAAUUGAACCCUCAGAGACUAAGAAAUUCUAUCACAGUUCACUUUUGUUAACUCAGUACAUAAAUGUCAAAAUUAUCGAACCAAAAUUUAAUACGACACUUAAAUAAUUUCAUAAAUAUUAAAUAAUUAAUAUUUACAGACACAAGCUGGAAUUAGGGUCCCGAAAUCAUUAUUUCUGAUACCAUUGAAAAACGGGUUGUUGUACUCUCGGUCUCACUUGUCUAUAUGUUCUCUUAGGAGAUUCAAUCCUAGGUUUUUAGAUUUAUUCAAAUUAAUCCAAUUUAUUAUGAUUUGGUCCUUCAUCCAAAAAUCAACUCACCACAUCUCCAUCAACCAACCCCUUUUAAGUUUAGCUACUCAUGUUGAAAAUAAAACUAACAACCAUGGAAAUGAAAAGCAAAGAAGCCAUUAAAGUAAAGCUUAAGAAAAAUAUGAAUGUUGAGAUUUUUAUGCAAGAAAGCUUAAAGAACAUGAAAUGAAAAGCAUUUAACAAGAAAAUCUAAAGCAAGAAACCUACAAGGAAUGAACUUUAACAACUACAAAGUAAAAGAAACUAAAAUACAUUAAACUAAAUCUGAAAAUGUCUUACAACCAAGGUACAGGUACUAAAGAUGCAAAUAAACCUAAGCUACAGUGAUAACUAACUUAACUAACUACAAGAACACUGAGAAUAAGAAGAAAAUACAGUAGAACAAACUCGAAAACUAAGAAAAGAGAUGAGAAAAUAAAAACCCUAGAGAAGUUGCAGAAAAACUAAGAGAAAACCUAAAGAAACUAAAGCUAAAAACUAAACUAAUAUGUGUCUCCUCUAUCCUGAGCCAAAAUUGGUUAUUUUAGGUUGAUGGUUGAUGAAAUUUUGUUGCCAAAAUUUCCCAUACACGGGCCCUCUGUUAUUGGUGUGUCGGGUGGACAAAGACUACCCUUUUGUCCAACUUUGUCCCCUCACGAUAUUGGUAUCAUGAUACUCAAGAAGAGGAUAUUGCGAUACCCCAUUCAAUUUCGAACUUGGGUGUCUUCUUGGAGGUUGGAUAUCACAAUACCCAAACUGGAUAUCGUGAUACCAUUGAAUGGUGGUCUCCAAUCUUUAAAUCUGUUGGAGGUUCAUGAUUCAAAGGUUUGGAUAUCGUAAUACCCUUUCCUUUAGUGUUGUUUUCACUCAUUUUCAACCUUCAACAAGUCCCUACACCACUCAACCACACGUUAGGUCGCCUAAUGGCACUAUUGGCCAAAUUGGGUCAUAAAUGAGUAAAAACGAGACAUUUGCACUCAUUAAAUUAUAGUUUAAUAAUUAUGGAAAACUAUGAAAAAUGUGCUACUUUGCUUAAGAAUAAGCUCCUUAAGUAUACUGAGAAAGCCUAAUUUUUCAUAUCAUUCCUCUAGUUACCCUUGGCAAAAUGGUGGUACAAUACCACUUACCACUCAGCUAUCAAGUGCACACCUUAUGAAGCCUUUAUGGUCAAGAUCCUCCUCUCCCUUUACCAUAUUUGGAUAGUUCUUUUGUUGUAGCCACAGUGGAUCGCAACCUCCAACAUUAAGAGACAGCUAGAUAGCUCCUUAAGUUUCAUUUGAAGAUAUCUCAGGACAUAAUGAAAUAAGUAGCGAACAGGAGGAGGUCUAAGAGAGUUUCAGGUGGGAGAUAUGGUGUAUUUGAGGAUCCAACUUUACAGACAACAUUCGGUGAGAAGGAUUGUGAACCAAAAGUUGUCUCCCAAGUACUUUUGGCCCCUAUCUUGUGGAAGCCAAGGUUAGAAAGGUAGCUUACAAACUAUCCUUGCUAGAAGGAUCGAGAAUCUACACUAUGUUUCAUGUGUAUUAACUUAAAAAAACACAUCGGAUAGAUUCCCUACAAUUCUAAGUUGCCACUGUUAGUAACAGAUUGGGCUAUUCUUAAGGUGCCAACUCGAGUGCUUCAAAGGCGUAUGGUAAGAAAACGGCACCAGGCUACCAUAGAGGUGUUGGUGGAGUAGGAAAACACCUUCCCUGUAGAUUCCAUAUGGGAGAGCUUGCAGGACCUUCAAAAAAGGUAUUUAGAAUUUGAUCUUUAAGGACAAGGAUCAUGUUCGAGAGAGGAAUAAUUGUUACUGGAAGCAGCAACAAUGGUCUAAUUUUUAAAUUUUUUUUAUUUUCUGUUUAAAAUGUAAUUGGAAAACACAAUGUUUUACUACAGUAAACAUUAAUGAAAACGGUGCAUUGAGUGUGGGUCAAGGUAGCGCCCAAAAUGGUUCGUUUUGGUUGGAAACUAUUUAAUGAAACGAUGAGUAUUGUUGAAACAAUUAUUUAUUAGCUGCUUGGUUGUCACACGAGCAGUUUCCCUUCCCCUUUUAGCACCAGUCAUGGCCAAAGAAAGGUCGUUAUGGUCUCUCUUUUUAUCUCUUUCUCUCUACUCUCUUCUUUCUCCGUUUUCUUCUAUACUUUUUCUCGUGAAUUUCUUCUUCCAUAUCAUACAACAAUGGAAUCUGAUUUAUACGGCUUAUCUCCUUAAAAAAAUCUCUUUUGCUACUGGUUGUUAGUUUGUUGUCCAUAUAAAAAAAGAAAAUAAUAAAUAAAUUUAAUUUUUAAUUAUGUUUAAAUAAAUUUAUCUUUAUUUAUUUAUAAGUCCUUUAAUAUUUGUUUAUUUUAUUAAAUGAUGAUGUAACUUGCUAUGAUUAAUUAAUGGUGCAUAAUAUGUAUGCAUUGACAAUAUAUCAAAUAUUAACCCAAGAAUAAACUCUAUAAAUCUUUCAUGACAAUUUGAAUGGCCCAAGUUUGAAUAUUUUUUUAGCUUGUGUUUCAUUUAAGAUAUUUAAGUAGUUGUGAAAUGAUAAUAUUGGUCGUUAAAGGAAAAUGGAAACUUAGGGUUCAAUACUCAAAGGAGCUUAAAAAUCAUCUUAAUCUAUCUUGAAGAGUUAAAAAGUAUGUUGGGUUUUAUAAUUUUAGAUGGCAGUUAGUUGGUUUCUGAGGGCAGUUGUUUCACUUUAAGAGUGCAGGAACCCGUGUAUUGUUUGUUCUUUUUCACCCUUUUAUUAUUGUUUAUUUUCCUUGGCUACAAUUAAUUCUAUUUUUUUAUCUAUUAUCUUUCAGCUUGAUUGAGGUCACUUGAGGGCCAAAGUGUUUUUUCUCAGACCCUAGUCCAUUACACUAUUUAUAGUCCCUAGUUAGAUUUCAAGACUUUAUCGACUUGAUUCUUUUCCUAUGAUUUGGCAAUGAAUUGUUGUGUUAAAACUUCUUAUAUCCAAAGCAACAUAAAAUUUUCAUAUUUGUUCUAUUUUUGUUUACUGUCUACAAGCCUCUAUUUUGUUGUUUUAAUUAUAUUCAUUCAUGUUACCAGAAAAAGAGUGACCACUUAUAAAGUUGGAAGAGCGUGGCUUUGCUGGAUGUUUAUUCAACUCAACCAAUUUCAUUAAACCUUGCUUAAAAGAGAGGGAAAAAAUAAAAUCAUCAAACCUGCCAUUUUUUGCGAACAGUGGGAGCAAACAUGACAAAUUAAGGAGGACUUGAGGGUUUGAACAGUGGGAGCAUAUUGGAGACAAGACAAAUGAAACUUAAAAAAUUCUAACAUAUGAAAUUCAAAAUGACUUGGGGGUUUGAACUGGUUGUAGGGUUUGGACUUUGGAAAAAGUAACUAGCCGAAUGGAAAAGUGUUUUGGAAUAAUUACAGAGAGGUUCUUAAGUUUUAGUCAAUAGUAAAAAAAAAAUUACCACGUGUUGUCAUUCAAUUGCGUAAUGUACUACAUUAGCAUUCCGUUAGUGCAUAACGAAAGAUUUUAAUGGGAGUGACUAGUUUGAUCAAUUAUUUUAUCUAAAGUGAUUGAAUUGAGAAAAAAAGAGUGACCAAAAUAGGACAAACCCUAUUUUAGAGUGACCUCGGUUUAAGUUUAAUAUUUAUUGAAAUGACAUUGUAAAGUAAAACCAAUUUAAUUUAAAUGAUAUUCAAAUUUAUUAAUAUUAUAAUAUAUGAAAUUUAAAUUUUAAAUACUUUUAAACAAUUAAUAUAUUUUAUUUGUAAAAUUUAAUUUGAAAAUAUAAAUAAUAUUUUAAAUAUUAAAUUACAUAUAAAUAUAACUCAUAUAAAUUAAAAAAGAUUUCAUCAGUGAUGAGAUAUGUAAUACCAAGUUUUGGGCGAUUUUUGAAUUUGGAGAGUAACCGAAAGUAACCUGAGUGGCAUAGUGCUAUUCUCCCAAUAGUUGUUCUGGUGUAUAGAUCGGGCGCAUAGUAGAUAUUGGAUUGCUAAGCGAGGAUUGUUCUCAAAAUGUAUUAAGUUAUAAAGAAGAAGAGAUUUGGUAAGAGUGUUGAGGAUUUCUGCCAAAUGUAUUGUAUAUCCAGUUUAUUUCGUUGUUGUGCUAGUAACGUUUUAACAAGGUAGUUAGAAAGGAGCAAAGGGACGAACCAAGAAUAUAAAAAUAAUGGAUUUCUAUUUAUAGAUGUAAACCAUUUAUAAAGGUAGCUUUGAAGGUGUGUGACACAUGGUAGGUUCCAAUAAGAGCUUGAGUUCUAUAUAUAGACAUUUAGGUCUAAAAAUAGGGAGUUUCCUUCUUCAAGAAGUAUUUCUUUCUAGAUCUAAAGGACCCCAAAGUAUUUCUUUCUCUCUCUUGAGCUAAAGUUGAAGAUUUGGAUCUUUACUAGUGAUUACUUCAUGUUGAGGUGAGGUUUAUGACUUUGCAUAUUGUGUUGUGAAGAGUAAAUCUGUUAGAUUUGGUACAUCAAUAAGAUAAAGGAUAAAAGAACUCUACUUGGGGAUUUCCAGUAUUAAAAAUGAUGGAAAAAGGAGUAUAUGAAUAGAUCUUGAUGGGCUUCCUUGUUUUGUAGCAAUAGUUGCCGCUGAUUGCACGAUGAAAGACUAGAUCUGGAGCUUUGAACUGCAGUAGGAGAGAAUCAAGUGAGUUUCUAUGUUGACUCUUGUUUAUAUGAUGAUGGUACUUGUAAAUUUGUAAUAGAGUGGCUGAAAGAUUAUGCUAUGAUCCUUGAGGUUACAAUAUGCUAUGUAUGUGACCCUCUGUAAGGUUAUUGAUGUAUGCCUAUGACCAUGCUAAUGUUUGUUGAGGAUGAUAUGCAUUUUUGGUAUAGAUUUGUGGAGUUCAAGUAAGUCGGUGUGAAGUAUGGUUGCACCUAUAUGUCUGGAUUAUGUAUAUGGGUCUUAGUUGUAUGCUAUUCGAAAUGCUCUGAUGAGAGUGGGUCUGAGCAUGAUGAGUCUCUGCCUGUCUUCGUGGAGUCAUCUAAAGGGGUUCGUCAGGACUAAAAACAUGAUCUCUUAUAUGAAUAUGUGAAAGAGAGUCCAUGGCCAUGACACCAUAUCGUGUAAGACCAUAGUUGUGUUAUGGUAUCAUAUAGAAAGAACUCAAUGAAGGUGAUUACCCAAAGGGUUCUAUGCAUGCCCUAAGGCGAUGAUCGGUAAACCUCACAAAGUGUGAAUCUAGGUGAAUUGUAACACCCCUAACCCGUAUCCGUUGCCAGACUAGGGUUAAGAGGCAUUGCCGAACAAUUCACAUCAUUAUACAAACAUUUCAUAUACAUUGAUCAUGUAUCAUCAUAUUACAUUCAUUCAUAAUCACAUUGUCCCUUAAAUAGGUCUACGAGAUUUAAAACAUGCUUUUAAGAAGGUUCGGGACUAAACUGGUUACACAUAAAAAUUUCUGAAACUUCAAGAAUUUUUUAAGUAACAGACGUCACACGCCCGUGUGAACAGCCGUGUGGACGAAUAUAGGCCAUUUGUAAGGCCAAUUCGCCAACCAUAAGGGUCAACCUUACACAAGCGCAAAAUAUACCAUUUUUAUACACAAUAGGCAGCUUAAACAUUAUGGAUUCAUGCAUCAAACAUUAACCACAAUUGCAUCAAACUUGCCAUACCAAUUCAACCAUUUCAUCUAUUCAUACAGAAACUUUUAUCUAAGCACAAACAUACCAAAUCGAUAUGAUUUAUUAUUUAAUCAAACAAUCAUCAUUUAAACCAAUUUAACAAGGUAUGUAACGCCCCAAAAAUUUAAGUCUUUAAUUUUUGCAUGAUUUGGCAUUGAUUGCUUGUUUGCUUUAAUGGCUAAGUGAUUUGGGUAUGUAUGGGAGUGUUUGAGAAGCCUGGGUUCAAGUCUUGGCUUUUGCAGAAUUUUUAGUUUUUCUCUUAAAUGAAUCUGGACACUGGCAUAUAGGCCUUAUAAAUUAAUAGUGCAUGUUUUAUGACAUAAAAAGAUCUUGUGGUCUAGUGGCAAUGUGGCGUGUUGUGUAACUGUGAGGUCUAAGGUUCAAGUCCUGGGUUGUGUAAUAGAGUAUUUAUUUUGCUGCUUGGGCUGUGUAGGUAGAGGAGUUGGACUGAAACGCAGCUAAGGGAGUUUGAAUGAAUUUUGAAUGGGUUGUUAGAUGGAGUGAUUCAAGGAGGGAUAAGGGGAGAGAUACGAGGAGAAAAUCAAUGAGAUGUUGAGAGGGAAUGUUGUGCCGAAUUUGGAACUUUGUACCCAGGAAAAUUCGAUCAGAGGGGAUUUUUGCUCAUUUUUUUGGUACACUGUACAUUUUCGGUUUUGCUUCGAAUUUGCUCUUCCCUCUAUUGCUUGAAGGCCAAAAGUGGUAAGGGUUCUGUUUUACCUCGUUUGUUUUCUUUUCGAUAACCAUUCUUUAGCCGAACACUGCCUCCUACAAAUUGCCUUUUCUCGUUUCUUUUCUCAACUAAUUCUACCAUUGGCCGAAUACACUUUCUUUUUCCCCUCUCCUCUUUGAUUGUCGAAUACACCUUUCUUCCCCUUCUGUCCUUUUUGAAUCUAUCUUCUCUACCGUUCCUUGUCCAGCUUCACUGCUGCCGAUUUGCUCCUCUGGCUUUCCCCUUCUUUCAUCUUUCCUUUUUAUUUUCUAGUUGCCGAAUCUUUCCUUUCUUUUGGGGGCCGAUCGUGUGUCUCGCAUUUCGUAGUUUGAUUUCCUUUCUCGCGUUAUUGGUAAGGGUAAUAGUAUAGUGUUACUUUAUUACCUGUUGAUUAAGUGCUUACCUAGUUUUGAUUGGUGCCUGGGAACUUUUCAAAGGGUUGAAGGGUUGUGAUUACAUUUGGAUAGGCGAACUUCCCUUUUUGCUCGAUCAAAAGUUGUGGUAAGUAACGAAUGUGAUAACUUGUGUUUAUUUGAUUGUUUAACUGAGUAAGUGAGUAAUUGGAGAUUGCUGGUUAAUUGUAGGUUUCAAUAGCAUGGGAGGUUUUCUCAGCAAAUAGAAUCUAGGUGUGUAUUCACAUCUCUUAACUGCAAAUCGGCAAAAGCCGAAAAGCCGGAAAUGACGACGUUUGAGGCCAUAUGAGCGUACGAACGCUCGUGUGGUAAGCCAAGCCCACGAAACAUGGUGUUGGACUGUAAAGGCCUCCACGAGCAUUUUCAUGGGCUUAGGCAAUAAUGGGCCACGUUGGGCCGAAAUGGGCUCGUGGGCCCCACACGGAUGAAAUCCACGAAUGGUGACAAAUACUGGACUAGGUGAUAUAGAUCCCAUUGUCGUGGCAAAUUUUGGGCUGAACGGGUCGCACGAACGUGUGGGCCCACUUGGGCCGAGUAAUGGGCCUUGAGCCUAUUUACAUUAUUUUGACCAUUUAGGUUACCUAAGUCACUCGAGGCGACUGCGGACCUUUCGAGAGGUCAAUAAAUGACUGAAAUACCCCCAUAGGGUAAAAUGACUGAAAUACGCCCAUAGGGUAAAAUGAUCGAAAUACCCCUGUAGGGUAAAAUGAUUGGAAUACCGCCAUAGGGUAAAAUGACCGAAAUACCGCCAUAGGGUAAAAUAACCAAAAUACCUCCACAAGGUAAAAUGAUCAUAUUACUCCCAUAAGGUAAAAUGACCGUAUUACCCCCAAUGGGUAAAAUGACCGAAAUACCCCUAUAGGGUAAAAUGACCGAAAUACCCCAUAGGGUAAAAUGACUGUUAUACCCUUAGGAGAUGAAAUGACUGAUAUGGCCUUAUGUUAUGUAUAUCUGAUUUGCUCUAUGAUAUGUAUGACUAUGAUUUGAGUAUGACAUUCUGCAUACACGUAUGAUUUAUGACAUGACAUACUGCAUGGGGUUAGGAUAUUGUUAUGGAGGAAGUAUACUGUUAUUGGCAGCUUUGCUGCGAUAUUGGUGUGUUGGCUGGGUGGGUCGAUUUUAUCCCCAUAUGGUGUGUUGGUGGUACAGAGAGGUGUGUUGACUGGAUUGGGAUGGGUUGUAUUAUUGCACUGUACUGACAUUGUAUUGGGCUAAGGCUCAUACUGUUACUGUAUCAGGCUAAGGCCCACACUGUACUGAUACUGCAUGUUGUAUACUGUUUGAUUGAUAGAGCAUUACACACUAAGUUUUCGUAAACUCACUUUUUCCUUUCAACUGUACAGGUAAUCCUCAGCCUUAAGCAGUUUGGUGCUAUGAGGGACUCGGAGGUGGCCACACAACUGCAACUGUACUACACUUGCUUUUAUUUAAAUUUAUUCUAUAUGUUGGGUUUUGUUUAUGUAAUAAGGCCUUUAAGUUUGUUUAAUUUUUUUAAUUGGGCUUUUGCUUACUUACUUUAAACUGCUAGUUUAGGAGAAGAUGAAUUUUUAAAAUAAUUAAUGUUUUCAAAGACACGAGUUUUAAACAAAAGGAUUUUUAAAAGCUUCCGCAAUUUUAGAUCAACUUAAUAUGACAAAAGCAGACAACAAGGCAAACAUUUUAGCUAGAUGAUUGUAAAUAAUAACUAAGAGGUUUUUAAAACUUAGAAACGAAUGUUCUUCCAACAAGUUCAAUUUUCGAAAGGCACUUCAAUGUGACAUGCCAGAUUCGACCAUAACGUCUAGGUCGGGUUUGGGGUGUUACAAGGCAUGUAAAUCAAUGUAUUUUAGACCUAAAAUACUCCAUUCCUUUUUCAUCAUCUCAAUUACAACCUAACCUCUCAAUACCAAGAUAAACAAACACAUAAAUACCAUUAUUCAUCAAUUGUGAAUAUCAAUUUGGACACUUCCACUAAUGCAUCAAUAACUUGACUAAAGCUUACCACAUAACCACAAUCACAUACCAAUUAUAAGGUCAUCUACAUAUCAAACCUCACAUUAUAAACAAGGCAAAUCUCAUGGCUCAAUACAUUUCAAACAUAUAGGCACCAAUAGCCAAAAUCACUUAUACAUUUAACAAACCAACUAGCCUAUACAUGCCACAUAACCAAAAUUACAAAUAUUUUAAGUACCGAAAUCAUAGCUGGAUAGUGUGAUGGGAUCUUCGACGACUUUCAACCCGAGCGAGCCUUCGAAACACUACAAACAUAGAAAAAUAACACAAAGUAAGCUAUAAAUCUUAGUAAGUUCGUACGACUAAUAAACUCAUAUUAGCAAUUAAACACAUUUACGUACUUACAUAAAGUAUAACACAAUUCAUAUGAUCUCACAAUUCAAUCACAUAAUCACUUACAUUGCUAACCUUAACCUUCACAAGUUUAAUCAAUUUAAUUCUCAUAUAACAUUCAAUUCAUACUUCCAUAUAGCCAAAUGAGCACAUUUUGGUAUACAACAUAUUUAAACACAUAUCUUUCUCAUUUCACAUACAUGAUAUGGUAUGAACUCACCAAUUCACUUUCAUUCGAUUCUCACAUAGGUCCUAUACGUACCUGUCUUGCUUAACUCGAUCGUACUUUCAUUCUCAACUUUCACUUACUUGUUGAUUUCUGUCACGAAUACUUUACUUUCGUUGUACCAUCACUUAUAACCAUGUUUCAUACACUUUUCCCGUUGAACCAUUUGGAAUACUAAAGGAUACUCGGGGAUCUCGUACACAUAGUACCGUAACAAUGUCAUAUCUCAAAUAUGGUCUUACAUGUAAUCUCAUAUCGAUGCCAAUAGCCCAGCCAUGGUCUUACACGAAAUCACAUAUCGAUGCCGAUGUCCCAAACAUGGUCUUACACGAAGUUUCAUAUCGAUGUCAUAUCCCAGAUAUGGUCUUACACGUAAUCUCGGUAAACCUAAUGUCAUGACAUUUGUAUCCUAUCUAUUCCUAAGGUUCAACCGGGACUUUUACUUUGUCGAAUCUCCGUCAAAAAUUUCCAAAGCAUUGUAAUCACAAUUAAAUUCAAUAUUUAAGUAUUCACCGCAAUUAUCUCAAUUAAGAAUUUAAACAUGUACAAUUUAAUGCUUAUUAAACAUACAAACUUACCUUAUUCGCUGAAACGACGAAUUAGGUCGACUAAUCCGAUACUUUGAUUUCCCUCGAUCUAGAUCCCAAUUUCGUUUUUCUCAAUCUAGAUAAUAUCAAAAUUAAAUUCUUUAAUUAUCUUCUCUUCAAUUUAAUCCAAAAUUUACUUUAAAGUAAUUUACACUUUUGCCCCUAUAAUUUCACAUUUUUGCAAUUUAGACCUUGUCACAUAAAAUCACAAUUUCAUGAAAUUAAACACAAACCCAAACUAGCCGAAUUUUCCAUAUAUUACUAUCAGACCAUAAUUUCAAUUUAUUUCACAUUUUAACCACUAAAUUUCCACAUUUCACAAUUUAGUCCAAAAUUGACAUUUUUCUCAAAAAUCACUUUAUAAAAUAUGAAAAUCUAACAUCAAAUAUUCAUAAUCUAUCAUAAAUCAUCAAUUUACUCAAGCAUUCAACAAUGGCAACAUGUUAAAUCUUUAACAGUUUCGAAUUCAGAGGCACGAGCUAGCUAGAUUACGAAGCAACGAUCUCAAAAACGUAAAAAUCAUUAAAAUAGGAACAAAAACAAACUUACAAUUUAGCUCACAAGCUAGGCCGAAUAUAGCUUCAUCCAUGGCUAUUUUUCUUCAUGUAUUUUCGGUGGUGGAAAUUAAAUGGUGAAUAUGGCACCAUGUUUUAUUAUUUAACUUAAUUUAUUUCAUAAUUACCAUUAUAACCUUAUUAAUUAACUUUGAAAUUUUCAUUAAUAAAGCACAUAUUCGUCCAUUCAUAAUUCCAAUGGGUUAAUUACCACAUAAAACCCUCAACUUUGAAAUUUCAUAACUAUCUAAUGCUUUUAGCUUAUAGAGUUCAACUUUUACGCCUUACGCGAUUUAGUCCUUUUUACCGAAUUAAGCCUUUAAACGGUAAAAUUUCUUUACGAAAAUUUCACACAAUAAUUCUAUCAUGCUGUAAACUAUAAUAAAAUGAUAAAAUAAAUAUUUUUACUUUGAAUUUGUGGUCUCAAAACUACUUUCUGAUUAACCCUAAAAAUGGGCUGUUACACAAACCCAUAUAGUAAAACACGUUAUGCAAAAAAGUAGCCUUCGUGGUGAAAUAUGAAAAGAAUUCCUUUAUUAAAAAAUCCGUAAGGACUGUCUUUGUGGCAUAUUCUGCAUGGAAAGCCUUUGUGGCGAUCAAUGAAAAAAGGAGCCUUUGUGACACACUUUAAAGAAUGACCUUUAUGGCAACCAUUUGAAGGAAACGCCUCUAUGGCGGAUGCUGAUGGAAGGAAAUGGUAUCCAUUGAGAACUCUAAAGGAACGAUAGUUGUAAUGAACUUAGAAGGAAAAGCCAGUAUGGCAUAUCAUGUUACACCUUCGAUGAGAUAUUCUAAUGAGCUUCCUUUGUGGUGAGCUUCGUAUAAAAUGUUGUGGCGUAUCCUGCAUGUUCUUAAGAAAAGAACAGAGAAAAUGGAAUGCGCUGGAACAUGUGGUGAGUUCCAUGUAUGGGUUAAGUAAAAUUAAAGAACAAACCUGAGUAAAGGUUACAUCUGAUCGUUUGAUGAAGGGCAUCUAUCAGUGAACAGUAAGAAGAAAGGGCAGUCGGAGAAAGAUAAGGUAAAGAAAGUGAAUUCAAACUUGGUUUUACGAAGAGAAUCAUGAUUAAGAUAAGUAUGAAAGGAAGAAGUUCUGAAAGGAUGAAGCCACUGAUGAAACAAUGUUAAGAAAAAUUGACCAUGGUAUAGCAGACAAAAGGAAUGAUUAUAUUUCGUUAAUGGUAAAUUGUUCCUGGUGACAAAUAACUAAAUAUUUUAAGAAAAUGAGCUGAUGGUGAUGGACUAUCCACCCGUUAUAGGAAUCAACGACUAAGGUAUAAAUGAUUAUUUUUCACUAAGUUCUCAUGAACUCAGGUUGAAUGUGAUGUUGUGCCUAGGGGAAACGAUGUCAAGACUACGCCCAAGGAGCGAUGUAUCGAAUUAUUAUACAUAUAGAGCAAGCUUUGAUGGCGUGAUCGAGUCAAUUUGGCACAUAAAAACCCUUGAAUCAGGACAACUAUGUUAGACCAGGACAUCGUUUUAGUAAUACUUGUAAUCAAAUUCCCUAUAUAUUAUAACUGAAAUUCUUCAAUGUUUAUACUUACGUAUUAGACUAUGAAGUCUUGUAAUUAAAUAGUUCAAUUCAAUUGUAAUUUGUCUAAGUAGAGUUAAGUUACAUCUAUAUUAGAGUGGUAACACCCAAGGUUCAAAUCUAGUUCAUCGGAUCGGGUUUGGGUGUUACAAGAUAAUUUAUUCAAAUGUAAAAUACCUUUCUUUCCUCGUGUCUUUACAAUUAUUAUUACCAUAAUGACGUGUUGUCAUGUUUGAAUUAUUUUGGUUUUAACAGAUAUUCAAAUAAGAUUAUCUUGAAAAUAUAUAAAAAAAUAUUAUAAAAAAUCACUGUUAAUAUUAUGAUAUACGAAAUAUAAAUUUUAAAUACUUUUAUGUAAUUAAUAUAAAAUUUUUUAAUUUUUUAUAUUAUAUAUGUUUGUUUUACGGUUCAUUUUUUAUAUUCAUAACUACCCCACUUAAUAAUAUUAUUUUUAAGGUUUGAACCUACAUUCACCCUUUAGGAAUGCAAUAUGCCUUACUAUUACACCCAACCUCUUAUUAGUAUUUUUUGUAAAAUUUAAUUUAAAUAUAAAUUAUAUUUACAUAUUAUUAUAAAUGAAGGAAAAUUAAAAAAAAAUGAUUUGACUUGAGACGUGGUUUUGGAACACAAUACUUAACAAACCUUGAUAGCUACAAUUUAGAUUAAGAAAAUUAAAAUAAAAAAAAUUAAUUAGGCAUUUUUCUACUUUGUGUUUUUCCAAUGCAAGCCAAAAAGGAUCAAACGGAUUUGGUCAAAGUGAAAGCAAAAAACAAUUAGGUUAAAAGUAUGACACAAUGUUGACACCAUUUUUUGGAUGAAAAAAUGGGGUCGACUUGGGUUUUGAAAAAUGAAACGGGAGUCGCCACCAAUCCUUUUUUAAUGAGGUGUGAUUGGAUCACCUCGAAAUGUGGUUGUUUUUAAUAAUCGGUUUGAUUUUAUUAAAACAACAAGUUUGGUCCACGAAAUUCAGAAAAAACGGGUUCGGGAGUCGGUUACGCACGAGGAAGGAUUAGCAUCCUCGAUACGCCCAAAAUUGGUACCUAGUUGAUUACUUAAUGUAUUAAUGUCGAAAAUUGAAAACUUUAAAGAGAUUUAAAAAAUACGAUCCUUGUAUUAAAACGUUGAAAAUUUUCAGGGAAAGGGGGCAUAUUUCACGUUAUUCGAGAAAAAGAAUCAUGUCCAGUAAGUUAGGACACAAUGUCUCGAAUUCCCGAUACGAGAAUGAAAAAUGCUUAUUUAAAAGAUAUUUAACUAUCUUGGAUUAAAAAAGGGAUCACGACCAGUAAGUUAGGACACGAUCCUUUUUUAAUUCCCGAUAUCGCUUAAAACUUGAGUUUGAAAAGAUUCGUGUAAUAAAGUUUAAAAGAAUAUUCAAUUGUUUAAAUCAAAUGAAGAAAUCGCAACCCAAUACGUUAGGGCACAAUUUAUCAAAAUAUUAAACAUUGAAUAUUACAUUUAUUUCGAAAACUCCUCGUUUCGAGAAAACAACGCGUCACAUCCAAUGCGUUAGGACACAACGUAUUGAAUUCUCGAUAACAAGCUUUUUAUAAUUUUUAAAAGAGUAAUCUCGAUUAUUUAAGUUCAACGAAGAAAGUCGGAACCCAAUACGUUAGGGUUAGAUUUUCUCGAAGAUCCAAAAUACCGAAUAUUACUUAUAUUUUUAAAAUUUCUUUCUUAAAAUCUAAAUAAAAAUGGGUGUAAUGGAAUAACAAUGAUAAUGAUGUAAGUAAAAAUAAUACAAGCAAAAACAAAAGAUAAAUAAAUAAGAAGUCACAUGUAUAUAAAUAAAAUCAAUCACAUAUGUACAAUAACGAGCAAUAAACAAAUAAAAAUUCUAAAGCAUAAUAAAUAAUAAUAACGGACAUGUAAAUAAAUAAAUAAAUGAAGAAAAUAAAUAAAAGAUAUACACAUAUGAAUUAUAAAAUAUAAAAAUAUAAGUAUUUAUACAUAUAUAUAUAUAUAUAUAGGUUAUAAAAUACAAAAAUAUAUAUAGAAUAUAAGUAUGUACAUUAUAAAAAGUUUGUAUGUACGAGCAAGUAUGCAUUUUAAAAAAUAUGUGUAUAUAUACAUAUUUUGGAAAUUAUAAAUAUAAAAGAUACAUGUAUGUACGUAUAUGAUAUAAGAAAAUAAUAAAAAGGCAUAUAGAUGUAUAUAGACAUAAAUAUAUAAAUUAUAAAAUAUAAAAGAAUGCGUUUGUAUGUAUAUAAAAAUAAGCUAAAAAAAAGUGCGUGCAUAUGCAUAUAUGUAUAUGGAAUAAAAAUAAAGCUAAAAUAAUAUAAAACUAAUUAAUAUAUAUAUUAACACAAUAGUAACGAAUAAAUAAAAGGAAAAUGAAACUACUAUUAAUAAUAAUAAUAAUAAUAAUAAUAAUAAUAAUAAUAUUGCUAAAACAAGGACUAAAUCGAAAUAAAAACGAAAAUAACGGGCAAAUUCGAAAUAAAAAAUAGAAAAAGGAUUAAACUGAACCUAAGGGUGAAGUUUCGGGGCGAAUUAAUAAUAAAAAACAAAAGGAAGGACUACCCUGAACGCGCGAAUAACAUGCAGGGACCGAAAGGGAAAUUUUCCCUUCUCCUCCAAAAUGACGUCGUUCGAAUAGGGACCGAACGGAAAUCUCAGAAAAUUAUGGGGUAAAAUUUAAAAAUGUAAAACUUGAUUAAAAAUAUUAACAAAGCGGAAGGACUAGGGUAGUAAUUAUACCCUAGUCACAAAACACGCGGAUCCUCCUGGUAAUGGGUCGGGUCACGCACGGGUCAGGGCCAAAACAGCGUCGUUUUGGCACUUGACCCCUAAGGGCAAAACGGCGUCGUUUUCUUCAGGGUAUUUAAACCCAAUUUUCUUUAAAAAAAUCAUUUCUAGGGUUUCUUUAAAAAAAACUGCAGAAUAAAGAAAGAAAGAAACCAUUCUUCUCUCAACUCCCCCCCGUCGCCGGCCAAAUGGGCCACCGUCGACCCCGCCGUGAACGGUGGUCAGAAGCCCAAACGUCGGGUUUUUAAACCCUGCUUUAAGGACCAACUGAAGAACAAGUCUUCCUGGCCUCGGGGUCGCGAGAGAAAAAUCAAAUCGCCGCCUUCCCCGCCCAAUUUCGGUGACCCGAAGUAGGACUCCGGCGACGACGCUUGCGAGACGAUUCAGGUAAGGUUCUUUCUCCUUUUUUUAUUUCGUUUUUGUUGAGAUAAAUUCGUAUAUAAAAAAAACAAACAAAUAUAAAAACGAACAGAAUAAAAGAAUAAAAAGUCUGAAUCAACCUUUAAAUGUUUUCUCUGCCUUUUUUCAUUAACUAUUGUGUUGUGAAAAUGUUACAAAAGAAAAGGAAAAGACCCGAUUACAGUGAUGAUGCCUCCCCCCCUUUUACAAAGUUGAUAGUUUCAGCCUUUAUAGCCGAUUACAUCCAUUUUUUUUCCUACUGUUAUUGUACUUGUUGUUGCACGUGCUCUCCUUUGCAGGUGCCAGAGGAGUUGGUGGUGGUGGUUGCGGCGGUAUCAGGGGGCAGGUAAUGAUGUUGGUGGCUGCGGUGCUAGGCUAGGGUCGGUGGCAGUACUAGGGUUUCAGAAAAGCUGAAACCCUAGUUUGAUAAAUUAUUUUUGGGCUUGUUGGGUAUUUGGGCUUGGUUGGUAUUUGGGUUAGGCUGUUGGGUUUAUUUUUGGGUCUGCUAUUGGGCUAUUUGUGUUUGGGUUUCUGUUUAGGUGGGUUGUUGGGUCAAAAUGGGCCUGUGCACACAAGUCUCGAUAUUCUUCGUAAAUUUGAAAAGUAUAAGGUUUAAAUUUUUAAAAAUAAAAGUAUAAAAAUUAAAUUUUAAAUUUAUAAAGAAUAUAAAAACUUAUCACAUAUUUUAACUAAAUAAAUAUAAACAAAUAAAUAAACAGAGCAAAGUCUUUGAUUACUACAAAAUUAUUUUUAUCGUGUUUUUUUUAUUCUUCUUUUGUCUCUUUCUUCUUAUUUUUUAGUUCCAUUGGAUCUUCUUACUCUUUUUUUUUUCUUUCCUACCAUCAUUGAUCCUUAUACUUCACUUUCCCCUCUCGUUAAUUCUUAGUGUUAUAGACUCAUAGUUAUUUUCUAUUCUUAUGUACUCUAAUAUUUUUCUUGCCUAUCUUCUAGUGCGAAAACAAGUUGUGAUGAGUUUUAAGAAUAAUAAAACAAGCCAAGAGAAGAAGUUAAAUUGCUAGAAACGCAUGAAUGAUUUAUUGCAUUUUCAAACAAAUUCAUAUUUACUCUUGGUGUAUAAAUUUAUAUGCAGACAAUAACUUAAGCAAUGCAAUGUGUUACAAAAUUCAAUUAUCUAAUAAAAAAUUAUUUAUAUUACCACAAAAAGUUUGAUUAUAUUUAUUUGAAUUUGAGAGAUUUUAUUAGGUGUGAUGUGUUGUCAAUACAUAUAUUGCGACAAUGAAUAAAAUACAUACCAUUUUCAAAAUGCCCCAACUUUAUUACACGGAUACAUCUUGUUAUAUCACAAUACAAAUAUUAUAUUGAAAUUUGCAUUUCUACAUGCGAUAAAUAGGCUUGGCACAGAGAUUAUUCUUCCUUGGCAACGUGGAACUAAAUUUUUCAGUCAUGUCCAAUUCAUUUGGCGACAUUCCACCAGGCAGCUCCCAAUCAAAACAAUGCACCAAUUGAGCUAAAAUAAGUUUAACUGUGAUUAAUGCUAAUUUCCUCCCCGGGCAUACUCUACAACCUGAACCAAAUGGGAUAAGUUUAAAAUCAUGUCCAUGAAGUUCUAUAUUUCUAUUAACGAACCUUUCUGGAAAGAACUCUUCAACAUUAUUAGACCAGACAUUAGGAUCUCUCCCAAUUGCCCAAACGUUCACAAUGAUCCUUGACUCGCGAGGAAGUAGCAUAGGUGUAACAGGAUAAAGCCUUAAAGUUUCUUUCAAAACCAUGUCUAGGUACUCAAAUUUUGGUAAAUCAUUUUCCUCCACCAUUCUCUUCUUGAUAAUUCUUUCUAACACUUUUUGGAGUUUUAACAUUACCCUCGGAUGCUUAAUGAGCUCUAAUAAAGCCCAUUCCAAUGGAGCAGUUGAGGUGUCCAAGGAAGCGACAAUCAUAUCUAUUGUUAUGGCUUUGAUGCAAUUUCGGUCCAUUAUAUCACCAUUAGGAUUUAUUUGCUUAUUUAACUCUGUAAGCAUCGUACUGAUGAAAUCAUCCUAUUUUUGUUGUUGAUGGUCAUUAAUGAUCGUUUCGAGGGCUUUGUCAAGUUUUUCACCAAGAAUCCUUGUACGGGCUUUGAGUCCCUACAUGGUUGACAAUAAUUAACAUCAUUCACUCAGUAAUUGUUCAUAAUGUGUAUGGUUAAUUUGUUUUGAUAUAGUAUAUUAAAAUAAUCACAAACACAAUACCUGUAGGUCAAAAGCACCCAAAAAAGGCACAAAAUCUGCAAGAUUGAAAACUCCUACCAUGUAAAGAAGCUCUUCAAUAAUCUCUUUGAGGUUAAAUUCCUCAUACUUCUUCACAGGCCCUAAAAUCAUAUUCAGAAUCAUUUUUGCAUUAAGAUUCCCCACCUUCUUACUAAUGUUAACCACUUCCUUUGCUGCUGCUGCUUCCUUCAAAGAUUCAAUGAAAUGUGUUAGCACCUCCUUCCUCGAUGGUGCAAAUGAUUCAAUUUUCGAUGCAGUAAAAAGUUGUUGAUUACAAAACUUCGUCAGACUGCGCCAAUAUGGUCCAUAUUCUGUGAAUGCUAUGCCCAUUUUGCCAUUGUAAAUUGAUUGUAGCACUUGAAAUUUUGGCCUGCUUGCGAAAACAACGUCAUGUGUCUUAAGAAAUAUCUUGGCUACUUCAGGGGAUGAAACAACAACAGCUGGCACAGAGCCUAGCCUUAUAGACAUUAUAGCACCAUGUUUUUUGGCCAAGUGAUAAAGGGAUUCGUGUGGAAGCAUGCUUAACAUGUGGAGGUUCCCAAUGAUUGGCAAGGGUUGAGGACCAGGAAGGGCUUUCCCUUUUCCUUUUCCAUGUUUCGAGAUGUAAAAUAGAAUGUAAAAUGAGCAAAAAAUUGCAAGGAUUGUAAGAAAAUUUUCCGCUAAAGGAUCCAUUCUUGGUAAUCAAUUAACCUAAUGGAUAUAUAUCCCCCUUUCUAUUUAUAAAUUUAUAUACUAGCUCUAUUUGGUAAUUGGUUGAUAGUUGAUAGUUGAUUGUUGAUUGCAGUGGUCGGGUUGAUCAACUAGUUCUAUUAACUAAUUUGACCAACUGAUUCUAUUAAUUGUUUAUUUAAAAGUGUUUGGUAAAACUUAGUUGAUAGCUGAAAGUUGAUAUGUGUAAAAUGACAAAUAAGGACAUGACACAUUUUAUUGUUAAGUCUUUAUUGGGUAAAAUUAUUGAAAUAAAACACUAUUACCAAUGAAUUAAAACAUCUAUUAUGAAAGUUAAUUAGUGAAUAUUUUUGAAAAAUUAAAUAAGCAAAUUUCUUAAGUUCCUUAUUUGCAAAUAUUAACCAUGUGGAAAUUGAUAAAUCUUAAUAGUGUAUCAAUAUAAUUGUAAAUUACAUUUUUAGUGAUAAUUAUGUCAUGUUCUUAGUCUGUAAAUUAGUGAUAAUUAUGUCACACUCUAAAUAAAUUUGUCAAGUAGCAUAUUUCAAGUAAUAUAAAAUUGUAUAAGAAAUUAUUUAAGUAAGUUGAAAUUAAUUAAGAGCAUGUGGCAAAGGGAGUAAUUUGUUAAUAAACAUGAUCAAAUAUGUCAUUCCACAUAUCUCAUUCCCAAACAGCUAUGAAAAAAGCUACCCAUCCCUAUGUUUUUUAUUUUGAAGGUUUUAAUUCAACAAGCUCUUGCAAACCUUCAUUCACUAAAUACUACAAAUUAGAGAGUUUGACUACCAAAUCCUCUAUUUGUGCCCAAAUUAGCUAAAAAAAAUUUAAAACUCUGUUUACCAAACACCCCCAUCAACUAUAAGAAAUUAUUUUAUUCUUUUUUAUAUGUUUUAAUAUAAAUGGAUAUAGAAGGACACAACUCUCUCGCCACCAUAUUUGAUUUUUUAUCAUAUUUGAGCCCAUUUAUAAUUUAUAAAAUUUUAAAUUAGUAGUAGUAAAAUUACACUUUGCGAUAAAAAAAUUAAUUUAAUCUUUUAAAAAUUAUAAAGAUAUACAUUAUUAAAAUGAUAAAAUUUCAUUUUUUCUAUUAUAAAAUAAUACAAUUUAAUUCCGCCACUAAAAAAUUUCUUCAUUUGCCCUGCUUAAGGCAUACCCCUAACCAAAUAAAAUAAUUUAGAGUAUUUAUUUUUUGGUUAUACUUUCCUCUCAACACACCCAAUGGUUUUCUAACAUAUCAAUGUUUUAGGCGAUAUUGGUAAAGAAAUUGAAAAAAGUUCUAAUAAAGAUAAUAGAAAACCCCCAAAAGUAGAAUCUCUUUAUAUGACCCAUAAUCAAUGACCCAUGUAUAUAUUUAUUAAAAUUAUUCAGGUCAUGCAAGAAGUGUUGCAUCAGUAAGAAAGAAAUGAAGUAUGGGAACUGGUUCCUUGACCAUCUGGUUGCAACAUUAUUAACACCAAAUGGAUUUUCAAAUAUAAGACAAAUGAUUAGGGAAACAUCACAAGGAAUAAAUCCAAAUUUGUUUCUUAGGGAUACACUCAAGUAGAGGGCAUUGGUUUUGAAGAAGCAUUUACCCCAGUAGCAAGGUGUAAUACCCAUUUUUGCCCAACCCCUAAAUUAAUUAUAAAAACAAAAUUAAAUGUCUAAACAAAUAGUCUAUACGGCCCAAUUACGAAAUAAUUAAAUAUCCCAAAAUGUCCAUUUACAGAAAUUUAAACCCAGAUCAUUAAACUCAAAAUUCAAGCCCAAGUCCGCUACCCUAACCCGAAACCCAAUUCUGCCCAAUUAGCCCAUUUGGAAAGACUAUUCCAGAAAUCACUAGGGUUUCUAGAACCCUUCAGCCGCCGCUGCCACGCACGGGCUCCCUUUCGAGCCACUCCUCACGCGCGUGAUGCCUUCGCCCGCCACGCAUGCCUCCGUACGGCCACCUCUGUACACCAGCUGGCCUUUGUACCUGCAAAAAAGAUGAAAACAACAAAUAGGAAAAUUGGGGGGAUUGAAAAUUUUUUUGCUAUUUUUUCUCCAUUUUCUGUAAUCGGGUAUAAGAAGGCUAUUAGGACACUGUAAAAGGGGUUACGCAUUCAAUGCACAAAUUUUUUCGAUAUAUAGAAAUCAAAAAGUUCCAAAAGGUGAUUUCCCAGUUUUUUUUCUUGUUACGAUUUCGAUUUCUUUUCUUUUCUUUUCUCUUCUGCGUUCAAUCUUUAGUUUUUUUUAAGCAAGAAAACGAUAAAGAGAGGAGGAAAGCGUACCUGGCAGAGGGAUUUCGGCCUCUACCGUUGUCAUCGGAGAGUAGGUCAGAAUCAGAGAUUCUCCGCAGGCCCCCUGGUACGCAAAACGGCACAAACGGAUGGGGGGGCUAUUGAUUUUGAUGCGGCGCAGAACCCUUCUUUAGUUUAGGUUUUUCUUAUUUUAAAUGAUAGGUUUUAGGUUUUUAGAUUUUAAGUAUCUGAUUUCAAAACGCUGCUGUUCAGAGCCAAUACAAUGGCACUGAAACGGCACUGUUUCAUAGACCUGAUCCAAGUGGUGACCCGGUCCGAGAAGGAUCCGCGUUUCAUGGAAUCCUUUGGCCUAUUUAUGCCCCGAGCACCUUUUAGUUUGAAUUAGUCUUAAUUCGGUUACUUUAGUUCUUUUAAUUUAUACUGCGUAUUUAAUUUUGUUUGCAUGUUGAUCCAAAGUAAAGCGACACCGUUUU